rnacentral:lncRNA from 1 species
GCCGAGGCUGUCGUCGGAUGUGUCGUCGCCGUCGUCGCGGCCGUUGCCGUUGAGCAUGAGGCGAUCCCCCCGCCUCCUGUCGGACCGAGGCGAGUCCCUCGGCCCCGCGCCGCCGGAGACGCCGCCGCCGUUGCUCCUGAGCCGCCGCCGCGGCGGAGGCGCCCCGCCGGACAUGGACACGGCGGCCCUCCUGCCUUCCCGGAUCCGCUCCAUGUCAGAUCUGAGGCAUGCGCCUCCGAUCUCCCUCCCUCCUAGUCGCCGCCGGCGUCCCGGCAGACCGCCGCCGCGCAGAUCCGCGCACCAACCGCCUCAACAAAUCCCCACGGGCAGAGCGAGAGAGCCCGCCCUCCUUCUCCUUCCCCUCGUGCUCACAAGUAUCUCUCCUCUCUCUCUCUCUCUCUGUAUCGGUGGUGGUGCUGCUCCUCCUAGAGAGUGCUCUCCUCUCUUCUCUCCCUCGGCUGGAAUGGCUGCUGCUUCUCUGGUGUGGCCUCCUCCCCUCCCCUUGUGGCUCGCUUUCUAGGCCUCAUCCUCUUUUUGUCGCUGCCCAUCCCCGCAUCCGACGGCCAGGAUCCGCCCGACGCAUCCGACGGCCCCGACCCCCGCGCGCCUGCCACCGUGGCCGCCCCCACCGCCUACCACCCAACACGCGAUAAAAUCUCGUGGACGCUUCCUUACGCCACAAGCAUGGCCCGAUGACCGACACGUGGCGGGGCAGCCGAGCGGGGUGAAACCCACCGGCAACGGGAGGUGGGUGGUUGAUGGAUGGCGGCACGCCCGUUUGUUCGCUUCCCUAACAAAUCUUUUUAUCCUCUUGUAAAAACUCAACACUCCACGCAAAAUAAAGCAAGAAUAAUACAAUACGAGUACAUAAAGAUGAAAUGGCGCUACGCCAUCGGCUUUGGCACGGGACCACCGCGCGCGGGGUCCGCGUGGACGGAUGGGCCGCCUGAUCUGGACAGUGCGGUGCGGUUUAACCGGGCUGACGUGGCGCCUGCGCGCACCGGUUGGUUGCUACGGGUGGGUUAAAAGGGCACGAGGAAAGUCUCCAGGCAGCAGCAGCGGCAGUGGAGGCGGGCGGGGCCCACGCGCGGGCCCGGGCAUCUCCCGUCUCAUCCGCUUUUCUUUCCUUUUUCUUUUUCUCUUUCCUAACGUUCUGCUCGUGGGCUCCGACGUGGCGGAGGGGGUGACGUCGGCGGGGCCCGCCGGCCACCAACCUUCACCGCACCACUGGCCUACUUCUACUCUGAUGAAUUAUUAGUAAGAUAUUCCUUGAAAACACCCAGUAGUUUAAUAUCAUUACCACGGAGGAGAUCCGGAAGAUGUCAUUGUAUACGCGGAUUGGCGCGGUUUUACUUACACUAACUUUGGAGCAUUGAAGGCCGGUAAAUUUAAAUUUAAAUGUUUUCGCUGUGGUGUGGUGUGGUGCGGUGCGGGGCGUCGUGUUCUGGAUCCAGACGCCACCGGCAUCGGGUGCAUAUAUGCAUGGCGACGUACUGCUGCUCGCUUUAAAUUGCAAGUUUUUUAAACGAGCCACGUGCGCCUUCUUUCCAGCAUUGUACACCCAAAUUGAAUUUUGAAAAGAAAUAAAGAGUAAUUCAAGGCAUAUUUUCAGUAGGUGGCUAUCAAUGAAAAUAUGCCUGCGAAUCACUUUUUUUUUUUAAAAAACUCAAUUUGGGUGUAUUUUUGGAAAACAAAGUUAGAGGAUCGAUUUUGUUUUUUUAUCAUGACUUUACAAAUAUGAUUUCAUGAUGAAAUUUUGAAUGCACAACAAGUAUUUCCAAAAUAUAUCAUUUCUUUAAAUUUAUUAUUUUAUUUUGAACAUUUGUGCCUAGUUAUAGAAACUCCGCGUCCGUUGUAGGCUUCUUUUUGCUUAUGUCACUGAGUGUAUGUAGAAGGUACAUGUGGUGUUUAAUUUGACGUGGUUAGCAAGGACACAAGAUUUUGAUUCAUGAAAAGGGAAAGGACAUAUGGAUAGUAAACUUUGAAUGCAAUGGACAACAACAAGCACACGCUUCCUCAAAGAAGGGCAUCAAGAACAUUUUUCCUUGGCAUCUCGAUUAACUCAAUAAAACGUGGGUGUUCCCUCCUCCUCCCCUCCCUCGCACAUCGACAAACACACACGACAUGCACAUGUGUGCCCUUUUUGUGUGUUUGUGUGCGUUGUUGCUCACCCCGCAUGCCCAUAGUUUGGGAAGACCAUGUGUCCUUGAAGCUUCGCCCGUUGGCCAACUUCACACCUAUGCUUAUUGCAUUUGUGAGAUUUGAAAUAACUGCUAUGAGUGAUUUUUGGAAAGGACGAUGGGAGAGGGUUAGAUCCGGCAAAUUUGCUGAAAUAGCACUAUGUGCCCUUCGUUAGUCGGGGACGGGAAGCGAGACUCUCGACUUCCUUUUGAGAUCAGAGGGAGCAUGCCAAAGUGAUAAUGAACGGCCAUGACCGUGCCUUCCAUUCAUGGUGAUUGGUCAAAACUUUAUAUAAUCUCCAAAGAAGGAGUUCCAAGAAAUACACAAAGAGGUGUAUUCUAGUUGUUGCCAAAUUAGCAACUGCGAAUGGCGGUCUCCGAGUAGAGAUUAUCAUAUCAAAUACAAGAUUAUUAAUUCUAAACGCUCCUCCUAAUGUGUGCAUGUACUCUCAUCGCUCUUGAAAAAGUGCACCAAUUUCUAAAUUGUGAAUUGAGAAAAAUGUGUGCGCGUGGGGGGGUGUUGUCCCCCCUAGGUGUGUGUGCNNNNNNNNNNUGCAUGCGUCGUCACUUAGCUCGUGUGGCCGUGUUGGGAAAGCCAAUCCACGUGUCCAUGAUGCUUCACACAUUGGCCGCAUUAGAAGCUAUCUAUGUGGCAUGCAUGAGGUUUGGAAUAACCGCUACAUGUGAUUUGCGAAGAGAGUUAUGUUUGGAGGGAAAUACCAAAAUAGCAAUAGUGUGCCCUUCCUUGGUGGAAGAUAAGAAGCAAGACUCGUGACUUUCUUUGGAGAUCAGAGGGAGUAUAACAAAGUGAUAGUGAAUGGCCAUGACUUUGCCUUAUCAUUCAUGAUGAUUGAUCAACGAUUUAUAAAAUGUCCAAAGAGCGGUUCUGAGAAAACAUGGAGGGGUGUAUUCGGGGUGUUGAGAAUUUAGCAACUCCCAAAUGUGGUUUACAUGCAAUGAUUUAUCUUAUCUAACACGAUAUUAAUUAAUUCUACACACUCCUCCGGAUGAGUGCAUUUAUUCCCACCACUAUUGAAAAACACAUCAAUUUUCUCAAUUUUGAAUGGAGAAAAGCGUGUGCGUGUGGUAGGUGCUUUUGCUCAAAAUCAUUCCUAUAAGUGUGCGUGUGCAUGCGCAUGUGUAUCUCGUUUCAUGUNNNNNNNNNNGUUUAUCCUAUCUAACACGGUAUUAAUUAAUUCUACACACUCCUUUGCAUGAGUGCAUUUACUCCCACCACUAUUGAAAAAACACAUCAAUUUUCUCAAUUUUGAUCGGAGAAAAGCGUGUGUGUGUGUGGUAGGUGCUUUUGCUCAAAAGUAUUCCUAUAAGUGUGCGUGUGCAUGCGCAUGUGUAUCUCGUUUCAUGUGCAUGCAUUAUCGCUUAGCCCAUGUGCCCACGCUCGAGAAGCCAAUCCACAUGCCCUUGAUCCUUCACCCAUUGUCCAUAAUAGAAGCUAUGUAUGUGGCAUGCACGAGAUUUGGAGUAACCGCUACACGAAAUUAGUGGAGAGGGAUAGGUUCUGAGGGAAAAGACCAAAAUAGCAAAGUGUGGCCUUCNNNNNNNNNNAUGACUUCCUUCACAGGUUGGCGGGAGUAUAACAAAGUAACAAUGAAAGAACAUGUCAUGGUUUUGUCACGACGAAAAUCCUCGUGAUAGGACUAAGUCUAGGAGCUAUCACAACUAGGUGGUUGCUUGGAUGGGGUUGAUCGGGAAUGAGAGACAAGAGUUUACCCAGGUUCGGCCCCUCCGAUGGAGGUAAAAACCUGUGUCCUCCUUUUUGUCUUUAUUGAUGAUGAUCUCGAUUACAAGGGUUCGAAAUCUCUAACCUAANNNNNNNNNNNNNNNNNNNNNNNNNNNNNNNNNNNNNNNNNNNNNNNNNNNNNNNNNNNNNNNNNNNNNNNNNNNNNNNNNNNNNNNNNNNNNNNNNNNNGCGACCUUAUGAGCCGACGAAACCUGCAUUUAGGGUGGGUGCACGAGCCUUCUGACUCGCCUCCCCCUGUCGCGACCUUAUGAGCCGACGAAAUUACUGUUGCUAUUUUUCGUCGUGGCAUAGCCCUGAAGGUUUUAAGCCCUUUCUUUCUGAUGCUUGUUGAAAAUAUCUAUAAUUUGUUUGUUUUCACAUAUGCUAUUCUCAAAGCUUAAGACAGGAGGGUGAUAAGAAUUGUUUCAUCCAUGGCAAAUUAAGCGUUAUAGAAGACUCUUAUAAAGGCGGGUCAAAUAUUUCAAAUCGCCUUAAGGGCGAUAUAAAGGUUCUUGCAAAAGGUAUCAUCAAAAACAGUACUGACUUACGGAAAAAGGAUCUAUUACAUGGCUCUCAGGCCAACUUCAAUAAAGUUUACUUUGCUGGCGCGUCGGGAUCAUCCUGAUGUGAGCUCUGGCCGACUUCGAUUUGCAAGUCGCCCAAUACCCAAUUGCACUUGGCCAAAGCAGCAAAGUCAUCUUCAUCAGUCAGAAUUGAUGCCAAGUCUGCUUCCAAGUGGAAAGGAUUCUUGGGUCGCCGAGGAGUUAGGCUGGUCGUCAUGAAGGUUGGCGGGCUGACCUUCUUGUUUCUGCUAUCAUAAGCCGCCUGGUAUUUUGUUAAAUCAAGGCUUGCGGCAAGUUGAGUUGCAGCCAGCCGAGAGUCCUUGACGACUCGCUGAUAGUCCUCUUCAACAAAUUCUGACCCAUCGUCCUUGAGCUGAGGAAAGCCUGCGGCUACUUCUUCUAAGUUGAUUUCUGGAGCAUACGCCAAACAACGACUCAGGGCAGUCAGAACACCUCUCCGGGCGGCUGACCGAGUUAACUCGCCAAUCUGAGGGGGAAGUGUGGACAAGCAGCCAAGCACCUUCUUGAUGGAAGUGUUAGGUUCUUUGGCACCCAUCACAGCUUUAACAGUCAAGACACUGCCUGUGUACAAUUGCUCUGUCAGCGUGUAAAUCGCCUUCAGCAUCAACAGACAGUCUUCUUGAAGGUUGGCGGCUCUCAGACCUGAAUCAUGAUGAUUAGCGACUUAUCAUAAGUGUUCUUUUAAAAAAAAAGGAGAGGAGGAGAUCAAAGGUUUAAGUAAAGCUUACCAAAGACGCCUUGCGCCAUGUUGGAGAUAUGACGCUUUAAGCCGGACAAUUCCUGUUGUACAGUGACCAGCCUAGCUUCAGCCUUCUCUGCUCUCUUCAAGGCGGCAUUUUGGUCAGCCUGAGCUUUUUUCAACUCGGCCUUGAGUUUUACCAGUUCGGCCAAGGCCAAUUGGCAUUUUUCCUCCGACUUAGCUCGGGCGUCUUGUUGUCCAGCUAAGUUUUUCCUUAAAUCGCUCAGCGCCGAUUCGGUCUGAGCAUGGUUUUCCUAUUGAAAGUUUAAAAUAAGGGCAAGUCUCAGAACUACUGCAAAGCAAUAUCCCUGACACUUGGGGGCUAAUGUAUAAUUUUUUCAGAUGAAAUUAUACAAAAAUCAAGACCUCGCUCAUCUUUUUGCUGAUGACCCGGCACUUGGGGGUUACUGGUCGCGAAGUUUUUUCUAAAUUUUCAAGACCCGACUCAUCUUUUUACUGAUGACCCGGCCCUUGGGGCUUAAUGGGAAUAAUAUAGUAUAACAAAAUUUACCUCAUGUUUGUUGUUUAACAUCUGCAGCAGGUUUUUCUCCAUCUCAUAGCUCACUUCCAGGCGACUUGCAAAGCCAGAGCAGAGUUCCUUAAACUCCAAAUUUGCAUAUUCGGAAAGUUUCGCCUUGGAGAGCCCAGACUCGGGAAUGGCUUGAGAGGAGGAUGCUACAUGUUUGGACAAAACUGUCGCCGCCGGCUUAGAAAAGCCAGAACCAGUAAUAACCACAACAUCUGGGUCUUCUGUUGUCGUCAAUGGGCUCGGCGGCUUAGGGGCAUCCAUUGUUUCCUUCGGCGACUCAGGAAGAUCCGCUUGAGUCGCAGGCUCAGUUUGAUCCGGAUUGUCUUGAGUCGGAGUUGAUUCUUUCGUGGGUUCUGAAGUUGCGUCAGGAGUUGAUCCACUGGGUUUCCUCUUCUUGGCCUGUGCCCUGAAAAAAAGGGAAUAAGCACGUUAAGGAAUUGAAAGCUCGUUAUUCUCAAAAGUCAAGGCAAGGUUAUCAAAAGACUUACCCCGGAACUCGAAUCAUUGGUGGAAGUGUCAACAUCACUGAGUCGCCAGAAGUGGGAGGAGAGUUCUGUAAGAAUUAUACGUCAAUAAUACAGGCGGGUUACAAGCGUGAUCCAAAGAGACAUGAAGAAUGGUUACUCAUAAGAGUACCUCGCUUGGUUUUCUUUUGUUCGUUGCUGGUAAGCCAGAUACCAGAUCGCCGGAGUGACUCCGUGUUUUCCGAUUUGAGGCAUGCUGUGCUUUCUUCAGUAGGAAAAUUGGGUCCAAAUAAGCAUUUGGAUUUGAGAAGGGAACUUUCCCACAAAUUUGCCUGGCCGACUUAGGUGGAGAAGGAGAUGAAUCGGAGGAAACAGAAAUUACCUCAACAGAGUCCUCCUGGCUUUCGUUAUCUUCAUUCUAUUUCAAGGAAAUGGAGAGAUAUAAAUACAAAGGUUAACAGUAAUAGAUGGCGAGUGAAAAGAGGACGAAUUUUUACCUCCGAAAGUGCAUCGCCGACUUGAGAUUCGUCAAUUUCGGAUGGUUCAGCUGCAACAGAUUUGCCCUUACCCUUGGUUUUCUUUGAGGGCGGCUUGACAUUUUUCAUGGCUUGCCUUUUGGGCUUCCUGGACCAGAAUUUAUCGCCUUUCUGAAAUGGCAUAUGUUACGAAACCACAAUACAAAUGAAGCAUAAAGAAUAAAGACCAAAGGCGGGUUAGGUUUGUUUACCUUGGGCGCCAGGUUGAUUUUGAAGAAAGGCUUAAGGCCGAUCUGGCCGCAUUUUCCUGCAGGCUCGCCAGUCAGCUUUUUGAUAAUGGUAACAAUAUCCUUUUCCAUUAAAGCUGUGCGAAAAUAGCAUUGAGGAUGAUCCAGGGUGCCAUCAAAUUCACACAUCAGGCCAUCCCGGCGGCUCAGAGGGAGGAUACGCCAUUCAACCCAGCAGCGGAUUAGGUCGACCCCGGUAAGGCCGUUGUUCGUCAAAGAUCUUAAUUCAGAUAGUAUUGGGAUGAAUUCCGAUUCCUCCUCCUCGGUAAGCUUGUCUGGAAGCUUGAAGUUGGUCGGAAGGCGAGUUGGCCUGUAACCCAGAAGCUUGUUCUCGCCUGCAGGAGACGUCUCUUGAUAGUAAAACCAAGACUCGCCCCAGCCUUUGGGAUGGCUAGGCAUGGUGAGUGAGGGGAAUGGGCUAGCCCUGCAGCGCUGGAUAUUGACGCCACCAAGUUCCAAGCUGGGGCCGUUAGGGAAUUCCGUUUUGUGAUUCAGAUGGAAAAAAUGCCAGAAUAAAGGGACAGAAGGCUCGAUCCGCAGAUAAGCCUCACAAAGAACUUGGAAUUGGCACAAAUUACUUAUGGAAUUGGGUCCCAGAUCCUGGAGACGGACGUUCAUGAAAGUCAAGGCGUCCCUAAGAAACUUUGAUCCGGGCGGCUUAAAACCUCGCUCCAGGUGUUCAACAAAAACGAUUAUUUCCCCUUCUUUGGGGUUAGGGAGAUCUUCUCCGAACCCGGUGCGCCAGCCAAUAACAUCCUGAGGAUCCAAACUGCCUGGUUUCACAUAAUCGGCUAAUAUGGAGUCAUCAACCUUGGUAGGAAGCCAGUCACUCUUGAAGACGGCGCCCAUGCUACAAAUAAGUAAAGUAUGAUAUUACAUGCCUUGGACACCUACUGUAUGGGAUGAAAUCAGUUCAUUUAACCCGCCGAGUACUUUGAUUAAGGAAAGGUUUGACCCGCCAGAUCAAAGGGGCGAGUUGGGUCACUAUGGCGACCUAUGGAAGUGUGGUUAUUCUCAAGGGCUACGUUCUGAAGACGGUAAAAGCGUUUCAUUUGAAGUACCAGGAGAUGAGGACUACAAACAACUUUUUGCAAACAGUAAAUAAGGAAUGGAUCUACCAGACAGAAGAGAAAACCUAAAGAAAAUGACUGGUCGCGACAGUUUAUUAUCGGAUGACGCCCUUCGCUUGGCGGAAACAUUAUUUUCAAAUAUUCACGAGUAAAGACGGAUAAGUAAAAGUAUUCGGAAUAUUAGCUAUCCUACCAACGCUCGUGUUAAUCGAUUUAGAGCAGGUAGCAUCUAUAUGCAAGGAGCUUCAAGAACACGACAAUGGCGGGAGUUCAAGCGGAGAGUGAAUCUACUCCUAAAAUUAGGUGGAGGCCUAACCUGAUGCUGUCGGGGAAGAAGAGCCGAUGGUGAUGGGGUUUGCUGGAGAAGCACUGGCGUCCCGUCGGGCGAAGAGGUUUUCAGCGGCGGCGAAGUUCGUGGUAAAUGGCGAGGUUAACGACGGCGAAGCGGUCGACGAUGACGACGGCGGAUGUGUUGGUUGCGGCGCAAGAAUGGACGACGGCGAAAGCCCACAGGCGGCACCGAAGCUCCUCGUGUGAAGGCCGAAAGCACGGUCGGCGGCGGAUUCCUCGGGGCGAUAAGUUUUUCUCGCUGCACCGGUGGGGAGGAAGGUGACAAGACUGGUAGGUGGGAAGCGCCAGUUGUGUCCCCCCUGGCCUAUUUAUCAAGGCAGGUGUUGGAAUUGAGGCGCCAUGAGCGGGAACCGCCGGGGGAUAAAAGAUUCGCUAUAAAUGCGUGCCGAAUAUUUCGGAUAACAAUGCGCUAAAGAUCCGUUGGAGUUGUGGCGGUCUUCCCGAAAAAAGAGGAAUAAGAAAAGGCCACUUAGUAAUGAUCUGGCAACUUAAGGGAUUUUCAGUGCCCAAAGGCAAUGGCGGGUGUACAAUUUUUUGACAGACGCAGAAGAGUAGGGAAUGAAUCGCCUUUAAUGGAGCAGAGGUAUUGGCAUGAAGAGGAAAGGUUCAAGUCAAUUCGGGGCCUAAUGUUGGGAAUGUAACCAGUGGAUGACCCGCCCUAGUUGGGCCGGGUUAUCCAUUGGGCGAUUCAUCUAAACGUUUAGUUGGGCCUCGUUUUGGCCGAAUCGAGGUCGUACGACGAGUAUGGCUCUUGGCGGGUCUCCCAGCUUUGGAAGAUGGCGAUUUAGAGACCGCAAUGGUCACGAGUUGUAGAAAGGAAGGAAUCCUUGUAAACCCUAGGGAAUCGACCUAUAUAUAAAGGCGAAGUCCCGGGGGACAGAGGACAGGUGAGAAAUCAUUGAGUGCUAGGUUUAGGCGAGUUACGCCUUCCUUGUAAUCGAAUCCAUAUCAAUACACACAAAAGCAGGACGUAGGCUACUACCUCCUCCCGAGGGGCCGAACCUGGGUAAAUCGCCGUGUCUCUCCCGCUUAACCCCUUUGAGUCACCACCAAAGUGCGAUGGCUCCAGUAUUAAGUCCUUUCACGAGGACAUCUGCCGUGAAAAAACCACGACAGUAAGUCUCUCAGAUUUACCAUUCUGAAUAGCAAGAGAAUGAUAAGAGUAAGUCAUCAUGGUGAUCAAUCUAUUCCACACCCAAAUCAUUGCUCUGUAUAAGGUUUAGCAAAUCUUGCAUUCUAACACUUGGGCAUCCUCACAAGCAUUGCACAAUUUCUCUUGUACAUGAAUGAAGUUCGGACGAAUCCAUUGGUUCUGCAAGCUGAACGAAACAUCUAUCGUAUUUUUACCACUCUUAGGUUUUGUGCGUGCUCCUAAGAAAACGUUUGCUGACACGUCAUAGCUUAUCCCUUCAUGCUCUUGGGGCAACCUUUUUGAAAAUCUUGGGAUGCAUCCUUGGUACAUGUUGUAUUCCUUGAACUAAUUUUCCUUUCCAUUGGUUUGAUUAUCCUUAGGUAUUGUUUCAUCAUAGUAAUUCCUUCAUUUCAUCCUCAUUCUAUUCUCGAAAUUCCACUUCAAAAGUACUUGGUUACAAAUUUUGUCACCCACAUAGUUUGAUAUGGUCCAACAUUUCCUUCAAAUGUAUUCGGUGGAUUUGACUCCUCGGUAUGCAUGGUACAUUCCUAUUCCUUGGAUCCUGUGGUUUUACCGAUUACUACCACACUUAAAAUGAAAUAUACUCAUGCCUGCAUAUACCAUAUUUUCUCAUAUCCUCAUAAAUGGUCAGAGAUCUUUGUUCAUAGAGAAACAUCGCAUAUAGUUUCAACAUAGGACAUCAUGACACAAUAAAUUUUAUUGAUUCAUGAAGUUAUUACAAUCUCAGAGACUUCCAUUACAAAAUUUAACUCCAUAAACUCAUGAUAACAAGAGGGCUUCAUGCUACACUUAUUGCCAUUGUCAGAACUUAACUACUCCAUUUUAGAUUUCUUUCCCUGUGGACAGUUACUAGCAUAAUGUCAUGCUUCCUUGCAAUGAAAACGAAUGCGUUCCGACAAGUCUCGGGGCUUCUUGGUGUUUGCUGUUGCUCCUUGGGUUUCCUGCUUCCUUCUUGGGCACAUAUUGCUGUAGUGGCCCAAUUCCUUACACUUGAAACAUCUGAUAUGACUCAGGUCUUUAUGUGUCGGGAUUUGACUAUGGCUGGUGUACUUUCUCUUCUUUCCGAAAUCCUUCAUUCGGGCCAGUUCUUCUAUUUCAAGUGGAUCCAACUCUACUUUUUCUGUCGAGAAGUCUCCCAGAUAUUUAUGGCUUUCCUUCAUGCAAUCCUCUCAAAAAUGUCCUUCUUCUCCACAUGAGUAACAUGCAUUGGGAAAAAAUAUGGUUAGGCCUUGUCCAUCAGGGUCUCCAAUAUUUUCCUUCAUCACAUGUUCUUCUAAAAUCUUCUUCUUGAGCGUUUCCUUCAUUGAUUAUUUCUGUUGCUUGACAACUUGUUGUACGUUGUGGUAAACGUGACACUGGGCUGGGUAGUGAGUGGUUCCUUCACACAAGAAACAAGUCACCUGACUAGUUGGGCAUUCCUCCCCUAGGUGAUUUUCUUCACAAUGAGGGCAUCCAUCCUUGUCUUCUCCCUGGGUGUGUCCUAUUUCUCCACAGAUCUUACAUGCACAAGGUUUCUUCAUCGGGCUAUCAUAGCACUUCUGAAUGAGACGAGCUCUUAACAGAGUCUUCUUGAAUUCGUCCUAAGUUUCUGCUCCACUAAAUCCUUGUAUGUCAUGAUGCAUUUUCCACCAGAUAGCAGCACUUUGUGUAAAGUACUGAAGAGCAUGUGCCACUUCAUACUUCCUUGAAAUUAAAUUGCUCCUGAAGUGGUUCUCCAUGUUCUGAAUCCAUAUUUCAACUUCGAGCUGGGUCAUUGGUCCAGAGAUUACAAGUCCAGCUUCAUAUGUCAUCUAUUUGGUCCAAGGUUUUGGGGAUGAGAUGGGUAAGAGAGAGAGAGGGAAAGAGGGAUAUACACACAAUACAAACAAUAUUUUUGAGAAUAGGUUUUAUUUGUGGCUGUCGGAAAACACACACAAAUGACGGCUCACAAAUCAUCGUAUCUAACAUGGGUAUAUAACAGGUGUUUGGACUUCUAAUGGCCAUAUAAAUAUUGGAACACUUCAGGGUCUUCAAAUUCUUCGGUUCUUGAGAGUCUUCAAUUGGUGCAGCUUCAGUUUUUCAAAUGCAUGGUGAAAUGCUCUUUACUUUGAAGUGGGACUCAGCUAAUCCUUUAUGUGGUCCAAGGGGAAAGGGUAUUGUCUAACUAUUUGAGGUGAGAGAGAACAUUUGAUGAAAUCAGAAGAGAUGAGAAGUAAAGAAUGUUCUUGAAAAUAAAAUAUUAGAGAGAUGCUUUCCUAAGGGAUUUCCAGUUUCUAGGGUCAUGUCCUACAAUCAACAUGUUCUCUGAUACCAUAUCUAUAGCGACCCGACUCAAAACGAGUCAAGCCUCUGUGUGUUCCGUGCCAUCACUGGAUCAGUAUGCUGGAACACACAGUACAUCAAUGUAUAUAUCAAAGUGCAAUCACAUGUAAAAUAACCUAAAACUGAUAUAUACCUCAAAAUCUCAGCGGAAACAGUCAAAGGCAGUGGAGUCCCAAUAAACACCAACGACAAGUUGAGUGCAGACCGUAACCUUGAAUCAUACUCUUACUCGUCGAAUACAAUAUCUACAACAUAAGAUGUUGCAGCCGUGUAGGUCAGCAUAUCGAAUAUGCCGGCAAGUCAGAAAAGAGAGGGGUGAAAAUAUCAUCUAUACUAUAUGCAUAUACGACACAUGGGGCCGUAGUUUUAAGUUUGGCGUAAAGCAAAUUUUCCUACAACAAGAGAGGGUCAAAGCAAGAUUUACUACAUUGUUCGUUGUUAAUGAGAUGGUUCCACCAACCAAUUCUCAUACCCAAGUUAUAAAUAUUACCCACAUCAAUAUUAAAUGGUGUUGAGAAUUCCUAAUAACUUUAGUUCCUUCGACUCAAGUUGCCCAUGACCGUGGACACGGCUAAUCAAUUACGUUUGAGUACUCAGCAGAGUUUUGCACACGUUCCCCACAAGAUUUGAUCGCCUCCGUUGGAGUCCUCACACUUCAGGAUGUUUGAGAACCGGAUGAUCAAAACAUGGUCUUUCAACGGGUUCCUCUGAGCCACUGUCGGUGCCCAUCCAAUCCUACCGUUCUUGUACAUCUCGUAGUACCGCUCGUCCAAAGUCACCACGUUGUCCAACCAAGCCAGAGCCCAUAAUGACUUGUGGCUNNNNNNNNNNACUUGGGUCUUCAAAUAUCCAUCCAUCUCUUUGAGCCUGGGUGAAGCUUUCCGAAAGAUGUCAUGGCGCUUCUGCAUGCAUCCCAAGUCCUCCGCUGGUUUUUCCCACGGAGCCCAUCUGAACCGUCCUUCACCCAGAGGUAUAUUUUGUUCUGAGGUCUUGCAAGUCUUGGAUUCUUAAGGUCUUCAUUAUUAAGUUUCUCACAACACCCAUGAUAAACACUCAACCAAACCCCGUCUACCAUGAGCAUAGCAAAAUAACGUCCCUGCCAAAGUAACAAGGGUUUAGGGGUGCCUAUCAUAACAUACUACUCAAUAACCAAAGUUUCCAAGUACCUACUUUCAUGCAAUGGGUGAAGAAGGUUGAAACUAAUGUAAUAAAACCAUAGGUAAAAAUGUGAUCAAUGUGAACUUGCCUGGUAAGGUUGAUGAAGAAGAAUAUCGCUCUCAAGAAAUAACUUGAUAGAACUAUUCAUCACUCUCCGUCGAUAUCUAUAUAAUCAAACAUAAUAUUCGUAUAAGCAAUCCUACUAUAAAUCAUCCUAGUAAUCAGUAUAACAAACAACAAUAAAAUUUGAUGCAAUAAAACCAAUAAGAAAUAUCAAAUAGAAAUCCAAAAGGAACUUCACAGAAAAACUAUGGAGUCUUCUACUACAACAAUCACUAAAUAGUUUUUGUUCUAAUUAAACUUAACAGAAAAUGGAACACUAAAAUAGUAAAAUAAUAGAAAAUAAAAAAGAAAAUUAACUAAGAUAACAGAAAGUAUUUUUCAUAAAACUGUAUUUUUUGAAAGUAUCAUCAAAUAGGACAUCAAACUAGCAACAAAAUCAAUUUGCAAGUUAUUACCGAACUAGAAUUGAUUUCAUGCUAUCAAAUAAAAUAAAAUUUUCUUGUUGUUGAAAACCUACUGUUAACUAACAGGAAACAAAAUAUAACCUUUCACAAGUAUAAACCAAAAUAAAUUAAAAACAAUUAUAGCAAAAGAAAUAGCAAUAAUCCAAGAAAGAACUAAAACAGAAUCUGUUUUACACACAAUAUUGAUUAAAAGUACUCCAAAAAUUCUGAAAUUUUACCUAGUGAUAUAUAAGAUCACUAGCGAUCAGCAGCAAAAAGAAUCAACUAAAAAUCUAUUUUUAAACUCCAGAUAUUAACAAAACAAGAUUUAAACCAAAUCUGUUUAAAUUCAGAAUUUAAAAUUUCAAACAUGGUAAAAUUUUAUAUCUACAGAAACUACACAAAAUUUGUGAUCCAACGCAAAAAUAAUCACCUCAAUUGGAGUUAUAGAUUAAAAGUUAUAAGCAAUCUAAAAUCAGGUCCAAAUCUGUUUCAGAAUUAAAAACAGAAAAAGAUUAAAAGAAAAGGUGAUGUGGCAAGCUGUGAUUGGCUGGAGAUCGUGCACGGUUUAGGCUAACUAACGGACGGUCGCAAUAUAAAGGAAACCUUUCGGUUUUAAAUUAACUAACUGGGAACCGAUCGGUUUUCUAACUAAAACCGAAAGGGUAUCCUAAUCUAAUCUAGAGCGUAUAUUAUGGAUCCAACGGUGGGAAAAAGAAAAAAAGAGAGAGAGGGAGCUUACCGUGGCAAAGAGGAGCUCCAGCGCUGGUAAUGGUGCAACUGAAGGUGAGGUGGCGAGGGGAGGCGGCUCGGGUGGUGUAGGGGGCGGCGUGGUGGUGGUUGCGGCGAAGGAGGGUCCCGACGUUCUCCUGGUAGCGUCAGGAGGGUCCGAGGGCGAAGGGAGGUGGGGCGACACGAGCUCCUAGUUUCGGCCUGAGCAGGACCUUCGGCGAGGGUGGAGGGCGGUGCUGGGGCAUGGAGACAAAGGGGUCUUGGGGAAAAUGGAGAGGGGAGGGGGUGAGGAUCUUAAAUAGGGCCUCGAGGGGCGAGGGGAAGGAAGGUACGCGGAGAUCGGGGAAAGGAAUCGACAAGGAAUCUUCGUGGAAGUUUCACGCGGCACGGAAGGAAAGGAGACGACAUGUGGAAGAAGGAAGGUAUCGGGCCGGAUCAUAUAUUCCUAACGGGCCCAGAUGCCUUUCCAAAGAAAACGAUUUGUUUCCUUUUAAUAAAAACCUGAAGGUAAAACUUAAAAAAUUAAAUAAAUAUACUUCCAAAUAUAGAAGUAUUAUAUACCAAAAUUAUCAGAAAAAUAAAUCCAAUAAGAUGGACAUUUUUCCAGGGCUAAAAUAAAAACUUCAGAAGAAAUAUUAUGUUUUCAGAAAAUUGCCUAAAUGAUUUAUUUCCUUUUACAAAGAUUUUUCAAAUGACCUCCUAAGUUUUAGGGUUCAAAUAAUUUUCAAAAUGCCCUUGGUUUGAAGGGUCAUGUUCCUCCUGUCAUAUUUUUUUAAUAUAUGUAUUCAUUUAAACAUUGAAAUAGCAAUAGGAUCAAAUACGAAAAUGAAAUCCAUAUAGGAAAUCUUUUAUUAGUUUUCAAAUCCACCUUUCAAAAUCUUUAUAGUUGAAGAAGUCAUGUUAUCUUCUCUCACUGAUUUUAAAUGGAUGAAUUUGAAUUAAAAGAAAAUGGGAAAGUCCUUUUAUUCCCUCUCAUUCAAAAGUUUUAAAAUGUUUUCAAAUUUCACUCAAGUUUCAAUCACUCAAACAAACAAACAAUCAAUCUAGUAAUUAUAUUAACAUUCCAAAAUUUGGGAUGUUACAAACCUACCACACUUAAAAUGAAUCUCGUCCUCGAGAUUCUAAGAGGUUAGAAAGAAAAGGUUAGGGUUUGGGGGUCUUCUAAAAAAUCCAAUCUCGUGCAAAGUGGGAUGCUACCACACUUAAAAUGAGAGUUACCGGUCCCUCAAAUUUCAAACAAUCCUGUGGGGUCUUGGCAUAUGACUCCUCACAUUCUCCAUACCAACUCCUUUGGUGAUGCUCUUGCUUUAUGCUCAUAACAUUUCCCUCAAAAUCGAGGGUUCUUCUGUUGAUAAAAGCUUCUUCCAUCACUUGGUAUUCUUAACUGACAAGUCUCGUGACCAUUCUAAAUAACCUAUCGAUGAUUAUCAUGGUGGUCUACCAUUUGUGGGUAUGCUGCAGAGAGAAGGGUCUUGGCUUCAUCCUCACCCUAAAAUUUCCGACGCGUGACAACACUUGUCAUGUACAUGGGCUUUCAUCAUACCAUUCUAAGGCUUAAACAAAAGCUUCAAAGAACACCAUCUCUCUCUAUGGGUAAGUGUUGGGAAUGUAACCAGUGGAUGACCCGCCCUAGUUGGGCCGGGUUANNNNNNNNNNNNNNNNNNNNNNNNNNNNNNNNNNNNNNNNNNNNNNNNNNNNNNNNNNNNNNNNNNNNNNNNNNNNNNNNNNNNNNNNNNNNNNNNNNNNAAAUAAGCUUUGUACGAACCUGUGAUGAGGAAGACAUAAAAGCGACAGACUGCAUAAUUAAGUUCUUUAUCACAGGAGGCAAUAUAAAGUGACGUUCCUCCGCACUAAGAGGACACGCAUUCAAACCUCAAAAGCGCAUGACAACCUCUGCUUCCCUCUGCGAAGAGCCUAUCUUGUACCUUUACUUUUUGCCCUUGUAAGAGUCAUGGUGAUCUUCACCAAUUCCCUAUUUUGCCUUUGUCUUGGCUACCGUCACAUGCUUUGGAAAGAUCUAUAUUCAUAUAUCAACUUGGAGUUGAGUACUUAUGCUUUAUUUAUUGUUGACUUUACCCUUGAGGUAAAUCGUUGGGAGGCAAAACUAUAAGCCCCUAUCUUCCUCUAUGUCCAGCUGAAACUUUGACACCAUGAGUACCACGUGAGUUGUAACAAUUGUGGAAAACAAAAGAGAUGAUUGAGUAUGUGGGUUUGCCUUACAAGCUCUUAUUUGAGUCUUUCUGAUGUUAAGAUAAAUUGCAGUUGCUUCAAUGACUAUGGACUGUUGUUGGUUACUUCUCGGUAAGGUUUUUGCUUCAUACUUUGCUUUGUGAAGGAAUUGUUACUUUCCCAUAAGAAUCUUUAUGAUGUAUUGCUGUUCUAUGUGUGAUCAUGAUGCCCUCAUGUCCGUAUUAUGUUUUAUCAACACCUUCAUCCCUAAACAUGUGGACAUGUUCAUGGAACUUGGUUUUUGCUUGAGGACAAGCGAGGUCUAAGCUUGGGGGAGUUGAUACGUCCAUUUUGCAUCAUGCUUUCAUGUUGAUAUUUAUUGCUUUAUGGGCUGUUAUAUUACUUUGUGGUACCAUAUUUAUGCCUUUUCUCUCUUAUUUUGCAAGGUUUAUUUGAAGAGGGAGAAUUCAGGCAGCUGGAAUUCUGGACUAGAAAAGGAGCAAAUCUUAGUCCACUAUUCUGCACAUCUCCAAAUGCCCUGAAAAGUUACGUGGAAUUUUUUGGGAUUAUAUAAAAAAAUACUGGGCCAAAGAAGUACCAGAGGGGGGCUACCAGGGCGCCACAAGCCGUGCCACCGCCACCCCCGGAUGGCAAGCUUGUGGGCUCCCUGACGGCCCACUGGCCCGCCUCUUUUGCUAUAUGAAGGGUUUCGUUCCAGAAAAAUCAAUGGGGAGCUUUUUUGUGGUUUCACCGCCGCCACGAGGCGGAACUUGAGCAGAUCCAAUCUAGAGCUCUGACAGGACGAUCUUGACGGGGAAACUUCCCUCCCGGAGGGGGAAAUCGUCGCCAUCGUCAUCACCAACACUCCUCUCGUCGGAGGGGAGGCAUCUUCAUAAACAUCUUCAUCAACACCAUCUCCUUUCCAAUCCCUAGUUCAUCUCUUGUAACCAAUCUCCGUCUCGCAACUCCGAUUGGUACUUGUAAGGUUGCUGGUAGUGUUGAUUACUCUUUGUAGUUGAUGCUAGUUGGAUUACUUGGUGCAAGAGUUUAUGUUCAGAUCCUUGAUGCUAUUCAUUACACCUCUGAUCAUGAUUAUGAUUAUGCUUUGUGAGUAGUUACUUUUGUUCCUGAGGACAUAGCAUAAGUCAUGCUGAUAAUAGUCAUGUGAGUUUGAUAUUCGUUCGGUAUUUUGAUAUGCUGUAUGUUGUCUUUUCCUCUAGUGGUGUUAUGUGAAUGUCGACUACAUAACACUUCACCAUAUUUGGGCCUAGAGGAAGGCAUUGGGGAGUAGUAACUAGAUGAUGGGUUGCUGGAGUGACAGAAGCUUAAACCCUAGUCUAUGCGUUGCUUCGUGAGGGGCUGAUUUGGAUCCACUAGUUUAAUGCUAUGGUUAGACGUUGUCUUAAUUCUUCUUUUGUAGUUACGGAUGCUUGCGAGAGAGGUUAAUCAUAAGUGGGAUUCUUGUCCAAGUAAGGGCAGUAUCCAAGCGCCAGUCUACCCACAUAUCAAACUAUCAAAGUAACGAACGCGAAUCAUAUGAACAUGAUGAAACUAGCAUGACAGAAAUUCCCGUGUGUNNNNNNNNNNNNNNNNNNNNNNNNNNNNNNNNNNNNNNNNNNNNNNNNNNNNNNNNNNNNNNNNNNNNNNNNNNNNNNNNNNNNNNNNNNNNNNNNNNNNUGUCAGAUCUGAGGCAUGCGCCUCCGAUCUCCCUCCCUCCUAGUCGCCGCCGGCGUCCCGGCAGACCGCCGCCGCGCAGAUCCGCGCACCAACCGCCUCAACAAAUCCCCACGGGCAGAGCGAGAGAGCCCGCCCUCCUUCUCCUUCCCCUCGUGCUCACAAGUAUCCCCCCUCUCUGUAUCGGUGGUGGUGCUGCUCCUCCUAGAGAGUGCUCUCCUCUCUUCUCUCCCUCGGCUGGAAUGGCUGCUGCUUCUCUGGUGUGGCCUCCUCCCCUCCCCUUGUGGCUCGCUUUCUAGGCCUCAUCCUCUUUUUGUCGCUGCCCAUCCCCGCAUCCGACGGCCAGGAUCCGCCCGACGCAUCCGACGGCCCCGACCCCCGCGCGCCUGCCACCGUGGCCGCCCCCACCGCCUACCACCCAACACGCGAUAAAAUCUCGUGGACGCUUCCUUACGCCACAAGCAUGGCCCGAUGACCGACACGUGGCGGGGCAGCCGAGCGGGGUGAAACCCACCGGCAACGGGAGGUGGGUGGUUGAUGGAUGGCGGCACGCCCGUUUGUUCGCUUCCCUAACAAAUCUUUUUAUCCUCUUGUAAAAACUCAACACUCCACGCAAAAUAAAGCAAGAAUAAUACAAUACGAGUACAUAAAGAUGAAAUGGCGCUACGCCAUCGGCUUUGGCACGGGACCACCGCGCGCGGGGUCCGCGUGGACGGAUGGGCCGCCUGAUCUGGACAGUGCGGUGCGGUUUAACCGGGCUGACGUGGCGCCUGCGCGCACCGGUUGGUUGCUACGGGUGGGUUAAAAGGGCACGAGGAAAGUCUCCAGGCAGCAGCAGCGGCAGUGGAGGCGGGCGGGGCCCACGCGCGGGCCCGGGCAUCUCCCGUCUCAUCCGCUUUUCUUUCCUUUUUCUGUUUCUCUUUCCUAACGUUCUGCUCGUGGGCUCCGACGUGGCGGAGGGGGUGACGUCGGCGGGGCCCGCCGGCCACCAACCUUCACCGCACCACUGGCCUACUUCUACUCUGAUGAAUUAUUAGUAAGAUAUUCCUUGAAAACACCCAGUAGUUUAAUAUCAUUACCACGGAGGAGAUCCGGAAGAUGUCAUUGUAUACGCGGAUUGGCGNNNNNNNNNNNNNNNNNNNNNNNNNNNNNNNNNNNNNNNNNNNNNNNNNNNNNNNNNNNNNNNNNNNNNNNNNNNNNNNNNNNNNNNNNNNNNNNNNNNNAAAUAAAGCAAAUAGGGAAUUUCUGAAAAAACAUUUUUUAAAAGUUUUUAUUUUGGCUUUAAAAAAAUGUUAUUCGGGUAGAGAUUUAUUUUCUGAUUUUUUUUGGUAUAUAAUACCAUAUAUAGAAAUUUUGAUUUAUUUUCUUUUUUAGCUUUUAUGUUUUUCUGUUCUGGAAAGAUUAGAUAUUAGGAAAGCCUUUUUAUUUUUUUUUCUAACCACAGCCGCCGCCGGGCGCUAGAUAGCCAACUGGGCCGAGCCACUAUUCCAGGGAUCUCAAAUCCCUUAUGCCCCCAACCGGCCCGAUCCCUCUACCCCUUUUCUCUCUGCCCAAGGGGCCCCAACCGAAGCCUUCUCUCCCCCACGUCGGCACUUCUCCCUCCUCCCUCGUCUCCUUCCUUUCCUCUGCAGACCGACCGAGCGCCUCCUCCCAGCUCGGGAAUUCCCUACCCCAAGUACUCCCUCUCUCUUACCUUAGUAGCACCCCACCCUGCCUUUCCCUCUCCCGCUGCCUUCUCUUCCCCGUCGGUUUCUUCUUCCUCCUCCCCUACCAUCCCAGUACCGAGACCGACCCCUCCUCCCUCGGGAUUCCCUUUCCCUCACCUCCCCUCCCACUCGGCCCCUGGCCGAUGCCUUCCCCCACGUCGGCCAUCACCUUCCAUCUCCCUCCUCCCUCUCUUUCCUGAAGUGCUCCCGUAACAGAGACCGAGACCGACCAGGACAUCACCAGCGAUUUCUUCCCCAGCGCCCUCCCUCUCCUUCCUUAACACCCCGCCCCCAUGGCCUAUAUAACCCCAGCACCUCGGCCACCCCGUUCCCGUCCUAACCUAGUCGCCCCGCCCCUCGCCACUGCCACUCGCCGGAGCAGCAGCAGCCCCGCUGCCACCUCGGCCACCCCACAGGAGCGCCCGUCACCCCACCUCGUCGCUGCAUCCCAGCACCNCGAGCAGCAGCGCUGCACCCCACCUUCGGCCUACAGGAGCAGCAAGCUGCACCCCGAGUCCCCCNNNNNNNNNNNNNNNNNNNNNNNNNNNNNNNNNNNNNNNNNNNNNNNNNNNNNNNNNNNNNNNNNNNNNNNNNNNNNNNNNNNNNNNNNNNNNNNNNNNNGCAGCAGCAGCAAUUGUUUCAAAAUCAUCUGAACUCUCGCCCCAGGUCUGCUGCACCUAGCAAUGCAAGUGGAUACUCUGACCGUUUGAAUGCAACGAACUUUCAGAAUUUAAUGUAUCCGUCAAGCACUUCUCAAGGCGGAGUUCCUGGUCAAUCACCUCAAUUGAAGGCAUCGUCGAUGAGAGUGUCAGCUCCACCUUCAGCUGCCUCUGUCCCUGCUGCAUCCUCACCUUCUAAUUUGAUUAUGAUGAAGAACAGUGGUCUCCAUCAACAACAAGCAAAAGCUCUGCAGGCUCUCUCCACCCCAAAUCACCAGUCACAAAGCAUGAGUUCGUCGAAGAUUGGGCACUCCCUUACUAAUCUUUCUACUGGAGGAGGAGGGGACCUAUCUCGAUCUUCAAAUGCUCCUGUUGCUUCUGGUUCGCCAUCUAAUUCAGUCUCCAAAAGUACUGGUGGUAGCCCACCUGCAUCUGGAAGUGCGAAGGGUGGCCAGCCAGUUGUCCAAUUGUCAUCGCCUCAACAACAUGCAGCCAAGAACUCUCCUUCGACUUCUGGAUCCAAGUCAGCCUCCACAAAUCACUACAGCAGUAUGCCUAUGCCAUCUAUCCUUGGUCAGCAGCCAAACAUGGCUCACUCUGGCGGUAAGCAGCAGUCGCAUGGACCCUCAUUGAAGCAACAGCAGCCAUUCUCGCAAGGCCACUUCUUCAUCUCCAAUGCGUUCGCACCACCACAAGGUCCGCCUCAGCAUGUAAAUGCUGGAGCUGGUGCUGGCCUCUACCAAAAGCGCUCGACUGACAAGACGCAGCAGCAGCAACAGCAGAAUGCUGUAUCUGGUUCGUCUGCUAUGCUCUCUCUUGGUUCCAUGUCAAUGUCCACAGCUGCGAUUCCAGCUGAUGCAGGGAAGGCAGCUGGCAGUAACAUGAAGGCCAAUCUUCAUCCAGCUGCUGGUGGUUUUAUGCACCUUGCCACAGCGGGGCAAUCUGCGAGUGGUUCGCCUCACUCUCACAUGUCAGGGGCACAAUUGACCUUUUCAAUGCCGAUGCCAGUAAAGCCUACCAGUGAUCAGAAGCCUGCUGCUGGUAAUGGACCUAUAUCCUUCUUUCCCCUGCAGACGUUGUUCCAUGUAUCACUGAGUUCUUUCCACUAACAUAAGCUGUUGUGUUGUCAGGUAAGUAAAGGACCCAGACGCCAGAGCAUGGGAAUGCUGCUAAUCUGAUUGGGCGAGCUAACUGCUAAUUCUGUGGAAAGGUUGGCGCGUGGAAGAAGCGAUUGCGCGACAAGAGGCUGCGCAGCCGCGAGAGCCGGAGCGUCGUCGAAGAAGAUGAUGAUGCACCCAUUCCAUCCAUGCAGGAGCGCUGGCAAUCGAGUGAAACUCUAGAACGGCUGAUGGGAGUGAUGCUUGUGUGUAGUAGGUUAUCCUCCCAUGGUGGAAAGCUGGAGGUGCAUAGAAACCCCUUUUUUUUAGCAGUUUUAUGCAAGGAUGUCAAAAGCUAGCUGGUCUCUCUCUCUGAACUUCUCUCCCCUCCCCUCCAACUGCUGCUCUGGUCUCUUUAGAUUUGUUCGUUUUUGUUGUUGUCUUGACUGAAGGAAGAAGAUUUAAUUAGAAUGCAGGACAAGGGGAACUUUUGUGAUGCUGCUGCUGCUUCUCUUGCUUUUCCUCUUUUCGGGGGGGGGGGGGGGGGUUCUUCUUUCCAUGUUUUAGAAACAACAACUGGGGCAGACAGGGAAAUAUUUUCUCAAGUAGUAGUAUUAGUAGUAAUUGAUCAAUGAUUGGGAGGCUGCAUAGCAUGGCAUGAGAAUGACCAUGACUUGCCUUUUGGGUGUGCGUUGUAAUUAGCUAGCCUUGUAGAAGGAAUGAAUCAAUCAAGUGGUUGAUGAUGGAUAGACAAUCUUCUUAUGGUUUUGCUGUAAUAUUUCAGGUACCUGAUCUUUUUUGUUGCAUCAGUCGGUUUCUCUGGAUCGUCGCAAUUUUUCACAGGUGGUGAGGGGCUUGGGAGGGAUGGUUAGGGUGGUGGGCAGCAACGGCGCUGGAGGCAGGCGGAUGGGGCAGGGUAUGAGGCGGCGGCGGAGGAGGAAGAAGAUGAAGGAGAAAGAGAUGAACAUGCCGCGGCAUGGAUAUUGAUCUGGUGGUCAGAAAGGAGAAUGACUGAUGGAAAUAGACGGUUAGAAAACAAAGGAAUUCUGGCCUAUGUGACGAGGACUCCGCACCGAAUGCUCUCCCGUCCGAAAGUGCCGCUCUUUCCGGUCACGCCACUCCGCCAUUUGUUAACUUGCGUGGACGGACGCGUGCUGCCACUAUCUUCUUCGUACUCGUGCCUAUCUAUCUAUCGAUCUACUCCUAUUAUCCAUCACACUGGGGCUGGAUGAUGAUGAUCUCAUUCACAUGGAUCGCUCUCCUCCACCAAAGCUCCGGGCCGUCGCACGUGUCCGGCCUGAUAGCCACCCGACGUGCUGCAGGCUGAAAAGUAAGUGUCUGGAAUUUUUUGCCUUGCCCGGGGGACAUCGCUUUCCUUUCGCUUGGCGCAAUGCAAUGCAAUGGUGUUCUCUCCCUCCCGUUUCCUUUCCGGAGUGGGUCUGCACGCACGCACGCACGAACGAACGGAGCCUUUGUCCAGAUGCGUGCACCGCUCCGGUUGUUGGUGACAUGUGAUUAGUCGCGUGCUGGAUUGCUUGUUUAUUUAGGUUUAACCUGGCCGNNNNNNNNNNNNNNNNNNNNNNNNNNNNNNNNNNNNNNNNNNNNNNNNNNNNNNNNNNNNNNNNNNNNNNNNNNNNNNNNNNNNNNNNNNNNNNNNNNNNGAAUAAUAUCUCUUGCUUUGCAUUGUGUGAUGUUGGAGCUAGUGCUUCCGUUAUAACAAAAAGAAUGUAUGAUAUGCUUGAUUGGAAACCUUAUGAUCCAUGUUCUUUUGGUGUUCGUCUUGUUGAUUCUUCCAUAAAGAAACCUUUAGGGAGAAUUGAUGAUGUUCUUAUUAUUUUCAAUGAUAAUUAUGUGCCCGAUUAUUUUCUUAUUAUGGACAUUCAGUGUGAUCCUUCAUGUCCAAUUAUUUUGGGAUGUCAUUUUCUCUCCACCGUUGGUUCUAUCAUUGACAUGAAAGAGGGAAUUAUUAAAUUCCAGUUUCCUCUUAAAAAGGGAAUAGAACACUUCCCUCGAAAGAAGAUUAAGUUACCUAAUGAGUCUGUUACUCGGGCAAGUUAUUCUUUUGGAGUUGAUAACAAUUGAUCUUCUAGCAUUAUGCCUAGCUCAAAGGCAUAAAAGAAAGCGCUUGUUGGGAGGCAACCCAAUUUCUUUUUACUUUCUGUUUUAGUGGUUUUGAUGCUUGUUACUACAGUAGCAACACCAUUGUAUCUUUAUUUUUAAGCUUGGUGCCAAGUUAUAGCCUUCGAUUGUAACAAAGUUCAACAAUUGUGACAUGCUGUCCCUAAACAGAUUAUGUCUGCUUGACGGAAAAAAUCACCAAAAAUGACCAGAUCAUAUUUUUUAUCUGAAUUUUUUUGACAUCAUGCUCCAUAUAAUUGCAUUUCUGGAAUUUGUUCUGAGUUUUUUGAUUUGAGUUGCACAAGUGCCCCGAAUAAAUUAUUUACUACCUGAUGUUCUGUUUUUCACAGAUUCCGCCAUGUUUUGCGUUUUCAUUGUUUUGCAAAUCCUAAGCUUAAUUUUUAUUAGCAAAAACCUUUUGGAAAUCAUGAGAAGCAGUAGAUUUUCAUGAAAAUCUUUAUUUCCAGUAGGUAAUGAAUUAUUUUAUUAAAGGUACUAACCACUCUAAUCAGCUUAUGAUGAAUUCGUAUGAAGGGAGUUUUCAAGUAUGCCAUGGGAGAUGAUGAAAGGAGUGUCAAGCGCUCGAGCUUGGGGAUGCCCCCAUGCAUCCCAAGAAAUAUUCAAAGGAGACUCAAGCAUCUAAGCUUGGGGAUGCCCCUGUGCACCCCCUUCUCUAUCAACAAUCAUCAGUUCUUCCAUCUCCAUGCUAUAUUUUUAUCACUUCAUAUGAUAUGUGUUAUACUUGGAGCGUCUCGCCCAUUACUUUUUAGUUUGUUUUAGUUUUUCUUGUUGUUCAUAACAAGUAGGAACCUUGUUUGGGAGAGAUACACGCUCCAUUCCACUCUAGAACACAACAUAGGUUUUCAUGCUUAUCUUUUUUGUGUGUUCUAUAUCUUUUUGUAUCUACUGUCAUGCUUAGCUCUUAGUUUUCAUGCUUAUCUUUUUAAGAGCUAUUAUUUAGGUUGCUUCUGCAACUAUCUUGAUUUAUCAUGCUUAUCUUAUUUAGAGAGUUGGCUCGUUGCACUGAGUUGUGUGUCUUGCAUGAGUAGGUAAUUGAGGUUGCUAUUUAAGUAUAGUAGUAACUUGCAAUAGUUUUGAGGUAUUGAUUUGAGUAAUGUUUGGACUAUUGGUGCCAAGAGCUUGAGCCUAUUAGUGAUAGGUGUCAUAUUUUGGGAAAUCCGUGUGUUUUUCAAAAACUAAAAAUAGGUUGAGAACUCUAGCUACUAAAUUGAUCGCUAAUCUCUAGAGGGGUUGGAAUAUAUAGAGUACCCUCACGUUACCACGAGUCGAGGAUACGCAAGGAUAACCAAACCCCCAAACACUCCUCCUCGAGGUACUUGUCUCUUUGUGAAUAUCCUAACUAGAUAGACAGUUACCGAGAAUAAGUGUAUGAGUUCUUCGGACUAAUGUGAGUAUUCGAUUGUUGGCACUUCCACCAUCCAUAUUUUUCUAGCCUCUUCGGUACCGUGCAUUGCACUUUAUCACACUGAGAGUUGGUGCAAACUCCGCCGGUGCAUCCAAACCCAUGACAUGAUACGCUCUGUCAUACAUAAGCCUCAUUAUAUCUUUACUCAAAACAGCCACCAUACCUACCUAUUAAGGCAUUUCCAUAGCCUUUCCGAGAUACAUUGCCAUGCAACAUCCACCGUCUCAUGACUUGAUCUUCAUGUCAUACAUGAUUUUGCUUGAUCGUAGAGCCGCAUGAUAGUUGGGCCUUGCUCCAAUUAUUGCUACAUGACGCGCUAGUAUCAUUGCACAUCCUGCUACACUUGCAGAGGCAUACAUUUGCAUACAUCAUGAUAGUUUUCACUUGUCUUUAUGUUGAGUACUUCUUAUAAAGUGUGAUGAUUUUUCUUUUAUUCUUCUAAAACAUAGAGUGUUGCCCUUAACUGAGGAAAAGAUCCCAAAGAGGAUACACAAAAAAUCCCAAAGAGGACAAAUGAGAGAUAAAAAGAAAGAGCCAAAGAGGCCACACAAAAUAAAAUAAAAAGAGAGGAAAAGAAAAAGAGAUAAAAGGAGAGAAGGGGGCAACACUACUAUUCCUUUUGAAAGAUCCACACUCGUACUCCAUUGCUAUAUUGGUACUACAUAGAUAUUAUCAUUCAUGCAUAACUAUGUCGGGAUCCUUACACUAUAGAACUUGGUUUGCAUAUUCCAAUGAUGAGCCUCCUCAAAUGAAAUAUAGGUCUUCAUGAGCAAACAAGUUGGAUGCACCCCCACUAGUUCCAUUGGAGAGCUUAUCUUAGCUCAUAUGUGCACCCAUUACAUGGCAAUCCUUACUCCUCACAUCAUAUCUAUCAUUUGGCUUUCACUUGCCUAUGUUGUCCUCAUUGAUGUGAGCCUUUCACACCUUUUUGUCUUCCUUCCCCAUCAUUAUUCUUUUUGCCAUCCUAAGUGCCAACAUAUCUUGCUUAUGCUCAUCCAUUGCAUGAGUGCUCAAAAUCGAAAGGGAGAGGGUCAUUUUGACUUGUGCCUGACUAGUGGUUUGGGGAUGAGUCAAAAUAAGAUUCGAAAGGAGACCAAGUGUGAGGUUUAUUAGAUUGAGUUCUCAAUUAAAAAAAUAUUUUAUGAUCUCAACCCAUCUCCCACUUCUUGCAUGCAAACACCAUUUGGAGACAUUUGAGUUGCGGACAUGAAGAGCUCUUGCACCUUUAUGUUCUUACUUUACUAAACUCAAUAUUAGAUAUAAUCUCUUGCUUGUUAUUGUCUUGACUUGAAUUGCAUAUCUCACUUGAUUUACUUUGAAGUUCUUAUAUGUGUGUUAGCAUGUCACCACGGAAAUUAUUGUGUUAUCAUUUAUGUACUCGAGGACAAGCAAAAAUUAACCUUGGGGAUGUUGAUACGUCCCAAACGUAUCUAUAAUUUCUGCUUUUCCAUGAUCUUUUGGGUGACAUUGUUAUAUCUUUUUCUACACUUUUAUAUCAUUUUACACAUAUUUGGACUAACCUACUAACUCAAUCCACCCAGUGCUAGUUUCUGUCUGCUGAUGUCUAUUUUGUACUGGCUUUUACCCAAUUUUCCGAAGCUCGAAAAAUUCCAGAAACAAUAUAUAAAAAAUCAGCGAAACAGAAGCUUCCGGAUCAACGAAGAUCGGCCGGAGGGGGGCCAGGGGCCUCCCAGGUGACCUGCUGGCGCGGCCAGGCCCUAGGUCGCGCCACCAGGCCGCCUGGGUGGGUCCCAGGUCCUCCGGUGCCCUCCUUUGGCUGAUGACCCUUCGAAAACUUCCAGAAUCGCGAAUUUAUCCAUCGUUCCGCUGCCGCAGCACUUCCAAGAUUGGGAGCAUCAGGAGACCUCUUCCCGGCACCCCGUCGGAGGGAGGAUUGACCUCCGGGGGCUUCUCCACCGCCAUGGACGCUUCCCGGACCUGUCGUGAGUAGUCCCCCUUGGACCAUGAGUCCAUUACCAGUAGCUAUGUGAUGUCUUCUCUCCAAUCUUGUGCUUCAAUGGUUAGUCCUUGUGAGCUGCCCAACAUGAUCAAGGCAUCUAUGUAAUUGUCUUACUAUUGUUAUGCUCGGUUUGUUGGGAUCCGAUGGAUUAUGAGAUUAUGUUCAGAUUGUUAUGAGUUAUGUAUUUGAUUAUCCUUUCAUAUUAUGUUCCUUAGUGAUUCAUGCAUGUUCUCCGUUGCUUUGUAUUGCUUUAGCUGAGUAGUAGAUUGUAACUCCAAGAGGGAGCGUUAUGCAUGAUUGUGGGUUCAUGCCCCUCGAUGUCUAGCUUGAGUGACAGAAACAUGAGACUAGGGGAUGUGCUUAUUUCCACCAAGGAGAAAACAACGGUGCUUGUGACCAUGGUUGCAAGGAUUGUUUACCUUACGCAUAGUUCGUUAAUGCAGUUGUCCAUUCUUUGAGUUUACACUUUGGGUGGGGCUCGCAACUUAAUACCUUAGAGAUGUUCUCGAUAGAUAUCUCAAGGUGGAUGAUUAGUAAGUAGAUAUUGAUGAAUAAACAGUCUACUUGUCUUGGUGUACUGCCCAUUACUAUUGAACCUCUAACUAUCAAGUAGCAUAAUUAGCAUUGCGGUGCACUCAUAAUUCUGUCAAUUGCCCAAGUGUAAUUUUUUUACCCAAGCGUAGUUAUUUAUCAUCUUUUGGGAGAGAUACAUCACUAGUGAACAUCAUGUGACUCCGGUCCAUAUCACUAUCAUUGUUUACACAUCCAUCAUUUACCGCUUUCAUUUAAUUUUCCGUUGCAAUCAUUAUUACCUUCCCGCUUGUGUUUUGAUCCUUUGCAAACUACAAGGCCGGAAAGAUUGACAACCUCUGUGUACUCAUUGGGAGACCUCUGUGUACCCAUUGGGAGAAAAUAUAUUUGUUGUGUGCGCGGGUCCACGUCUUCUACUAACGCCAGGGUGGGAUACAGCUACUUGUUGAUGCUAGGAGUCCUACUGGUUCGAUAAACCUUACAGUCUCCAUGUAAGGGAAAACUUGCCGCUGACUACAUCACAACCUUCCACUUGGGGUAACCAACGGGGUGCGAGAAGUAUAUACAUAAUCUCGUCAUCAGUAGCUACACGCUUCUUAGGAGCUGAAGGCUUCUUUGGAGCUGAAGGCUUCUUUGGCAUAACAUCAGCCAUAAGAUUCUUCUUUGAAGGAGGGACCUCAGCUGUAAUUUCUUCCCCCUCAUCACCAGCAUCUUCUCUUGGGUCUCCAUAAAUAGAAGUUGGACUUCCAACAACAUGAACAACUCUCUUUCUGGCUCUUUUCUGACCUAGCUUCUUAUCAAGCCUAGCCUCUGGAGCUUUCAUAUCAACAGGUCGGGCAUACUCCUUCCUCAUAGUCUUCCUGACUGCUGUUUUCUCUUUCUGCUUCUGGGGAACAAUUUCCUCUUGGAUAAAGUCAACAUCUUCUUUAUCUGAAUUUAACUUCUUCCUUUACCUGGUAGCUGCCUAGGGCAAGCCAUGGGAGCUAGGUGUUCCUGGGUCAGAAGGUGUCCUCUCUGGAUUAGUGUGUAACUCCAUGUCAGCACUUGGCUCACUAAAGUUGUUCUAACUAUCCUCUAAUCCUGACAUACUGUCAAACAGCCAAGUAGACAGGCUGACAAGCAGACGCUGUGAAAUGAUAUAGAAGAUCCGGAAUGGAUGAGCAUCACAAAGUUCAGAAGUUUUGAAAUUAUUGAACUCUGAAAAGUUAGGUUUAACAUUCAACAAAAAGGGAUUUCGGUUCCACCGAGUAAAAGUUUUUGGAGCCACCAAGACUGACGUUCUCAUUAACAGAAACUUGACACCCUUUUCGGUUUCACCAAGAACGUUCUCAGUAACCCUAAAAUAAAAUCGGUAAGACCAACUUUUCUGAAUCGGUGACACCGAGAUUCAAUCUUGCGGACGGCUAACUCUAAGAUUUUCAUUGUUCUCUAAUAUACGAGGUUUUUCUUGUGGUUGGGAUGAUUGCGGUAGUGGACAGAUUUCAUCAAAGCCUAUUUGCGCAAGAAUCAGAAUUGCGAGCGCAAAAAGGGGCCGGAUCCAUACCUAGCUCGGUGAUGGAUCCGGUACGGUGAUGACGGCGGUGAAGAUUCCCGUCGAUGGUGAGGACUCCAGUGGCGAGCGCGCACGGGAGGUUCAAGGUGAUGUCUAGUGGACUUGGGCGUUGUAGCGAGGAGGUGCGGGAGGGGACGUUUGAAGCAGUUUUCCAAUCGUCGGGUCCGCGGGAUAUAUGUCUCCUAGCUGUCGAUGACACCUAGAUGGGAUUUUUGGUGCCACCGAGUUCCAUAACAAUCAGUAGAUAGUGCAACUCGGUGAGGCCGAAAAUGAUACCGAGAUAAGAAAACCUAAUCAACCCUAGGCUUCCAUGGGACCGAGAUUUUGAGGUUGGUCACAUCAAGAUACAUUUUGGGAGGUUUUAUAAUUCAGCCCUUGUCGAGACGGAUCUCCGAAUGCUCCUCACACAUAGUGUCCCUAAAGUUCUUGCUCAAAUUUUGUCAUGUAGCAUGAAUAGAAUUUAGGACGAGAAAGCAUAGAUAGCUAGAGAGAGGUACCUAUGAAUUCUUGUACAUCCAAUUGGCCAAAUAAAAAGAAAAUCAAAUAACAACAAUUGUAUAUCCUCGAAUGGGGAAAAUAUGCAUACCAACAUGAUCACACAAUAGGAUGUCAAAAGAAACAUGGUAAACAUGCACAAACACUCUAGCAUCUAUCAAGCACUUUAGCGAUGACGAAGUCAUCUAUAUAUGAGUAUAUUGACUUAGGAUCCAAGUAAGAAUAAUUGAUCAAAGGUCAUACUCAUUGAUUCAGCACAAGAGGGGUUACGACUUUUACAUAAAGCAUUAAUGUUUUCACAUAUUUAGGAGAUGCUUAUACUCAUGUUUUAGAGUGAAGCUCCUCGUUGAUGUGACAUGCCCCUAAGAGGGAUAAACUAACCUUGGGUUUUUUCGUAGAAUACUUCAAGUAGGUAUAGUACUGGUGGAUGCUCAUUGUUGAUGAAGAUCAUCUUGAGUUGGGAGCAAUCGUUGUUGUUUUUUACACUUUUCACCUACAUGGGUUACUCCCAAAGAAUAGGGAACAUGUGAAAGCAUAUCUAUGGACAUGGAAUGAAAUACAUCUGAGAUGAUGUCCAAAGAUGCAUUAAUUACCUUUUCCUUUUCUUACCUUUGAGGGAAUGUGUGACUCCUUGAACUAAUGCAUAUGGUUGGAUUUGUUUGCAUGUAGUUCUUGCCAGAACGAAUAAGAGUGAAUGUCAUUGGAGAAUUCACCCCUCAAGAACUUUCUAGUUCUUCCUCUUGGGGAUCCACAACAACUUGAUGGGGAUCCCUGGAGUUGUGGUAGCGCUAGAUGAAUUAGAGCUAGUAGUGUCCUUGGGAAUCCACUUGACCUUGGCUUGGGGUUCUUCCUCAAAUGAGUCAAUCUUCUCUUGAAGGUUGCCCUUGCCUUUGUGGUCUUGUGGAGGAAGGUCAUCUUGAGACCUUGUUCCCUUGGGGAGAGUAGGGUGAUACUUCUAAUCUUGAGGAACAAACUUUGGGAUGGGAUAUGGACUUUCUUCCCAUUCAACUCCAUUGGCAUGGAAGUAUCCAACACCUUGCUUAUUCCGAUGCCCUCCUUGCUUGCGCACAAUUUCCUCAAAUUGCUUAAUUCUGGCAAGACUCUUGAAGACACCUUUCUCUAUAAUCCCUUUCAAUAAAAUGUUUUCUUGCUCAAGUGUAACUUGGCUAAGAGAACCAUUAGUGGAAUCAAGAGAGCUACUAGUAACAACAUCAUUUGAUCUAACUUUAGCACUGUUGUUACUAGAUGAAGAAACUUCCUUGCCUUUGUUACCAGUGUACUUAGGUUCAACUUGUGGAACAAAGGUAGACAAGAGUAAUUGUUUGGCUAGAUAAGAAGAACUCUUCUUUCGAAUAUCAUCAUUGAUUGCUUUUAGAAACGCAUGCUCUUUCUCUAAAUUUAGCUUCGAAGCAUAGCUUGUCAUGAGUUCUUGCAAGCUCUCUAUGAUCUUAUAGAGUAGUUUCAUGAGAAAACUUAAGAGUGUUUAAUUCUGUAGUUAGUCAUUCAAUCUCUUUCUUAUCAUCAUCAUUCGACUUCUCUUGACUAGCAUGAUUAUUAUCAAGUUCAUUUUCAGUGUUAUCACUAGUCUUAUCAAGGAGCAAGUCAUCUUCAUCACUAUCAAAAUCAAAGUACUCGGGGUGUGAUACCUUGGGGCCUUGGCCCAUGAAGCAGUUCGCACUUCCUUCGUCUGGUGAAUAAACUAAGUCGUCGGAGUUGGAGGAAAUGAGUGCAAGACCAGAAACACCUUCAUCUUGACUAUAGUUGGAGUUGGAAUGGUAGCUUCUAUCGGAUUUGUUGUCAGACUCAAAGCCGGAGACCCAUUCACCAACGUGAGCUUGAUGUCUUGUUCUUGAGCUGCUCUUGGUGUACUUGCCCUUCGUCUCCAAUUCCUUUCCUCUCCGGGAGUAUCUUCUUUCAUAACGAUAUUAUUUACUCCUUCUCUCUGUGCGUGGUGACUCAUCUCUUGAGAUUCGUCUUCUAGGUAACUCUUCUCUUCAUUUGUGGGGAGUCAUGCACUCAUUGGAAUAGUGUCCGGGCUUCCCAUAAUUGUAGCAGUUUCUAUGAUGACUAGACGAACGCUUCUCAUCGUAUCUUGAGCUUGAGCUUUUCUCUUUGCCUAUACUCUUGUAGAACUUGUUGAAUUUUCUGACCAUGAGCCUAAUCUCUUCAUUGGUAACAAGGUUGUCAUUUCAAGUAGUGGGAGUAUCACUUGAAGCUUUGUAAGCACUACUUGACUUGUUGUGCAACUCAUCUUUGUCCUUGAGAGACAUUUCAUGAGCAACAAUCCUUCCAAUGACUUCACUUGGCAUGAUAUCCUUGUAGUUUGGCAUCAUUUGGAUUAAUCUGCACACAAUAUCGUAUCUUCCAUCCAAGGUACUAAGUAUCUUAUUGAUGAUGAAUUUGUCGGUCGUCUCCUCGCUUCCUAAGCCGACAAUCUUAUUUGUGAUCAGACCUAGCCUAGAGUACAUGUCAGCGACUCCUUCACCAUCCUUCAUCUUGAACUUGUCAAGCUCACUUUGAAGCAUAUCCAACUUAGAUUCCCUGACAUAAUCGGUAUCUUUGUGCAUAUAAAUCAAAGUAUCCCAAAUUACCUUUGCAUUCUCAGGGCGGCUGCUUUUGUUGAAUUCUUCAUGGCACAAUCAGUUGAACACGAUGUCACAGGCUUGAGCAUUGUAUUACAACAUCUUCAAUUCUGUCGUUGUCGUAGCACGAUUCGGUUCUCUUCCUUCUCCGAGGAAAUCACCUUGCACAACAACAUGAACAACAUCCCAAACGGCAGGAUUAUGCCCAAGAAUAUGCAUUUUCAUCUUAUGCUUCUAACUAAUGAAGUUUGUACCAUCAAAAUAUGGACCACUAUGGUUAUAAUUUCCCUCACAAGAUGACAUACUAUCCUAGGUUGUGAAACCAAUGCAAUGGAGACCAAAGCUCUGAUAUCACUCGUAGCAUCCAAAGUAUGUCUAGAGGGGGGUGGUUAGACUACUUGACAAGAUAAAAACUUAGCAUUUUCCCAAUUUUAGUUGUGGGCCAGUUUUAGCAAUUAUGACUAGUCAAGUUCACCCUACACAUGCAUAUCUAAGAGUAUAGCAGCGGAAAGUAAAGACAUGAAAAUGUAAUGUAGAAGGUAAGGUAAGAAGAUCAAACGCAAAAGGUUGACGCGACAAUUUUUUGCAUGGUUCCGAUAGGUGGUGCUAUCGUACGUCCACUUUAGUGGAGAAUUCAACCCAUGGAGGGUAACGGCUGCGCGAGUCUACGGAGGGCUCCACCCACAAGGGGUCCACGAAGAAGCGGCCUUGUCUAUUCCACCAUGGCUUACGUCCACACAGGACUAGCCUCACUCGGGGUAGAUCUUAGCAAAGUAGGCGAUCUCCUUGCCCUUACAAACUUCUUCGUUCAACUCCACAAUAUGAAGUAGAAGGCUCCCAAGUGACACCUAACCAACCUAGGAGGCACCACCCUCCAAAAGAUAAUAGAUGCGGUAGAACGAUGAACUCCUUGCUCUUGUGCUUCAAAACAUAGUCUCCUCAACACUCAAUCACUCUCUCACAAAUUUGUCAUGGGUAGGAGAGAUUAAUUUUGUGGAAAGCAACUUGGGGAGGCCAGAGAUCAAGUUUCAAAUGGUUGGAUUGGAAUCUCUUUAUCUCAACACAUAAGUAGGUGGCUCUCUCUCAAAAAACGGAUCUGGCAAGUGUAAGUGUGUUCUGAGUGCUUACAACAUUACAACAUUAUUACCCAACUCGGUGACACCGAAACCCAACCAUUACAACAUUAUUACCCAACUCGGUGACACCGAAAUGAAUCUCGGUAGUACCGAGUUCCACUAAAUGUGGCAACUUUUGAAUUCUCGGUGAGACCGAUAUAUAAAUCUUGGUGGUACUGAUACAAUGACCUAGAGCAAUUUCCAAAUCAUGGUGAGACUGAUUCCAAUCUCAAAAAUUCUGAUUCUUGGAAUUAGCUAAACAGAAAGUUGGUCACUGAUCUCGGUGGCACCGAUAUGGAAUGUUGGUGGUACCAAGAUGGUAGGGUUUGUCAUAGGAUCUAUCUGGUGAAAAAUCGGUAGGGCCGAGUGGAAAAAUUGGGUGGCACCGAUUUUGUUGGUUUACUUUUGACAGAGAUAUGUUGUGAGAAAAUGAGUGAAUAUUUUUGGUGGCUAUCUCUAAGCACUUGAGCAACCAAUUUAUCAUAAUACCUCACCAACUUUUAAUAGUAUUGGCUUUCCUAUGGACUCAAAAGUGAUUUAUCACAAAUGUAAAAUGUAGAGUCUUCUUGCUUGAAGCUUGAGCCAAUCCUAUUCCUUUCCUUCAUCAAGGUUUUUUGUUCUCACAACCCUUUAGGCAAGGUAUAUUUGAACUUUUUUGAAAUAUACUUGGAUAAGAUCAUUAGUCCAAUGAUGCAUAUGUUGUGAUCAAUUAUCAAAACCACCUUAGGGAGGAGUUGUGCUUUCACUCUCGUACUCUUGUAACCGGCUUACCCAACAAGUCACCUUCUUAUAAUCUACAAGAUGAGGUGCAUCAUACUCCAACUCCGCCUUAUCCUCCGGCUGGUCUUUUCAAACAACCUAUCAAUCCUAUUGAUUCAAAUUUCCACGAAUCACCCCCUUCAUCUGGCGACUCAUCUGCCAAAAACUUGUCACCUUCUUUGUAUCAUAUGUUUUCUUGCUAAAACUCUGAGUUGCAUAUACUUUAUCAUGCCCUCUUGUUUUGUAGGGUGAGGGCUAAGAAGAGGAACCCUUGGCGAUUCAUUUAUCAAUCCUGAAGUUCUUGAGCCAGAAAAUCCAGACACGACGGCUUCCAAAGCCACCAGGCGUGUUCAAGAACAUCAAGAAAUCCAAGUUGAUUUACCUCCUCAAACUGAAAUAGGAACAAUUGCUACUUCACAUAUGGAUGUUGAAACUGACCCGAAAACUCGUUCUGAUCCUCCCAUUCCUUAGGGAACCCUUCAAGAUGUUUCUUGUGACAAGAAUGCGGAGGUGGCCAUCAUUGGGUUGAGUUAUACUGCUCCUGGAACCUGUGAUGUGUUGGCAAAGCUUGUUACUAAGGAGGAAGUUGUCCAGUCUAUCAAUGGGAAGACUAAACUGGAGCUUCCAGGUUAUGAGACUUUCAAUAUUGAAGCAUUGCGCGCUGGUUAUCUUGAGCGUCUUUAUGCAAGCUGACAAGUGAAAACUGGCCUUGUGAAUAUGAUGAAUCUAAAAUAUGGGGUAUGCUUCACCUUGCUGUGUAUUCCGUGUUUCAUAUAUCCUCAUGUAGCUCCCAGGGGCUGACUCGUCUUCUUGAGAUUAGUCGGGUCUUGAUGAUUUAUGGAAGAAUUCGACAUAUAGCCCCCAAGGUCCGACUCAUCUCCUUGAGAUGAGUCGGGUCUUAAUGUUUUGUAAAAGAAUUCGACCUGUAGCCCCCAAGGGCCGACUCAUCUCCUUGAGAUGAGUCAGGUCUUAAUGAUUUGUAAAAGAAUUCGACUUGUAGCCCCUAAGGGUCACCUCAUCUCCUUGAGAUGAGUCGGGUCUUCUCCAUCAUAUAUUCAGAAAAAAGCUUAUAUGCAUUAGCCCCCAAAUGCCAAGUAUUUUGCUUGCAAUCUGCUUGGGACUUGUUUACAAUCUUCCUUGUCACAAUCAUCAUAUUGUCCUACCUCCGGCUUAUUGUUACUCCAAUUUUUGUAGGAAGCUAUGAAGGCCACUGAGUUAAAAGUCACUCAUUUGACAAAAUCUCUUGAGGUGGGACAGACCGCUCGAUCGGAGCUUGAGGAAAAACUUCAACUAUCCUUGGAAGAGGCGUAAAAAAUCAAGGUGGUCUUUGAGGUAGAAAGCAAAUCCAUAAAACUCAAAAAGCCACCUUGACCAAAUGUGCUAAAAAUGUUGAAGAUCAAUUGAAGGUUGUCUCAAAAGAGCUAUUCGGGUUAAAAAGGCAUAUUGACAACAUGACUCGAGACAUCUUUGGUUAGUAUACUGAGAAACUUUGUCAUUAAUCCGCCUAAUACUUAUUUAUGAAUACAACCUCGUGAAGAUUUGUGAACUUGAAUUUUUGUAGGGCACCGUACGUGCAAUCUUCAAGAUAACUGCUUACUAAAGGUCAAAGUCGUAUAUGCGUUGACAGAGCAGCUUUACACCGGAAGCCUAUGCAAAAUCAUAGUUGUCAUGGGGAACAAAGAGCCGGUGAAACUCGAAGAAGAUGUACUGGAAUUCCUCUCUACGAUACCAAGGAAAAUUGGAGAACUCAGGAGAUCAGCCACCCGAGCUGGAGCCACAUAUUCCUUGAGUCGAGCUUUGGAUUACUCAACGGAGCUUGACCCAGCAUAAAUGGGUGGGGGGUUCCAGUGCUAAAGGCAGACGGAUCAGCUUUUAUCGAGGAUGACUAUCGUCAGUGCGUUAAGGUGGCUCGGGUCUUUGCGAGUGAACUUGUAAAUGACAUGUCAUUGAAGAGUCAUCAUCGAGUGUAUGACUCAAACAACACUCGAGUCCAAACACUCGUAUUUAAAUCGAUUAGGUCGACUCUGAAGUGUCAUGAGCAAUACUUCGCCCCAGAUGUUGACUCAUCUCCUAUUUUGAAUGAACAAGCCAUAUUUCAAGUCUUGACCCACUACAACCGGAAUUUGGAAGACCUUCAGAUCAUAGAUUCGGGGAAUCAAGCAAAGGACCAGCCGGAUACAUCUCACGCACAAGACCCUAACAAAGCUUAACCCAGAAAAUCUAAAGGCCGGGUUACAAAAAAAUAACUUUCAUUCCACCAUUUGGGCUUGAAGUUCCUUGUAAUAUGGUUUAAGACAAUAGUUGUUUUGCCUGUAUCGUGCCUUUGUGCACGUUAUCAAACUCCUUGAUCUUGUCAUGAUGGCAAGGAAUCUAUAUCUAGGCGAGUUUUUGUUAACUCGCCUUAUAUCCUUAUGCACAUGAGUUAGAUAACUUUUGGUAGUUUAAUCUGUUCUGUCUUGGCUGACCCUUGCUUAAUAUUUGAUUGCUUCAAUCAACGCGGAGCAGGUUAUCAUAUCUCGGUCUCUAACAUUCUUUCACGAUAUUUGCCUAUUGAGCCAUAUAACUUCAAACUAUCCAUGAUAGUAUGAUUACUCUAUAACUGGGUCACUCUUUUAUGAGCCAGAAAAAUAGUGUUUUCACGUGAAAAGAUAAAAUGAUGAUAAUAUAAUAAUAAUUUGGCUGAGUGAGACACGGUAAAAGGAGACCGGCUUUCGAGGCUCAAGUCUUGCUUCAAUGAAGCAGGUAUGAUAACCCAUGGUUUAUCCUAGCUUAUGUAUGUCGGCUCUCACGUGACAAACCAAUUUUUUAACCUUGCUAAUUUAGGGUCCAUAGUGGAUUAACUAAUCAAGAGUACAUGGACUCACUGAUGAGAGUCACAUCAAACAUACAAGAAGGUUUAACCAUUUUGUGGUGUCUUUCCAGAUCAAGAGGGUGAGAAAUCUAAACUCGAUGAGUUCAAAGCCCCCAAGUGACCUAUGAUCGAUAGAAAAGCCCAGCAUAUGAUUAGAGGAGACAAUGCUUCUACUUCAAAACAUAUGGAGUUCAGAUAAUCUGGCUUUAUUCCAUUGAUCAUGAUGAUUUGUUUGGACCAGUAGCCCCUAAGUAACAUGUUUUGAAAUAAUAAAGACUCAUGCUCAACUUGUAGGCUGAAAACAACAUAGGCCGUGAGAUUCGAGGAUGCCACCUUUAUUACGUUCAAAACUAUAAAAGUAUGUAUACAAAUUGGGGGGUUAUAGGAAAUAAUGACCGAGUGGCUCUAAGUAUAAUAAGGCCGCAUGCGAGCAAUGUUCCAGGGCCGGGUUGUCUCUGCUUCAAAGGUGUUCUUACCGGGUCGUAGAUCGAUCAGGUAAUAUGAACCAUUGUUGAGGUUUUUGUUGAUGAUAAAUGGGCCUUCCCACGACAAUGAAAGUUUGUGCAUCCCUUUUUGAUCUUGAAUCAGGCGGAGCACCAAGUCGCCCUCUUGGAAUGUGCAGCUUUUAACUCUAUGGCUAUGAUAGCGAUGUAGGUCAUGUUGGUAUAUGGCUGAACUGGAUGUUUCUAAGUCUCACUCUUCCUCCAAAGCAUCCAAGAAUCUUGUCGUGCUUGUUCAUUGUCACCAUGUACAUAAGCAAUGACUCUAGGAGAGUCAUGACGAAUAACACUCUAUAAUACCGCCUCAGCACCAUAAACCACAAAAAAAGGCGUGUAUCGAGUGGACCUGUUUGGAGUUGUACUGAUACUCCAGAGUACUAAGGGGAGUUCCUCAACCCAACAACCCAGGGUACGUUUUAAUGGGACCAUAAGCCGGGGUUUGACCCCUCUCAGAAUCUCCUCAUUUGCUCUUUCAGCCUGCCCAUGGGAUUGUGGAUGCGCUACUACUGCGAGGUCAAGCCGGAUGUGCUCCUUCUGAAAAAACUGCUCCAUAGCUUCUUUGGAUAAGUUGGUGCCAUUGUCCGCGAUAAUGCUAUGAGGAUAGCCCAAACUAUAGAUUAACUUCUUCAAGUAUUUGGCCACUGAUUCCGCAUCGCAGUUGCUGACGGGUUCUGCCUCUACCCAUUUAGCGAACUUAUCAACCUCCACCAGCUCGUGGGUCUUUUUAUUCGGAGACAUUUUGAAUGGACCAACCAUGUCAAGCCCCCACACUGCAAACGGCCAUGUAAUUGGGAUCAUGCGCAACUCUUGAGCCGACACAUGAGCAUGUCGAGCAAACUUUUAACAUCCAUCACACUUGCGUAUGAGGUCUUCUGCAUCUUCAUGAGCCGUUAGCCAAUAAAACCCAUGUCGAAAGGCCUUUGCCACCAAAGAUCUUGAGCCGACGUGAUGUCCACAGUCACCAGCGAAGAUUUCAUUGAGAAUUUCUUUCCCUUCCUCAUGAGGCACACGGCAUUGAAAUAAGACAGUGUUGCUCCGCCGAUGUAACUCGCCCUUGAUUAUGGUCAUCGACUUCGAUCGUCGAACUAUUUGGCAGGCCUCGACUUCCUCGGUCGGAAGUUCUCCUCGAGUGUGAUAAGCCAAACAUGGUACCGUCUAGUCUAAGGUAGCACGUAGAGCCGCCACCAGCUAUGAUUCCGGAUUAGGAAUAGCUAUAUCCUCUUCAGACGGUAAUUUCACCGAGGGGUUGUGCAGGACAUCCAAAAAUACAUUGGGAGGGACCAACUUCCGUUGAGAACCAAGUCACAAUAAAGCAUCUGCUUCCUCAUUGAGCCGGCAAUCAAUGCGAUCGACUUGAUAGCCAUGAAAGUAACACGCCACGUUAGUAACUGCUAGUUGAUAAGCCGACAUCAAAGGAUCUUUCCAAUCCCAAGUCCCUGAAACUUGUUGAGCCACUAAAUCUAAGUCUCCCAAACAGUUGACCCGACUGAGGUUCAUUUCUUUAGCCAUCCUUAGCCCAUGCAAUAAGGCCUCAUACUCAGCUUCAUUAUUAGUAUGGCGAAACAUGAGCCAUAAAACAUAGCAGAACUUGUCACCUUAUGGGGAAGUUAACACGACCCCAGCCCCGGAUCCUUCUAAUUGCUUGGAACCAUCAAAGUGCAAGGUCGAGUAGGUGUUAUUUGGCCUGUCUUCUGGCAUUUGUAGCUUUGUCCAGUCAUUGAUGAAAUCCAACAAUGCUUGGGAUUCGAUGGUCGUUCGGGGCAUGUAUUUCACCUGAUGUGGGCCGAGCUCGAUUGCCCACUUAGCGAUCCGUCUAGUGGUAUCUCGAUUUUGUAUGAUAUCGCCAAGGGGUGUUGAACAGACCAUAAUGAUUGGAUGCUCCUAAAAGUAGUGUUUUAACUUUGGGCUUGCCAUAAAGACCCCAAAGACCAGUUUCUGCCAAUGUGGAUAUCGUUGCUCGGAAAGGUUCGAGACUUCACUAACGAAAUAGACUCGUCGUUGAACUGGAUAUUCCUCUCCUUCUUCCUUCGGUUUGACAACAACUGCAACACUUAUCAUCUUUGAGUUGGCAGCAAUGUACACGAGCAUGGGCUCUUUGUCGCUCGGGUGACUAAAACCGGCGACUCAGCCAACUACUUCUUGAGAUCUUCAAAGGCUUCGGUUGUUGCGUCAGUCCAAACAAAAUUGUCCGCCUUUUUCAACAACUGAUAGAGAGGGAUUGGCUUCUCCACCAGGCGGCUUAUAAAUCGGCUCAAUGUUGUGAUACGGCCCGCCGGGAGUUGGACUUGGUUUAUGUUAGUCGGCCUACCCAGUGAGGUGAUCUCCUUUAUCUUGUGAGGGUUAGCCUCAAUGCCUCGUUCAGAGGCCAGGAAGCCCAGUACCUUACCCGCAGGGACCCCAAAGACACACUUACCCAGGUUAAGUUUCAAUUGGUACACUUGAAGGUUAUCAAACGUCUCCCCACGACCGUCCAAGAGUGUCUCCUUCUUCUGAGAUUUCACCAUGAUGUCAUCAAAAUAAGCAAGAGUGUUGCGGCCGAUCUGUGAGUGAAAGCAAUUCUACACAUAUCGUUGAUAAGUCGCCCCUGCACUCUUAAGCCCGAAAUCCAUAGAUACAUAGGAGAAGGCACCAAAAGGGGUUAAGAAAGUUGUAUUCUCCUGAUCCUCGUUAGCAAUUUGAUCUGGUGAUAACCUGAGUAUGCAUCCAAAAAGCAUAAUCGCUCGCAACCCGGCGUAGAGUCAAUGACCUGGUCGAUACGUGGGAGAGAAAAAGGAUCUUUGGGACAGGCUUUGUCGAGAUCUAUGUAAUCAACACACAUGUGCCAUGUGUCGUUCUUCUUUAGGAAAAGCACCAAUUUAGCCAACCAUUCAGGGUGAAAAACUUCAAUGAUAAAACCGGCAACUAGGAGCCGGGCUAGCUCUUCUUCUAUAGCCUUGCGUAUCUCCUCGUUAAAACGACGGAGAUAUUGAUGUAUUGGUUUCAUAUUUGGAUCCACAUUAUGAUGGUGAUCAGCGAGUUCCCUCGGUACUGCAGGCAUGUCAGAAGGCUUCCAUGCAAAGAUGUCCCAAUUCUCACAUAUGAACUCGAUGAGCGGGCUUUCCUAUUUAGGAUCCACACCAGUCCCAAUGUUGAACUGCUUGGAUGAGUCACCUGGGACGGAGUCAAUCUAUUUGGUAUAUUUUGCCGGCUUAAACUUGCGAAGUUCUUCGGACCCAGUAGUUGGCUUACUGAGAGGACUCAUGUCAGUCGGGUCAACAUUAGCCGUCUAAAACUUUAACUCCUCGGCAGCGCAUGCCGACUCAGCAUAGGCUGCGUGCCCUUCCUCACACUCCUGAGUCGUCUUCCUGUCACCUCUCACCUUGAUAAUGCCAUUGGGACCCGGCAUCUUGAGCUUGAGGUGGACAUAAUAGGGGUGAGCCAUGAAGCGUGCAUAAGUUGGCCUUCCGAAGAUGGCAUGAUGAGGGCUCUGUAUCUUCACCACUUCAAAAGUCAAAGGUUCGACCUUUUAGUUAUGCUCAUCACCAAGGGCACGUCAAGCUUAAUCCUCCCAACUGGUUACGCCGACUUCCGAGGGACGAUGCCAUGAAAAAUGGUGGUUGAAGUUUCCAAACUGUUGUUGGGGAGGUUCAUCCGCAGAAAGGUGUGAUAAUAUAGUAUGUUGAUGUUGCUUCCUCCAUCCAUUAGGACCUUUGUGAGGAUAUAUCCAACCACUUGAGGUGCUACCACCAGGGCCAGAUUUCGAGGGUUGUCGACCCACAGGGGAUGAUCCUCCCGGCUUUGGGUGAUCGGCUGCUCAUACCAACGGAGAUACUCGGGAAUAGCCGGCUCAGCCAUGUUGAUAGCUCUCUUUGUGACCUAUGUGUAUCGUUUUCAAGUAUUGGUGGUCAAGACAUGGUACUGACCACUACUUGGUUUCUCAAGAAGACGGUUCCGGAAAUCCCGCGUGAUAUAGCAGUCUUCCCAUCAAUGAUUGGUCGGCUUCUCCCGAGUGCCAUGCUUGGGCCAAGGCUCCCUGAGCGCAUCCUUGUAGUUGCGCGCCUUAUUCGCCUGAUGAACCUUUCCAGAGCGGUCACUCUGACACUGGUUUUUGAAACUCACUUUGGUACUGACCGCAGCUUUUGACCCGCCUUCGGGCCGCUUCCGCUUGUUGUCACCUAAGCCUUCAGCGUUCCCACUUUUGAAAGGACGAACUAACCCCGUGUUAUCCACAAAGGCACGGCUUCGACCGGCUCUAUGCCAACUGGGUCGAACAUGGCGAGCUGACUCGACGAUGUUGGUGCGGAUGUCCGACUCGGGUGUUGCUUCAUUGACCUUGCCAAUGAAGAUGUGGAUCUUUCCGAAGGGGACCCGGUACCCGUACUCGAUUGAGUCGGCAUCGAGACCCCAGCUUGAAUCAUUGAUGUAGAUCUUGUCGUGGAGACUCCUAGUCAUACGACCCGCAACGUAUCUCCCGAACCCUAGAAGAGCUCCCUCCAAGAACUUAACUCCACCUUGUGAUUGCCCCAUGGUGGGCGCCAACUUUCGUGGUUUUGUCGCAGCAGAUGUCCUCGUUGAAGGACUUAGAGCUGAGGCCAUCGUCGCGAUGUAGCGACUCGAAGGGGUUGAUCGGGAACGAGAGACGGAUUUACCCAGGUUCAGCCCCUCCAGUGGAGACAAAAGCCUACAUCCUGCUUUGGUGUCUAUAUUGAUGGAGAUCUUGAUUACAAGGAUGACGAAUAACUAACCUAGCUCUCGAGAGUUUCUUGCUUGAGCUUUUCGGCUCGCGGGCUCCCCCUUAUAUAUAGGCAGAGGCAUCGAGUUUACAACAGAGUUCAGGUCAAUAAAUGCAUGUGACAUAUUACAAUUCUACCUUGUCUUGUUUCCCAAGUUAGGAAAGCUUCUGGUGUCUCCUACCUCGUGGGCUUUGAGUCGCUAUCUUCAAGUACUCGGCCGCCAAGCGGCUCGCUUGGUAAGUCUCCUUGUUGUCCUUCUAUCCUUUCUGCAGCCCAUUGCGUACAUACAAGAAGAGUCGCCUACAGUCUAACCCGACCCAAACUGCGGGUUAUACCACGGGGUCAUAUCCCCGACAAACUCCGACUCCGUGUAACAUCCCAAAUUUUGGAAUGUUAAUAUAAUUACUAGACUGAUUGUUUGUUUGUUUGACUAAUUGAAACUUGAGUGAAAUUUGAAAACAUUUUAAAACUUUUGAAUGUGAGGGAAUAAAAGCACUUUCCCAUUUUCUUUUAAUUCAAAUUCAUCCAUUUAAAAUCAAUGAGAGAAGAUAACAUGACUUCUCCAACUAUAAAGAUUUUGAAAGGUGGAUUUGAAAACUAAUAAAAGAUUUCCUAUAUGGAUUUCAUUUUCGUAUUUGAUCAUAUUGCUAUUUCAAAGUUUAAAUGAAUUCAUAUAUUAAAAAAAUAUGAGAGGAGGAACAUGGCCCUCCAAACCACGGGCAUUUUGAAAAUUAUUUGAACCCUAAAACUUAGGAGGUCAUUUGAAAAUAUUUGUAAAAGGAAAUAAAACAUUUAGGCAAUUUUCUGGAAAUAAAUUUUUUUCCUGAAGUUCUUAUUUUGGCCGUGGAAAAAUGUCCAUCUUAUUGGAUUUAUUUUUUGAAAAUUUUGAUAUAUAAUACUUCUAUAUUUGGAAAAUUAUAUUUAUUUUAUUUUCUAAGUUUUACCUUCCGGUUUUUAUUAAAAAGAAACAAACCGUUUUCUUCGGAAAGGCAUCUGGUCCCGUUAGGAAUAUCUGAUCCGGCCCGAUACAUUCGUUCUUCCACCUCCCGUCUCCUUUCCUUCCCUGCCGCGUGAAGCUUCCACGAAGCUUCCUCGCCGAUUCCUUUCCCCGAUCACUGCGUACCUUCCUUCCCCUCACCCCCCGAGGCCCCAUUUAAUAUCCUCACCCCCUCCUCUCUCUGUUUUCCCCAAGACCCCUUUCUCUCCACGCCCCAGCGUCGCCCUACACCCUCGCCGGAGGUCCUGCUCACGCAGAAGCCAGGAGCUCCUGCCGCGCCACCUCCCUUCGCCCCACGACCCUCCUGACGCUACCAGGAGAACGCCGGGACCCUCCUCCGCCAGAACCACCACCCUGUCGCCCCCCUACACCACCGGAGCCGCCUCCCCUCGCCGCCUCACCUUCGAGCGUGCCAUUACCAGCGCUAGAGCUCCUCUCUGCCACGGCAAGCUCCCUCUCUCUCUNUUCUUUUUCCCACAGUUGGAUCCAUAAUAUACGCUCUAGAUUAGAUUAGGAUACCCUUUCGGAUUUAGUUAGAAAACCGAUCGGUUCCCUGUUAGUUAAUUUAAAACCGAAAGGUUUUCCUUUAUAUUGUGACCGUCCGUUAGUUAGCCUAAAUCGCGCACGAUCUCCAGCCAAUCACAGCCUGCCACGUCGCCUUUUCUUUUAAUCUUUUUCUAUUUUUAAUUCCGAAACAUAUUUGGACCUGAUUUUAGAUUGCUUAUAACUUUUAAUCUAUAACUCCAAUUGAGGUGAUUCUUUUUGCAUUGGAUCACAAAUUUUUUGUAUUUUUUGUAGUUAUAAAAUUUUACCAUGUUUUAAAUUUUAAACUUUAAAUUUAAACAGAUUUCGUUUAAAUCUUAUUUUGUUAAUAUCUGGAGUUUAAAAAUAGAUUUUUAGUUGAUUCUUUUUGCUACUGAUCACUAGUGAUCUUAUUUAUCAGUAGGUAAAACUUCAAAAAAUUUGGAGUAUUUUAAAUCAUUAUUUUAUGUAAAAUAGAUUUUGUUUUAGUUCUUUCUAGGACUAUUGCUAUUUCUUUUGCUAUAAUUGUUUUUAAUUUAUUUUCUUUUAUACUUGUGAAAGGUUAUAUUUUGUUUCAUUUUAGUUAACGGUAGGUUUUCAACAACAACAAAAUUUUAUUUUAUUUGAUAGCAUGAAAUCAAUUCUAGUUCGAUAAUAACUUGCAAAUUGAUUUUGUUGCUAGUUUGAUGUCCUAUUUGAAAAUACUUUCAAAAUAAUAUAGUUUUAUGAAAAAUACUAUAUGUUAUCUUAGUUAAUUUUAUAUUUUCUUUUCUAUUAUUUUACUAUUUUAGUGUUUUAUUUUCUGAUAAGUUUAAUUAGAAGAAAAACUAUUUAGUGAUUGUUGUAGUAGAAGACUCCAUAGUUUUUCUUUGAACUUCCUUUUGGAUUUCUAUUUGAUCAUUCUUAUUGAUUUUAUUGCAUCAAAUUUUAUUGUUGUAUGUUAUAUUUAUUUCUAGGAUGAUUGCUAGUAGGAUUGCUUAUAUGAAUACUAUGUUUGAUUAUAUAGAUAUCAUCGGAGAGUGACGAAUAGUUCUAUCAAGUUAUUUCUUGAGAGCGAUAUUCUUGUUCAUCAACCUUACCAGGCAAGUUCACAUUGAUCAUAUUUUUACCUCUGAUUUUAUUGCAUUAGUUUCAACCUUAUUCACCCAUUGCAUUCAAGUAGGUACUUGGAAACUUUGGUUAUUGAGUAGUAUGUUAUGAUAGGCACCCCUAAACCCUUGUUACUUUGGCGGGGACGUUAUUUUGCUAUGCUCAUGGUAGACGGGGUUUGGUUGAGUGUUUAUCAUGGGUGUUGUGAGAAACUUAAUAAUGAAGACCUUAAGAAUCCAAGACUUGCAAGACCUCAGAACAAAAUAUACCUCUGGGUGAAGGACGGUUCAGAUGGGCUCCGUGGGAAAAACCAGCGGAGGACUUGGGAUGCAUGCAGAAGCGCCAUGACAUCUUUCGGAAAGCUUCACCCAGGCUCAAAGAGAUGGAUGGAUAUUUGAAGACCCAAGUCUUACCUGCAGAGCCACAAGUCAUUAUGGGCUCUGGCUUGGUUGGACAACGUGGUGACUUUGGACGAGCGGUACUACGAGAUGUACAAGAACGGUAGGAUUGGAUGGGCACCGACAGUGGCUCAGAGGAACCCGUUGAAAGACCAUGUUUUGAUCAUCCGGUUCUCAAACAUCCUGAAGUGUGAGGACUCCAACGGAGGCGAUCAAAUCUUGUGGGGAACGUGUGCAAAACUCUGCUGAGUACUCAAACGUAAUUGAUUAGCCGUGUCCACGGUCAUGGGCAACUUGAGUCGAAGGAACUAAAGUUAUUAGGAAUUCUCAACACCAUUUAAUAUUGAUGUGGGUAAUAUUUAUAACUUGGGUAUGAGAAUUGGUUGGUGGAACCAUCUCAUUAACAACGAACAAUGUAGUAAAUCUUGCUUUGACCCUCUCUUGUUGUAGGAAAAUUUGCUUUACGCCAAACUUAAAACUACGGCCCCAUGUGUCGUAUAUGCAUAUAGUAUAGAUGAUAUUUUCACCCCUCUCUUUUCUGACUUGCCGGCAUAUUCGAUAUGCUGACCUACACGGCUGCAACAUCUUAUGUUGUAGAUAUUGUAUUCGACGAGUAAGAGUAUGAUUCAAGGUUACGGUCUGCACUCAACUUGUCGUUGGUGUUUAUUGGGACUCCACUGCCUUUGACUGUUUCCGCUGAGAUUUUGAGGUAUAUAUCAGUUUUAGGUUAUUUUACAUGUGAUUGCACUUUGAUAUAUACAUUGAUGUACUGUGUGUUCCAGCAUACUGAUCCAGUGAUGGCACGGAACACACAGAGGCUUGACUCGUUUUGAGUCGGGUCGCUAUAGAUAUGGUAUCAGAGAACAUGUUGAUUGUAGGACAUGACCCUAGAAACUGGAAAUCCCUUAGGAAAGCAUCUCUCUAAUAUUUUAUUUUCAAGAACAUUCUUUACUUCUCAUCUCUUCUGAUUUCAUCAAAUGUUCUCUCUCACCUCAAAUAGUUAGACAAUACCCUUUCCCCUUGGACCACAUAAAGGAUUAGCUGAGUCCCACUUCAAAGUAAAGAGCAUUUCACCAUGCAUUUGAAAAACUGAAGCUGCACCAAUUGAAGACUCUCAAGAACCGAAGAAUUUGAAGACCCUGAAGUGUUCCAAUAUUUAUAUGGCCAUUAGAAGUCCAAACACCUGUUAUAUACCCAUGUUAGAUACGAUGAUUUGUGAGCCGUCAUUUGUGUGUGUUUUCCGACAGCCACAAAUAAAACCUAUUCUCAAAAAUAUUGUUUGUAUUGUGUGUAUAUCCCUCUUUCCCGCUCUCUCUCUUACCCAUCUCAUCCCCAAAACCUUGGACCAAAUAGAUGACAUAUGAAGCUGGACUUGUAAUCUCUGGACCAAUGACCCAGCUCGAAGUUGAAAUAUGGAUUCAGAACAUGGAGAACCACUUCAGGAGCAAUUUAAUUUCAAGGAAGUAUGAAGUGGCACAUGCUCUUCAGUACUUUACACAAAGUGCUGCUAUCUGGUGGAAAAUGCAUCAUGACAUACAAGGAUUUAGUGGAGCAGAAACUUAGGACGAAUUCAAGAAGACUCUGUUAAGAGCUCGUCUCAUUCAGAAGUGCUAUGAUAGCCCGAUGAAGAAACCUUGUGCAUGUAAGAUCUGUGGAGAAAUAGGACACACCCAGGGAGAAGACAAGGAUGGAUGCCCUCAUUGUGAAGAAAAUCACCUAGGGGAGGAAUGCCCAACUAGUCAGGUGACUUGUUUCUUGUGUGAAGGAACCACUCACUACCCAGCCCAGUGUCACGUUUACCACAACGUACAACAAGUUGUCAAGCAACAGAAAUAAUCAAUGAAGGAAACGCUCAAGAAGAAGAUUUUAGAAGAACAUGUGAUGAAGGAAAAUAUUGGAGACCCUGAUGGACAAGGCCUAACCAUAUUUUUUCCCAAUGCAUGUUACUCAUGUGGAGAAGAAGGACAUUUUUGAGAGGAUUGCAUGAAGGAAAGCCAUAAAUAUCUGGGAGACUUCUCGACAGAAAAAGUAGAGUUGGAUCCACUUGAAAUAGAAGAACUGGCCCGAAUGAAGGAUUUCGGAAAGAAGAGAAAGUACACCAGCCAUAGUCAAAUCCCGACACAUAAAGACCUGAGUCAUAUCAGAUGUUUCAAGUGUAAGGAAUUGGGCCACUACAGCAAUAUGUGCCCAAGAAGGAAGCAGGAAACCCAAGGAGCAACAGCAAACACCAAGAAGCCCCGAGACUUGUCGGAACGCAUUCGUUUUCAUUGCAAGGAAGCAUGACAUUAUGCUAGUAACUGUCCACAGGGAAAGAAAUCUAAAAUGGAGUAGUUAAGUUCUGACAAUGGCAAUAAGUGUAGCAUGAAGCCCUCUUGUUAUCAUGAGUUUAUGGAGUUAAAUUUUGUAAUGGAAGUCUCUGAGAUUGUAAUAACUUCAUGAAUCAAUAAAAUUUAUUGUGUCAUGAUGUCCUAUGUUGAAACUAUAUGCGAUGUUUCUCUAUGAACAAAGAUCUCUGACCAUUUAUGAGGAUAUGAGAAAAUAUGGUAUAUGCAGGCAUGAGUAUAUUUCAUUUUAAGUGUGGUAGUAAUCGGUAAAACCACAGGAUCCAAGGAAUAGGAAUGUACCAUGCAUACCGAGGAGUCAAAUCCACCGAAUACAUUUGAAGGAAAUGUUGGACCAUAUCAAACUAUGUGGGUGACAAAAUUUGUAACCAAGUACUUUUGAAGUGGAAUUUCGAGAAUAGAAUGAGGAUGAAAUGAAGGAAUUACUAUGAUGAAACAAUACCUAAGGAUAAUCAAACCAAUGGAAAGGAAAAUUAGUUCAAGGAAUACAACAUGUACCAAGGAUGCAUCCCAAGAUUUUCAAAAAGGUUGCCCCAAGAGCAUGAAGGGAUAAGCUAUGACGUGUCAGCAAACGUUUUCUUAGGAGCACGCACAAAACCUAAGAGUGGUAAAAAUACGAUAGAUGUUUCGUUCAGCUUGCAGAACCAAUGGAUUCGUCCGAACUUCAUUCAUGUACAAGAGAAAUUGUGCAAUGCUUGUGAGGAUGCCCAAGUGUUAGAAUGCAAGAUUUGCUAAACCUUAUACAGAGCAAUGAUUUGGGUGUGGAAUAGAUUGAUCACCAUGAUGACUUACUCUUAUCAUUCUCUUGCUAUUCAGAAUGGUAAAUCUGAGAGACUUACUGUCGUGGUUUUUUCACGGCAGAUGUCCUCGUGAAAGGACUUAAUACUGGAGCCAUCGCACCUUGGUGGUGACUCAAAGGGGUUAAGCGGGAGAGACACGGCGAUUUACCCAGGUUCGGCCCCUCGGGAGGAGGUAGUAGCCUACGUCCUGCUUUUGUGUGUAUUGAUAUGGAUUCGAUUACAAGGAAGGCGUAACUCGCCUAAACCUAGCACUCGAUGAUUUCUCACCUGUCCUCUGUCCCCCGGGACUUCGCCUUUAUAUAUAGGUCGAUUCCCUAGGGUUUACAAGGAUUCCUUCCUUUCUACAACUCGUGACCAUUGCGGUCUCUAAAUCGCCAUCUUCCAAAGCUGGGAGACCCGCCAAGAGCCAUACUCGUCGUACGACCUCGAUUCGGUCAAAACGAGGCCCAACUAAACGUUUAGAUGAAUCGCCCAAUGGAUAACCCGGCCCAACUAGGGCGGGUCAUCCACUGGUUACAUUCCCAACAUUAGGCCCCGAAUUGACUUGAACCUUUCCUCUUCAUGCCAAUACCUCUGCUCCAUUAAAGGCGAUUCAUUCCCUACUCUUCUGCGUCUGUCAAAAAAUUGUACACCCGCCAUUGCCUUUGGGCACUGAAAAUCCCUUAAGUUGCCAGAUCAUUACUAAGUGGCCUUUUCUUAUUCCUUUUUUUUCGGGAAGACCGCCACAACUCCAACGGAUCUUUAGCGCAUUGUUAUCCGAAAUAUUCGGCACGCAUUUAUAGCGAAUCUUUUAUCCCCCGGCGGUUCCCGCUCAUGGCGCCUCAAUUCCAACACCUGCCUUGAUAAAUAGGCCAGGGGGGACACAACUGGCGCUUCCCACCUACCAGUCUUGUCACCUUCCUCCCCACCGGUGCAGCGAGAAAAACUUAUCGCCCCGAGGAAUCCGCCGCCGACCGUGCUUUCGGCCUUCACACGAGGAGCUUCGGUGCCGCCUGUGGGCUUUCGCCGUCGUCCAUUCUUGCGCCGCAACCAACACAUCCGCCGUCGUCAUCGUCGACCGCUUCGCCGUCGUUAACCUCGCCAUUUACCACGAACUUCGCCGCCGCUGAAAACCUCUUCGCCCGACGGGACGCCAGUGCUUCUCCAGCAAACCCCAUCACCAUCGGCUCUUCUUCCCCGACAGCAUCAGGUUAGGCCUCCACCUAAUUUUAGGAGUAGAUUCACUCUCCGCUUGAACUCCCGCCAUUGUCGUGUUCUUGAAGCUCCUUGCAUAUAGAUGCUACCUGCUCUAAAUCGAUUAACACGAGCGUUGGUAGGAUAGCUAAUAUUCCGAAUACUUUUACUUAUCCGUCUUUACUCGUGAAUAUUUGAAAAUAAUGUUUCCGCCAAGCGAAGGGCGUCAUCCGAUAAUAAACUGUCGCGACCAGUCAUUUUCUUUAGGUUUUCUCUUCUGUCUGGUAGAUCCAUUCCUUAUUUACUGUUUGCAAAAAGUUGUUUGUAGUCCUCAUCUCCUGGUACUUCAAAUGAAACGCUUUUACCGUCUUCAGAACGUAGCCCUUGAGAAUAACCACACUUCCAUAGGUCGCCAUAGUGACCCAACUCGCCCCUUUGAUCUGGCGGGUCAAACCUUUCCUUAAUCAAAGUACUCGGCGGGUUAAAUGAACUGAUUUCAUCCCAUACAGUAGGUGUCCAAGGCAUGUAAUAUCAUACUUUACUUAUUUGUAGCAUGGGCGCCGUCUUCAAGAGUGACUGGCUUCCUACCAAGGUUGAUGACUCCAUAUUAGCCGAUUAUGUGAAACCAGGCAGUUUGGAUCCUCAGGAUGUUAUUGGCUGGCGCACCGGGUUCGGAGAAGAUCUCCCUAACCCCAAAGAAGGGGAAAUAAUCGUUUUUGUUGAACACCUGGAGCGAGGUUUUAAGCCGCCCGGAUCAAAGUUUCUUAGGGACGCCUUGACUUUCAUGAACGUCCGUCUCCAGGAUCUGGGACCCAAUUCCAUAAGUAAUUUGUGCCAAUUCCAAGUUCUUUGUGAGGCUUAUCUGCGGAUCGAGCCUUCUGUCCCUUUAUUCUGGCAUUUUUUCCAUCUGAAUCACAAAACGGAAUUCCCUAACGGCCCCAGCUUGGAACUUGGUGGCGUCAAUAUCCAGCGCUGCAGGGCUAGCCCAUUCCCCUCACUCACCAUGCCUAGCCAUCCCAAAGGCUGGGGCGAGUCUUGGUUUUACUAUCAAGAGACGUCUCCUGCAGGCGAGAACAAGCUUCUGGGUUACAGGCCAACUCGCCUUCCGACCAACUUCAAGCUUCCAGACAAGCUUACCGAGGAGGAGGAAUCGGAAUUCAUCCCAAUACUAUCUGAAUUAAGAUCUUUGACGAACAACGGCCUUACCGGGGUCGACCUAAUCCGCUGCUGGGUUGAAUGGCGUAUCCUCCCUCUGAGCCGCCGGGAUGGCCUGAUGUGUGAAUUUGAUGGCACCCUGGAUCAUCCUCAAUGCUAUUUUCGCACAGCUUUAAUGGAAAAGGAUAUUGUUACCAUUAUCAAAAAGCUGACUGGCGAGCCUGCAGGAAAAUGCGGCCAGAUCGGCCUUAAGCCUUUCUUCAAAAUCAACCUGGCGCCCAAGGUAAACAAACCUAACCCGCCUUUGGUCUUUAUUCUUUAUGCUUCAUUUGUAUUGUGGUUUCGUAACAUAUGCCAUUUCAGAAAGGCGAUAAAUUCUGGUCCAGGAAGCCCAAAAGGCAAGCCAUGAAAAAUGUCAAGCCGCCCUCAAAGAAAACCAAGGGUAAGGGCAAAUCUGUUGCAGCUGAACCAUCCGAAAUUGACGAAUCUCAAGUCGGCGAUGCACUUUCGGAGGUAAAAAUUCGUCCUCUUUUCACUCGCCAUCUAUUACUGUUAACCUUUGUAUUUAUAUCUCUCCAUUUCCUUGAAAUAGAAUGAAGAUAACGAAAGCCAGGAGGACUCUGUUGAGGUAAUUUCUGUUUCCUCCGAUUCAUCUCCUUCUCCACCUAAGUCGGCCAGGCAAAUUUGUGGGAAAGUUCCCUUCUCAAAUCCAAAUGCUUAUUUGGACCCAAUUUUCCUACUGAAGAAAGCACAGCAUGCCUCAAAUCGGAAAACACGGAGUCACUCCGGCGAUCUGGUAUCUGGCUUACCAGCAACGAACAAAAGAAAACCAAGCGAGGUACUCUUAUGAGUAACCAUUCUUCAUGUCUCUUUGGAUCACGCUUGUAACCCGCCUGUAUUAUUGACGUAUAAUUCUUACAGAACUCUCCUCCCACUUCUGGCGACUCAGUGAUGUUGACACUUCCACCAAUGAUUCGAGUUCCGGGGUAAGUCUUUUGAUAACCUUGCCUUGACUUUUGAGAAUAACGAGCUUUCAAUUCCUUAACGUGCUUAUUCCCUUUUUUUCAGGGCACAGGCCAAGAAGAGGAAACCCAGUGGAUCAACUCCUGACGCAACUUCAGAACCCACGAAAGAAUCAACUCCGACUCAAGACAAUCCGGAUCAAACUGAGCCUGCGACUCAAGCGGAUCUUCCUGAGUCGCCGAAGGAAACAAUGGAUGCCCCUAAGCCGCCGAGCCCAUUGACGACAACAGAAGACCCAGAUGUUGUGGUUAUUACUGGUUCUGGCUUUUCUAAGCCGGCGGCGACAGUUUUGUCCAAACAUGUAGCAUCCUCCUCUCAAGCCAUUCCCGAGUCUGGGCUCUCCAAGGCGAAACUUUCCGAAUAUGCAAAUUUGGAGUUUAAGGAACUCUGCUCUGGCUUUGCAAGUCGCCUGGAAGUGAGCUAUGAGAUGGAGAAAAACCUGCUGCAGAUGUUAAACAACAAACAUGAGGUAAAUUUUGUUAUACUAUAUUAUUCCCAUUAAGCCCCAAGGGCCGGGUCAUCAGUAAAAAGAUGAGUCGGGUCUUGAAAAUUUAGAAAAAACUUCGCGACCAGUAACCCCCAAGUGCCGGGUCAUCAGCAAAAAGAUGAGCGAGGUCUUGAUUUUUGUAUAAUUUCAUCUGAAAAAAUUAUACAUUAGCCCCCAAGUGUCAGGGAUAUUGCUUUGCAGUAGUUCUGAGACUUGCCCUUAUUUUAAACUUUCAAUAGGAAAACCAUGCUCAGACCGAAUCGGCGCUGAGCGAUUUAAGGAAAAACUUAGCUGGACAACAAGACGCCCGAGCUAAGUCGGAGGAAAAAUGCCAAUUGGCCUUGGCCGAACUGGUAAAACUCAAGGCCGAGUUGAAAAAAGCUCAGGCUGACCAAAAUGCCGCCUUGAAGAGAGCAGAGAAGGCUGAAGCUAGGCUGGUCACUGUACAACAGGAAUUGUCCGGCUUAAAGCGUCAUAUCUCCAACAUGGCGCAAGGCGUCUUUGGUAAGCUUUACUUAAACCUUUGAUCUCCUCCUCUCCUUUUUUUUUAAAAGAACACUUAUGAUAAGUCGCUAAUCAUCAUGAUUCAGGUCUGAGAGCCGCCAACCUUCAAGAAGACUGUCUGUUGAUGCUGAAGGCGAUUUACACGCUGACAGAGCAAUUGUACACAGGCAGUGUCUUGACUGUUAAAGCUGUGAUGGGUGCCAAAGAACCUAACACUUCCAUCAAGAAGGUGCUUGGCUGCUUGUCCACACUUCCCCCUCAGAUUGGCGAGUUAACUCGGUCAGCCGCCCGGAGAGGUGUUCUGACUGCCCUGAGUCGUUGUUUGGCGUAUGCUCCAGAAAUCAACUUAGAAGAAGUAGCCGCAGGCUUUCCUCAGCUCAAGGACGAUGGGUCAGAAUUUGUUGAAGAGGACUAUCAGCGAGUCGUCAAGGACUCUCGGCUGGCUGCAACUCAACUUGCCGCAAGCCUUGAUUUAACAAAAUACCAGGCGGCUUAUGAUAGCAGAAACAAGAAGGUCAGCCCGCCAACCUUCAUGACGACCAGCCUAACUCCUCGGCGACCCAAGAAUCCUUUCCACUUGGAAGCAGACUUGGCAUCAAUUCUGACUGAUGAAGAUGACUUUGCUGCUUUGGCCAAGUGCAAUUGGGUAUUGGGCGACUUGCAAAUCGAAGUCGGCCAGAGCUCACAUCAGGAUGAUCCCGACGCGCCAGCAAAGUAAACUUUAUUGAAGUUGGCCUGAGAGCCAUGUAAUAGAUCCUUUUUCCGUAAGUCAGUACUGUUUUUGAUGAUACCUUUUGCAAGAACCUUUAUAUCGCCCUUAAGGCGAUUUGAAAUAUUUGACCCGCCUUUAUAAGAGUCUUCUAUAACGCUUAAUUUGCCAUGGAUGAAACAAUUCUUAUCACCCUCCUGUCUUAAGCUUUGAGAAUAGCAUAUGUGAAAACAAACAAAUUAUAGAUAUUUUCAACAAGCAUCAGAAAGAAAGGGCUUAAAACCUUCAGGGCUAUGCCACGACGAAAAAUAGCAACAGUAAUUUCGUCGGCUCAUAAGGUCGCGACAGGGGGAGGCGAGUCAGAAGGCUCGUGCACCCACCCUAAAUGCAGGUUUCGUCGGCUCAUAAGGUCGCGACAGGGGGAGGCGAAUCAGAAAGCUCGUGCACCCACCCUAAAUGCAGGUUUCGUCGGCUCAUAAGGUCGCGAUAGGGGGAGGCGAGUCAGAAAGCUCGUGCACCCACCCUAAAUGCAGGUUUCGUCGGCUCAUAAGGUCGCGACAGGGGGAGGCGAGUCAGAAAGCUCAUGCACCCACCCUAAAUGCAGGUUUCGUCGGCUCAUAAGGUCGCAACAGGGGGAGGCGAGUCAGAAAGCUCGUGCACCCACCCUAAAUGCAGGUUUCGUCGGCUCAUACGGUCGCCACAGGAUUACACAAUUUGCUUUUUAAUGAAGAAGCCCCCAAGUCGGGGAGUAUUUUAUUACUUCAUAAUGAAACUGAAAAACUUACAAAGUGUAGAGCUUAAGAGCUCAAGUGUAGUAAGGCCGCAAAUGGGCAAUAUUCCAGGGGCGAGUUGACUCAGCCUCUGUGGUCGGUCGAUUAGGCCGAAGAUCCACCAAAUAAUAAGAACCAUUGCGGAGGUUCUUGCUGACGACGAACGGCCCUUCCCAAGGGGGUGACAACUUGUGCAUGCCUGCUCGAUCUUGUAUUAGACAAAGCACUAAGUCGCCUUCCUGAAAGGUCUGACUCUUAACCCGGCGACUAUGAUAACGCCGCAGAUCUUGCUGAUAGAUAGCCGAACGGGCCGCAGCCAGGUCGCAUGCCUCCUCCAAGGCAUCCAAAGAAUCUUGACGCGCCAGCUCAUUAUCUUUCUCCACAUAUGCGGCGACUCUAAGAGAGUCAUGCCUUAUGUCAGUAGGGAGAACAGCCUCUGCUCCAUAGACCAAAAAGAAAGGGGUGAAUCCCGUGGACCGGUUCGGGGUGGUCCGAAUACUCCAGAGUACCGAAGGUAACUCUUCAACCCAACAGCCUGGAGUCCUUUCCAGGGGAACCAUGAGUUGGGGCUUGAUCCCUCGCAAGACCUCCUGAUUCGCCCGCUCUGCUUGCCCGUUGGAUUGCGGGUGAGCGACUGCAGAAAUAUCAAGUCGGAUAUGUUCUCGACGACAAAAAUCCUGCAUCGCCCCUUGGGACAAGUUAGUACCAUUAUCAGUGAUAAUACUGUGUGGAUAUCCAAACCGGAAAAUCAGCUUCUUCAAAAAUUUGACCGCUGUCUCCGCAUCGCAAGCUCCAACAGGUUCCGCCUCAACCCACUUGGUGAAUUUAUCAACUGCCACCAAUAGGUGGGUCUUCUUGUUGGAGGACAUUUUAAAGGGACCAACCAUGUCCAGCCCCCAGACUGCAAAAGGCCAAGUAAUGGGAAUCAAUCUUAAUUCUUGAGCCGGCACAUGAGCCUGCCUCCCAUAACAUUGGCACCUCUCGCACCGACGAACUAUGUCUUCUGCAUCUGCAUGAGCCGUCAACCAAAAGAAAUCAUGACGAAAAGCCUUUGAUACCAAAGAACGUGACCCGGCGUGAUGUCCGGGGGGGGGCUCCGGAAUGAAUGUCAUUUAGGAUCGUGCAUCCUUCUUCGGGGGAAACACAUCGCUGAAAAACCCCAGAAGCGCUCCGUUUAUAUAACUCGCCAUUAAUGAUGACCAUGGAUUUGCUGCGCCGAACGAUCUGGCGAGACAAAACUUCGUCGGUGGGUAACUCGCCGCGAGUGAGAUAAGCCAGAUAAGGGAGAACCCAAUCCGGACUAACACGGAGAGCCACCACGAGCUGAGACUCGGGAUCUGGUAUCGCCAAUUCCUCCUUUGAGGGUAAAACCACGGAUGGUUUAUGCAAGAUAUCCAGAAAAACAUUAGGGGGAACCGGUUUUCUCUGGGAGCCGAGUCGCGAGAGGGCGUCAGCGGCCUCGUUGAGGAGCCGGUCAAUAUGGUCCACCUGAUAGCCAUGAAAAUGACCCGCCACAUCAGACAUAGCUCGUCUGUAAGCCGCCAUCAUGGGAUCCCGAGAGUCCCAGGUACCCGAAACUUGUUGCGCCACCAAAUCGGAGUCACCAAAACACCUGACUCGUGUUAGGUUCAUCUCUUUUAUGAGUCGCAAGCCGUGAAGCAAAGCUUCAUAUUCCGCCGCAUUAUUAGUGCAGGGAAACAUGAGUCGGAGAACGUAACAGAACCUAUCUCCUUGAGGGGAUACUAACACAACACCAACCCCUGAGCCUUCCAGCUACCUGGAUCCAUCAAAGUAAAUAGUCCAGUAGGUAAGGUCAGGCCGGUCUUCCGGAGCCUGUAGCUCUGUCCAGUCGUUAACGAAAUCAACUAGUGCUUGGGACUUGAUAGCUGUGCGGGGAGUAUAUUGUAUGUGAUGAGACCCAAGCUCUAUCACCCAUUUGGCGAUUUGCCCAGUUGCCUCCCGAUUCUGGAUGAUGUCACCAAGGGGAGCAGAACUAACCAUUAUGAUCGGGUGCUCCUGGAAAUAAUGCUUAAGUUUUUGACUCGCCAUAAACACCCCAUAGACCAGUUUUUGCCAAUGCGGGUAUCGCUGUUUGGAAAGAGUUAACACCUCGCUGAUAAAAUAUACUGGGCGUUGCACUGGGUAUUCCUUCCCUGGGGUUCUUCCUUUCUUUCAACGACCACAGCCACACUUACUGCCUUGGAAUUUGCCGCGAUAUACAGAAGCAUAGGCUCCUUUUCAGUGGGGGCUGCCAGGACCGGCGGGUUAACCAAUUGACGUUUCAGGGCCUCGAGCGCCUCAUCUGCCUCAUUUGUCCACACGAAUCGAUCGGACUUCCUCAAUAAUUGAUAAAGAGGAAUCGCCUUUUCCCCUAGGCGACUCACAAAACGACUUAAAGCCGCAAUGCGACCCGCCAGUCGUUGAACUUGAUUAACAUUCGCCGGCUUUCCGAGAGAGGUAACCGCUUCGAUCUUGUCCGGGUUAGCCUCGAUGACGCGCUUCGAUACCAAGAAACCCAGCAAUUUUCCUACAUGUACACCAAAAACGCACUUGGUAGGAUUUAGCUUCAUCUCAUAUACCCGUAAAUUAUCAAAAGUCUCCUUAAGGUCUUCCAAUAGUGUCUCCCCCUGGCGGGUCUUGAUCACAAUAUCGUCAACAUAGGCAUGGACGUUGCGACCAAUUUGGUUACGAAGACAAUUCUGGAUGCAGCGUUGUUAAGUCGCCCCCGCGCUUUUGAGUCCGAAAGGCAUGGACACAUAGCAAAAGGCCCCGAAGGGGGUUAUGAAGGCCGUCUUCUCCUGAUCCUCUACGGCCAUCUUGAUCUGGUGAUAUCCUGAAUAGGCGUCCAGAAAUCACAAUCGUUCGCAUCCCGCCACCGAGUCAAUGAUUUGAUCGAUGCGGGGAAGAGCGAAGGGAUCUUUGGGACAAGCUCUGUUGAGAUCCGUAUAGUCAAUACACAUACGGAAAGUGCCAUUCUUCUUGAGUACCAACACCGGGUUAGCCAGCCAUUUGGGGUGAAAAACUUCCACGAUGAACCCGGCGGCUAAAAGACGGGCGACUUCUUCUCCAAUCGCCUUGCGUCGUUCCUCGUUGAAUCUGCGAAGGUAGUGCUGGACAGGUUUGCAUUUUGGGUCAACGUUAAGAUGGUGCUCAGCAAAUUCUCUCGGUACACCAGGCAUGUCAGAAGGUUUCCAUGCGAAGAUGUCCCGAUUCUCACGGAUGAAUUCGAUGAGCGCGCUUUCCUAUUUGGGGUCCAGACCCAUCCCGAUGGUGAACUGCUUGGAUGAAUCGCCAGGCACGAAAUCGAUUGUCUUGGUGUCAUCCGUCGGCUUGAACUUGAUGGGCGACUCAGAAUCUGUAGUUGGCUUCUUGAGUGGUGACAUGUCCGCCGGGUCAACAUUGGCUCGAUGGUGUUUGAGCUCUUCCGACGCACAGGCGACUUCCGCAUAAGCCGCGUCCCCUUCUUCACAUUCCUUUGCGAUCCUUCUAUCUCCAUCAACUGUGAUGGGUCCUUUGGGACCAGGCAUUUUGAGCUUGAGGUAGACAUAGCACGGGCGGGCCAUGAAGCGGGCGUAAGCCGGUCGCCCGAACAGCGCAUGGUAGGGGCUUUUUAGUUUGACCACCUCGAAGAUUAGAGACUCCGACCUGUAAUUCUGCGCAGUUCCAAAUGCCACUGUGAGCCUGACCCGGCCUAUGGGAUAAGCCGACUUGCCCGGGACAAUUCCGUGGAAAACCGUGGUUGAAGGCAUCAAGUCUUUCUCCAAUAGAUUCAUCCUCUGGAAGGUGUCGAAGUAUAGGAUAUUGAUGCUGCUGCCACCAUCCAUUAAUACCUUUGACAGGGUGUAACCCCUCACUUGGGGAGCCACGACCAACGCCAGAUCGCUCGGGUUAUCUACUCUUGGCGGGUGAUCCUCCCUACUCCAUGUUAUGGUCUGCUCAGACCAAUGGAGAUAUCUGGGGAUCGCCGGCUCAGAUACAAUGUACGCCCGGUGACUUACCUUUUUAUCUCGCCUGCAAGCAUUAGUAGUGAAAACGUGGUACUGCCCAUUACUUAGCUGUUUGGGGUUGCUGCGGAAGCCCUCAUUAUCAUCCUGGUCCUACGGAGCCCCCUGUGGAGGCGGCUGCUGGAAAGCUCCCGGCGGGUUGUACCGCCGCUGGUGGUGCACCGGGUACUGGCCGCCGCCUGGCUGCGGGCCUCUGUGAGCCCCUUGUUCGGGAAAGCCGCCGAAGGGGUUCUGUCUUUGGUUGGACGCGGCGAGUUGGUCCUGGCGCCGGUCUGGUAGUUUCCUGAGUCGCCAAGUGCUCUGGCUCCUCCGAUCCCUGCGUGAACCCCACAAAGACCGGGCGAGUUAAAUUUUGCGUUAUGACUGGGCGGACGUACCUGGCCGGCUCGACGAUGUGGGUGGAUAUGUCCGGCUCAGGAACGGAUGAUCCGAUCAUGCCGAUGAAGAUGUUGAUCUUGCCGAAGGGGACCCUGUAGCCAGAUUCAAUCGAAUUCGCUUCAGGUCCCCAUCGCUGGUUGUCGAUGUAGGGUAUCCCACGGCGGCUCCGAGUCAUGAGUGCCGUCGCGUAACUCCCAAACCCUGGUAGGGCUCCCUUUGAGAACUCAACUCCACUGUGCGUAGGCCCCACGGUGGGCGCCAACUGUCGUGGUUUUUUCACGGCAGAUGUCCUCGUGAAAGGACUUAAUACUGGAGCCAUCGCACUUUGGUGGUGACUCAAAGGGGUUAAGCGGGAGAGACACGGCGAUUUACCCAGGUUCGGCCCCUCGGGAGGAGGUACUAGCCUACGUCCUGCUUUUGUGUGUAUUGAUAUGGAUUCGAUUACAAGGAAGGCGUAACUCGCCUAAACCUAGCACUCAAUGAUUUCUCACCUGUCCUCUGUCCCCCGGGACUUCGCCUUUAUAUAUAGGUCGAUUCCCUAGGGUUUACAAGGAUUCCUUCCUUUCUACAACUCGUGACCAUUGCGGUCUCUAAAUCGCCAUCUUCCAAAGCUGGGAGACCCGCCAAGAGCCAUACUCGUCGUACGACCUCGAUUCGGCCAAAACGAGGCCCAACUAAACGUUUAGAUGAAUCGCCCAAUGGAUAACCCGGCCCAACUAGGGCGGGUCAUCCACUGGUUACAUUCCCAACACUUACCCAUAGAGAGAGAUGGUGUUCUUUGAAGCUUUUGUUUAAGCCUUAGAAUGGUAUGAUGAAAGCCCAUGUACAUGACAAGUGUUGUCACGCGUCGGAAAUUUUAGGGUGAGGAUGAAGCCAAGACCCUUCUCUCUGCAGCAUACCCACAAAUGGUAGACCACCAUGAUAAUCAUCGAUAGGUUAUUUAGAAUGGUCACGAGACUUGUCAGUUAAGAAUACCAAGUGAUGGAAGAAGCUUUUAUCAACAGAAGAACCCUCGAUUUUGAGGGAAAUGUUAUGAGCAUAAAGCAAGAGCAUCACCAAAGGAGUUGGUAUGGAGAAUGUGAGGAGUCAUAUGCCAAGACCCCACAGGAUUGUUUGAAAUUUGAGGGACCGGUAACUCUCAUUUUAAGUGUGGUAGCAUCCCACUUUGCACGAGAUUGGAUUUUUUAGAAGACCCCCAAACCCUAACCUUUUCUUUCUAACCUCUUAGAAUCUCGAGGACGAGAUUCAUUUUAAGUGUGGUAGGUUUGUAACAUCCCAAAUUUUGGAAUGUUAAUAUAAUUACUAGAUUGAUUGUUUGUUUGAGUGAUUGAAACUUGAGUGAAAUUUGAAAACAUUUUAAAACUUUUGAAUGAGAGGGAAUAAAAGGACUUUCCCAUUUUCUUUUAAUUCAAAUUCAUCCAUUUAAAAUCAGUGAGAGAAGAUAACAUGACUUCUUCAACUAUAAAGAUUUUGAAAGGUGGAUUUGAAAACUAAUAAAAGAUUUCCUAUAUGGAUUUCAUUUUCGUAUUUGAUCCUAUUGCUAUUUCAAUGUUUAAAUGAAUACAUAUAUUAAAAAAAUAUGACAGGAGGAACAUGACCCUUCAAACCAAGGGCAUUUUGAAAAUUAUUUGAACCCUAAAACUUAGGAGGUCAUUUGAAAAAUCUUUGUAAAAGGAAAUAAAUCAUUUAGGCAAUUUUCUGAAAACAUAAUAUUUCUUCUGAAGUUUUUAUUUUAGCCCUGGAAAAAUGUCCAUCUUAUUGGAUUUAUUUUUCUGAUAAUUUUGGUAUAUAAUACUUCUAUAUUUGGAAGUAUAUUUAUUUAAUUUUUUAAGUUUUACCUUCAGGUUUUUAUUAAAAGGAAACAAAUCGUUUUCUUUGGAAAGGCAUCUGGGCCCGUUAGGAAUAUAUGAUCCGGCCCGAUACCUUCCUUCUUCCACAUGUCGUCUCCUUUCCUUCCGUGCCGCGUGAAACUUCCACGAAGAUUCCUUGUCGAUUCCUUUCCCCGAUCUCCGCGUACCUUCCUUCCCCUCGCCCCUCGAGGCCCUAUUUAAGAUCCUCACCCCCUCCCCUCUCCAUUUUCCCCAAGACCCCUUUGUCUCCAUGCCCCAGCACCGCCCUCCACCCUCGCCGAAGGUCCUGCUCAGGCCGAAACUAGGAGCUCGUGUCGCCCCACCUCCCUUCGCCCUCGGACCCUCCUGACGCUACCAGGAGAACGUCGGGACCCUCCUUCGCCGCAACCACCACCACGCCGCCCCCUACACCACCCGAGCCGCCUCCCCUCGCCACCUCACCUUCAGUUGCACCAUUACCAGCGCUGGAGCUCCUCUUUGCCACGGUAAGCUCCCUCUGGGGGGGGGGGGGGCUUUUUCCCACCGUUGGAUCCAUAAUAUACGCUCUAGAUUAGAUUAGGAUACCCUUUCGGUUUUAGUUAGAAAACCGAUCGGUUCCCAGUUAGUUAAUUUAAAACCGAAAGGUUUCCUUUAUAUUGCGACCGUCCGUUAGUUAGCCUAAACCGUGCACGAUCUCCAGCCAAUCACAGCUUGCCACAUCACCUUUUCUUUUAAUCUUUUUCUGUUUUUAAUUCUGAAACAGAUUUGGACCUGAUUUUAGAUUGCUUAUAACUUUUAAUCUAUAACUCCAAUUGAGGUGAUUAUUUUUGCGUUGGAUCACAAAUUUUGUGUAGUUUCUGUAGAUAUAAAAUUUUACCAUGUUUGAAAUUUUAAAUUCUGAAUUUAAACAGAUUUGGUUUAAAUCUUGUUUUGUUAAUAUCUGGAGUUUAAAAAUAGAUUUUUAGUUGAUUCUUUUUGCUGCUGAUCGCUAGUGAUCUUAUAUAUCACUAGGUAAAAUUUCAGAAUUUUUGGAGUACUUUUAAUCAAUAUUGUGUGUAAAACAGAUUCUGUUUUAGUUCUUUCUUGGAUUAUUGCUAUUUCUUUUGCUAUAAUUGUUUUUAAUUUAUUUUGGUUUAUACUUGUGAAAGGUUAUAUUUUGUUUCCUGUUAGUUAACAGUAGGUUUUCAACAACAAGAAAAUUUUAUUUUAUUUGAUAGCAUGAAAUCAAUUCUAGUUCGGUAAUAACUUGCAAAUUGAUUUUGUUGCUAGUUUGAUGUCCUAUUUGAUGAUACUUUCAAAAAAUACAGUUUUAUGAAAAAUACUUUCUGUUAUCUUAGUUAAUUUUCUUUUUUAUUUUCUAUUAUUUUACUAUUUUAGUGUUCCAUUUUCUGUUAAGUUUAAUUAGAACAAAAACUAUUUAGUGAUUGUUGUAGUAGAAGACUCCAUAGUUUUUCUGUGAAGUUCCUUUUGGAUUUCUAUUUGAUAUUUCUUAUUGGUUUUAUUGCAUCAAAUUUUAUUGUUGUUUGUUAUACUGAUUACUAGGAUGAUUUAUAGUAGGAUUGCUUAUACGAAUAUUAUGUUUGAUUAUAUAGAUAUCGACGGAGAGUGAUGAAUAGUUCUAUCAAGUUAUUUCUUGAGAGCGAUAUUCUUCUUCAUCAACCUUACCAGGCAAGUUCACAUUGAUCACAUUUUUACCUAUGGUUUUAUUACAUUAGUUUCAACCUUCUUCACCCAUUGCAUGAAAGUAGGUACUUGGAAACUUUGGUUAUUGAGUAGUAUGUUAUGAUAGGCACCCCUAAACCCUUGUUACUUUGGCAGGGACGUUAUUUUGCUAUGCUCAUGGUAGACGGGGUUUGGUUGAGUGUUUAUCAUGAGUGUUGUGAGAAACUUAAUAAACAAGACCUGAAGACUCCAAGACUUGCAAGAGCUCAGAACAAAAUAUACCUCUGGGUGAAGGACGGUUCAGAUGGGCUCCCUGGGAAAAACCAGCGGAGGAUCCGGGAUGCAUGGAGAAGCGCCAUGACAUCUUGCGGAAAGUUUCACCCAGGCUCAAAGAGAUGGAUGGAUAUUUCAAGACCCAAGGCUUACCUGCAGAGCCACAAGUCAUUAUGGGCUCUGGCUUGGUUGGACAACGUGGUGACUCUGGACGGGCGGUGCUACGAGAUGUAGAAGAACGGUAGGAUUGGAUAGGCACCGGCAGUGGCUCAGAGGAACCCGUUGAAAGACCAUGUUUUGAUCAUCCGGUUCUCAAACAUCCUGAAGUGCGAGGACUCCAACGGAGGCGAUCAAAUCUUGUGGGGAACAAGUGCAAAACUCUACAGAGUACUCAAAGCUAAUCGAUUUGUCGUGUCCACGGUCAGGGAUAACUUGAGCCGAAGGAACCGAAGUUAUCAGGAAUUCUCAACACCAUUUAAUAUUGAUGUGGGUAAUAUUUAUAACUUGGGUAUGAGAAUUGGUUGGUGGAACCAUCUCAUUAACAACCAACAAUGUAGUAAAUUUUGCUUUUACCCUCUCUUGUUGUAGGAAAAUUUGCUUUACGCCAAACUUAAGACUACGGCCCCACCUGCCAUAUAUGCAUAUAGUAUGGAUGAUAUUUUCACCCCUCUCUUUUGUGACUUGCCGGCAUAUUCAAUAUGCUGACCUACACGGCUGCAACGUCUUAUGUUGCAGAUAUUUUCUUCUACGAGUAAGAGUAUGAUUCGGUGUUACGGUCUGCACACAACUUGCCGUUGGUGUCUAUUGGGACUCCACUCCCUUUGACUGUUUCCGCUGAGAUUUUCAGGUAUAUAUGAGUUUUACGUUAUUUUACAUGUGAUUGAACUUUGAUAUAUACAUUGACGUACUGUGUGUGCCAGCAUACUGAUCCAGGGAUGGCGUAGAACACAUAGAGGCUUGACUCGUUUUGAGUCGGGUCGCUACACUCUGACGGAGAACUGGUUAGACCCCUAUUUUGGUAACUAUAUCAUAGGGUAUAUGUGAUUACUUUUGUUUCUACCUUUUUGGAAUGGAAAGCGCGAGGUUUAUGUUAUUUCAAUCCAUGGAAUCAGAGUAAGAUUCGAUAGAUCCGUGUAGUGUACAUAUUGAUAGUUAGUUAAGUAAAUGAUAAGUGAUGUGGAUAAGUGAUAUUUGUACAAACAAUUAUGCUAAUAAUCAGUCUAAGGGUUAUAGUAAUUUAAUGGUUGAUUUGUACAAAUUAUCAUUUUUCUAAUAAAACGUCUAGGCUUCUGAGUGUGCUAAUAAUUCGUAGCCAGAUUUUAGAAUCGAUUUGAAUGGCCUACAUAGAUGAGUAUACAUGUACCCCGUGUGUAAAUAAAUAUUGUAUAAGAGCAUUUAGAUCACUAGUUUAGUGAUAUAGGAAGGAGUACUUACUUGAAAGCUCUGAGUUCGUUUGACAAUAAUCAGUUCAUGCAUUUAUAGUCAUUAAUUAAUAUUUUUGUUGCACGAAGUUGUUUGUGAUAUAAUUUUAUGCAUUUCAUUCAUCAAUGCCAUGAUUUUUUUAUUACAUGUAUAGUUGCUCUCUGACAAUGUUGAUAGCGACAAAUAUGACCAGAGGGGGUACAAGAAACAAAAGUUCAGAGAGCUCCAUGCGGGAAAGCAUAAUCGUCGUAUCAGGAUCGGGAAUGGGGGUUUCAGAUGCCCGUUCUGCAUCCAAAGGCUUAACUCCGCAUUUGCAAGUGUUCUGACGCAUGCUAGAGGACGAGCCGUUGGCUCCUUCAGGUAGAAGUAUUCUCCCAGAGUGGCGCAUGCCACGUACGUGGAGUACGUGGAGAAAGUUUAUGUUGUUGUUGGGUACUAUUAGGAUUGUGCUAUAUAUACAUGUACAACACUACCCUAGCUAUCUAGUUUGUGUGCCUUAUAUCUAUGCUUGAGUAUGUUUAUUAUGUGUUGAUCGAGAUGUUGGUGAGACAUUGUUUGAUGAACUAGUACGUAGAGCAAUGUAAUUGCGAUCUUCGGCUGCAAUCGGUUUGGUUGAUGGAAUAUUUAUGCUUAUCUUAGAGUUCCUAUACAAUUUACUACUUGCAACUAUUUGCCCACAACAUGCACAACUACAUAUGAGUGUCGGCAAAACAAAUUACACUAUGCAUAUUUCGUUGAAAAAUGCUAGACUUACCUUGAAACUUCUUGAACACGGUAAAAAUAUCACGUGUCACACGAAAAUGGAAAUUUCAAACCCAUUUACAAACAUGGUUAUUUUCACGGAUUGAAACCAUGUGCGAUGACUAACAUUAUGCUCCGGCAUGUGUGUCAUGAUUGUCCAGAAUGCAUUCCCAUGGAUCGCACAUCUGCAAACGUAGGAUUUACAGAGAUCACGGAUCAGGGCAGUCCAUACCCCUCACAGCACACUAGCACUUGCUGCACACGGUUUUGUCUAUUGAACCAGUGCCUUCAGAGCGCAUUAUUUUUUUGGCCCAGAAAACCAUCACCAUCCCCGCAUCGCAAAACCCUCCCCCUUCCCCAGUCACACCGCACUCCUCCCCAACUCUACAUGUCACCACCUAUCACUGCGGCGACCACUUAGCUCGACGCGUGUUGCCCCCGUCGGCUGCUGCCAAAUCCCACCGUGUUUUGCUACUGCCUCUUGCCGCCAGCUACUUGUAUGGAUUUUCUUGAUACUGCUCGUCGUCGACCCAGCUCCAUAUGAUUUGGGAUUCUGUGGUACUCAGGGUUUCUCUCAUAGAGAACCUAGUAAAUAAUUUACUGAAAUAUUUUGUUUGUCUCUUAUCACAGUCUGUUUGUGCGUGUUAAUCACCAGGUGAAACUCAUCGCCGUGGACAUGUAAUUGACUUGAUUUAAUUACCAUUCUGGCAUGUGUUUCCCAUGUUGGUCUCAUAACAAACGAACUACAUAAUGGAACCAAUAGUGACCAUUCACAUUAUCGUACACGGUUGUCAUUCAUUACCCGUCUGUGAAACUUUCACCUCAUCACACACCCUGCUUAGUGUUGAACGUGUGUGCUGCUUUUAGUCAUUGCACACACUACACAGUUUCAAGGGAACAAGCUCACGGAAGAUAUGUUGGAACCGCUUGUAGACGGCGUAUGGCCAAAUGAAAUGCGAGUAUGAGCGCUGGUCAAGCUUGCUCUCCAAUCCUCCACUCGGAACGCGGUGAUGAGAAAUGCCAACUAUAGACCGUCCAACCCCCAUUUACUCCACCACUCAUUUAACCUCUUUUCUCCCUUCAACCUUUCCCCACAACGCAAGAAGUACACCCACGACUCCAAAUACAGAGAGGAUAUCAUGCUCGGCUCCAAUGGCGAUGCUCCCAGCGCUUGCUGACGACGAGUGGCAAUUCACCAUUUGUGCCUACAUGGACACCCACGUAAGGUUCAAGGGCCUCUCGGUGGUGUACACCAAUGACCCGGUCUGGGUGGAGAACUCCAUCCACGCCAUGGAGCAGUUAUUUCCCAAAGACAAGUAAAAAGUGGUCGGCUUCGACCUCGAGUACACAGACAGACGACUUGGGUAUGAUCAGAAGGUUGUCGUCUCCCAGUUGUGCGUGGGCAUUACAUCCUUGUCUAUCACUACUGCCUAGCCACAAGUCAUUGCGAGCAUUUCUCCAUGAUUAUCAAUAGCCUUGAGUACAUAUUCGUUAAGGUGGAUGAUACAUCUCCAACGUAUCUAUAAUUUUUAUUGCUUCAAGUUGAUAUAUUAUCAUUCUAGAAUACUUCUCGGGUAUUUAUUUACCAAUUUAUAUUAUUUUUGAGCACUAACCUAUUGACCCAUUGCCUAGUGCAAGUUGUUGUUUUCUGCAUGUUUUUCACUUUUCAAGUUUUCCAAACCAAACGAAGUCCAAUUGACCUGAAAAUUUUUGAUGAUUUUGUUUGGACCAAAAGAAGAGCAACAAGCAUUGGAGGAAGGUUGGGGCCCACAUGAGGGCCCCAAAAGACAACCCGGCACGGCGUGAGGGGGUCAUGCCCUGUUGGCUUGUGGGCCCCUUGAGGCCCUCCCGGCUCCGUUCUCUAGCUUAUAAAUUCUCAUAUACCCAAAAAACAUUAGAGGGAGUCCCGAAACACUUUUUACGUCACCAUGGGUCUCUGUUUCGAUGGGAGGCCAUCUGGAGCUCCCUUCCGUCACCCUGUCGGAGGGGCUCUUUAUCAACCUUGCUUCCCUCAUGAUGAUGUCUGAGUAGUUCACCACAAACCUAUGGGUCCAUAGCGAGUACCUAGAUGGCAAUCUCUCUCUCUUUAUCUUCAAUACAAUGAUCAUCGCAUCUUCGCUUUGAUCCACAUGAUGUAAUUCCUUUUGUGUGGUGGGUUUGUUGGGAUCCGAUGACAUGUGGGUUUUUGUUCAGAUUAUUCAUGAUAAAUAUUUGAGUCUCCUCUGAAUACUUAUAUGAAUCUUAUGUGCAUGAUUAUGAUAGCUUUGUAAUUCUCUUGAUCUAUUGAAAUAGUUUGGCCAACUAGAUUGAUAUUUCUUCAGUGAGAGAGGUGUGUAGUAGUAGGUUCAACUUGGUAAAUUUGUAUAUCCCACUAACAGAAGGGGACAAGAUGUGUAUUUGUGUUGGUGCUACUAAGGAUAAAACGUUGGGUUUUAUUCACAUUGUUUGAGUUUACUUUGUCUACAUCAUUUCAUUGUUCUCCAAGCAUUACUCUGUUUUACUUAAUACUCUAGAUGCAUGUUGGAUAGUUGUUGAUGAGUGGAGUAAUAGUAAUAGGUGAAGUUAGGAGUCGGCCUAUUUGUUUAUGGACGUGAUGCCUAUCAACACAUGAUCAUUGUCGUGAAUAUUGCAUGACUAUCCGCUUUUCUAUCAAUUGCCCAACAGUAAUUUGUUUACCCACUGUAUGCUACUUUUCAUGGGAGAUGUCGUUAUGGAAAACUAUGGCCCCCAGGUCUAUUCACAACGUAUAAAAAAACUUCAAUACCUUGCUGCCAUUUAUUUGUUUUCAUUUUAUCUUGCUAUCUACAAUUAUCUACACACCUCACUUGCAAAUAACAAGAACAAGAGGAUUGACAAUCCUAUUACUUGCGUUGGGUGCAAGUUGUUUGUUCUUUUGUGUGCAGCCACUGAAGAUUGUUGUGGUUGAUAUUCCUAUUGUUUCUAUAAAUCUUGGUUUCGUAACUCGGGGAAAUACUUACACACAUUAUGCUACGAUAAUUUGUUCCUCUUCACGGAAAACCCAAUGCAGAUCACAAGUAUUAGGAAGGAUUAGUGGCGCCAUUACCAGGGAAUAUCAUCAUCAACUGCCAAGUAACGUCACACAAAUUUUCAUUCACUUGUUAUCCUUUUUAUUUUCUCGUAUAUUUAGUUUGUCUCAUAAAAAAUACGGGGGCAAAAAUACAAAAAAUAUUUACCUUUGCUUGUCACUAGUUUGCAUCUUUGUUGUCUAGUUUACUUGCCUAGCUAUGUUAUCUUUAUGUUUGUCACGCCAAAAUAGAAAGUAAAAUGCAAAUAUUAAGAUAAAUGGAUCCUCAUAAACUAACUAAUCUUUUCAAAGUACAUGUUUAUGUUGAAACAAUUGCUAGUGAGAGUGCACAAGAUUAUCUUUAUGAGGUCUUGCUUGAAAAUCAUGAAUCCAAAUAUUGUGAAAUUUAUAAAGUGAUUCAUGAUAGUUCCUUGAAUGAAAAGCAUGAUUGCUAUAUUGUUGAAUUUUAAUAUGAUCCUACAUGUAAUCAUUAUUAGAGAGGCAAAUAUGGGUAUAGAAAUUUUCAUGUUACUCACUUCCUCUCUUGAUAUUCGAAUUGUUAAUGCUUCAUUCUUCCUACUUGCUUAUGCUAGACACUUCUUGUAUUGACAAAUUGUUUGCUUCUAAAAUGCAUAUGCAUAGGAAGUAUGUUAGACUUAAAUGUUCUUGUCACAUGUUUUAUUAUGCUCUCUCUGUUAUUCACUUCUUGUCUUUUAUGUGGGCAUCAUUGAAAUUUCAAGCCUAUCUUAAUGACUAUAAAGAAAGAGCUUGUUGGGAGACAACCCAAUAGUUAUCAUUCAUUUAUGUUUGUUUGUUAUAAGAUGAUUAUUUUCUAUGCAAUUAUUGUGUUUUUAUGUUUUAAUUAGUGUUUGUGCCAAGUAAAGCCUUCAGGAUGAUUUGUAUGAUGAGUAGAAUUGAUAUGGUGCAAAUUCAGAAACUUUGACGUACACUGUAGAAUUUCUUUGAUUUUACUCGGACGUAGUUUUAAGCUGAAUUUUGUACAAACUAUUUCUAUACAAAUUCCGCAGGUCUUCUUAAAUUUUCAGAAUUUUUGGACUUACAGAAGUAUAGAUUCAUUACACAUUACUACAGAUUUUUAUGUUUCAGUCAGAUUCUGUUUUUUUGACCGGCUACUGUAGGGAAAACAACCCACAGUCAUUUCUCUCUAUUAAUAAAGGGGUUAAUAUGUACAAAGGAGGGCUAAAAUGUACAAGAGAUGUAGGGGUGUGUGGGAUACAAACCUCAAGGAGGUAAAAAUGCUAUCCAUCUAAGGAGAUCAUCCCUAAAACUAGGUUUAAUCCUGUGUGCUAGAAGUGAAAUAUCCAGAAUAAAGCCAGCCCUCCAUUUUCUGAGCCGUGGUUGCUAAUGAUGAAAAACCUUUGCAUUUCUUACAGUCCAUAUGUUCCAGCAAGCAAUGAAGACCACUUCAGUGAAGAAAGGGUGAUGAAAGUCUCUUCUUGCAGCUAAAGAAGCACUCCACAUAGAAUUUCCCUGCCAUGAGAUGUGGAGAUAAUUCCAGAUCCUGGCACUGAAGAGACAGUUGAAAAACAAAUGAUCUCUGUCCUCCUUGAUCCUGGCAUGGCAAAGAACACAAAGAUUAGAAUCAGACACCUUCCAGUGAAGCCUCUCAAGCAUAUCUUGAGUGUUAAGUCUGUCCAUAAUCAUCAGCCAGGCAAACAUCUUGAUUUUCAUGGUGCAGCAGCUCUUCCACAUCCAGCUAAGCAGGGGGUUUGGUGUGAUGGGUUGGUGGAUAUGGACAUAAUACUUCUUGGCAGUGUAUGGUUUAGAGUCUUUACUCCAGAGCCAGAUAUCAUCAUCAUUCUGGUUUAUAUGAAUAUCCUGAAGCAUAGAGUUUACAUAAUCCAGCUCUUUGUAUGCUUGUUCAGAUAGAGGAAAGUGGAACAUGUAGAGCAUAUUGUUCUCAUGAAAAGCAUGGAAAACUUCCUCAGCAGUGCAAAAAGAAUCCACAACAAAGGAGAACAGUCUGUGGAACCUAGCAGCCAGUGGUCUGAUAGAAUCUCCAAUCAACCAGGAAUCAGACCAAAACAAGAAUGUAUCACCUCUAUUUGGUUUAACAUAAGCCACAGCUCUGAAUUUAUCCAGACGUUUGCAGAUGUCCUUCCACCAGAAAGAGCCACAAAGUGAGGUACCUUGAGGAACUGUGUUAUGAUAAUAUGUGUUCCAAAUCAGUUUGACCCAGGGAAUAUCAGCUUUAUUCAAAAACGUGUAUGCAUGUUUUAGGAGCAGGGCCUCAUUCUGGAUAGCAAGAUUCAUAAUCCCCAACCCACCCUUCAUCUUAGGUCUGCAUGCAAGGUCCCAGGCAGCAAGAGAGGGGGCAUGAUCUUGAACAUUCUUUCUCCAUAAACAUUGUUUUUGGAUUCUUUCUAACUGCUUAAGGAUUCCUGGAGGAACAUUUAAACUGCACAGAAAGAAGAUAGGUACUGAUGAGAGAGCUGAGUUUAGAUAUUGCAAACGGCCCCCCUGGGCCAGGAAGGAAGAACUGGCACUGAGUCUUCUCUCCAUGUUAUCCACUAAUGGCAUUAGAUCAAUUAUCCUUGGUUUAGUUGUUCCCACAGGUAAACCAAGGUAGGUGAAUGGCAAAGAACUCACCUUGCAAGCAAUAGCAUCUGCCAAUCUUUGCAGUUCAUCUUGAUCUAUGCUGAUGGGGAGCAGGGCAGACUUGUGAUAAUUUACCUGAAGACCAGUGGAUUGGGAGAACAGAAGUAGCAUUCUUUUGAACUCAAGCAACUGAGAUUCUUCUGCAGGUAGAAUUUUGAGAGUAUCAUGAGCAUACUGCACUAUGGGGAAGUCUCUGUCAUGACAAGGAAUUGGCAAUUGAAUGAGACCAUCCUCUAAUAGCUUAUUGACUAAAGUUUGCAAAAAAUCUACAGCAAUUGCAAAAAAGAAGAGUGGACAUAGGGUCUCCCUGUCUGACCCCUUUCCUGCACAUGAAUUUUCUUCCAGGAACUCCAUUGAGAAGAACAGAGGAGGAGCCAGAAGUGAGCAGUUGUUGCACCCAUAGGAUCCAUCUAUCAUUAAACCUCUUGUAUCUGAGAAUCUGAAAGAUGAACUCAUGUUCCACAGAGUCAAAAGCCUUUUCAAAAUCCAGUUUGAGGAUGACAAUAGGUUUCUUGGACUGAUGACAUUGGUGCAAGUACUCUAGUGUCCAUCCCACACAAUCUUGGAUGGUUCAGGAUUUGAUAAAGCCAUACUGGUUUUUGUGUAUACAUUUCAUAACUUGUAGUUGCAGUCUAUUGGCCACCAUUUUAGACAAAAACUUAAGUCCCAUUCCUGUGAGAGAGAUAGGACUAAAGUCACCAACCUGCUCAGGGGAGCUUUUUUGGGAAUCAGAGUUAUAUAUGAUGAGUUCAUGUUUUCAAGCUUGGCAAUGCCACCAUGGUAAUCAGCUGCAAGUUGAUAAAAUUCAGGGCAAAUAAUAGACCAACAUUUCUUGAAGAAAUACCCAUUGAAACCAUCACGACCAGGGGCCUUAUCAAUGGGCAUUUCUUUCACUGUCUGAUCCAUUUCAGCCUUGGUAAAAGGUUCUGUGAGCACAUCCAGCCCAUCCACCUUCUGAAUUAGGGACUGUAGGUCAAAAGCCAUAUUAAUACCUUGGGAGGAGCCCAUCCUAUCCUUGAAAGAGGUCCAGAAACAACCAGAAAUUUGCUCAUGAUCAAAAAUAACAAAGCCAUCAUUCGGCUUAAGAGAUGAAAUGGAAUUUUUCCUAUAUUUUUCAGUUGCCAUGCCAUGGAAAUUUUUUGUGAUUUCUUCUCCAACUUUGAUGUAACGAAUUGUAGCCCUUUUUCCAGUAAAGGAACUACAUAUGCAAGAGAUAAUCCAAAUGCAACUUGACAAUCACCCUGAAAUUAGCCUCAGGCCUAUACAGGGGUCUUAACUCCUCUAGAUCAUCAAGAGAGAGAACAACCUGGUUGCACCUAUCAAUAAGAAGCUUGAGCCGAGAGAGGUUAGUUUGCCAUUUCUCUAGGGCCUGCCUUAGGUGUUUGAACUUAUCCAUGAUGAUGGCAGUAAUAUGCCCUUUCCUGGAUGGGAUCUUCCAAGAGUCCCUGACACAAUCCAUGAAGCCAUCCAAUUCAACCCAAUAGUUUUCAAAAUGAAAGAGAUUGCAUUUUGGGAUGGAAGUGUUAACUGUGACAACACAGGGGACAUGAUCAGAUGCAGUUUUAGCCAAAGGGAGGACUUGCGUCAGAGGAUAUGAUGAAAUCCAAGAAGCAGAUGUAAAAAACCAAUCCAAUUGCUCUAGCAGGGGUGAAUCUUGCAUAUUUGACCAGGUGAAAGAUCUGCCCUUAAUAGGUAAUUCCAAUAGCCCAAGGUGGCCAAUGAUCUCAUUAAAAAUGAACAUGUCAUUUACAUCAACCCCAGGAAGGUUUCUAUUUGAUGGAGAUCUAAUAAAGUUAAAAUCCCCAAGAAGUAACCAGUUGUCGUCAGCAGGGAUGUUGAGAUUAUAUAACCAGCUGACAAAAAGAUCUCGAGCCUCACCCUGACAAGGUCCAUAUACAUUGACCAGGGUCCAAGUUUCUGCAGAGUGAUUGGAUGUAAAGGAGAUAACAAGGCCAAAAGGUUGACACUCAAUUAAGGUUCCAGUAAGAACAGAGGAGCUCCACAAAGUGAUCAGACCCCCAGAGGCACCACGGGAUGGCGAGUAUGCAAACUGGUCAAAUCGUUUAGGACAAAAACUUCUUGCUGAUCGAAAAUCAAUCUGUUGCAUUUUUGUUUCCUAUAAGCAUACUAUAGAGGGGGGGGGGGGGGGGCAUCUAUUUUGUUGCGAACAGCUCUCUGACGAUGAUCAGAAUUGAGGCCACACACAUUCCAGCAGAGGACAUGCCAACUUCGUGUAGAUCUACUAUCCAUAAUAACUAAUAGAUAUAGCAAAUGUGGAGUUACAUAAUAACUCACACAACCAAGGUUCAGAACGUUGUAACAAAAGAUAAACAGUAGUCUGACAGACCGCAUAACCAUCAAAACAGGGCAAUAACAACAUAGUUUUAAACAUCAGAAGAUGGGGUCUUGGAUGCAGCAGGAUCCUCCAUAAGACGAUCCACCGAAAGCUUCCCCGCAGCAAUUCCAAGCUUCUGGCCAGUUGCUUGCAAAACAGGAAUUGGUGUUGCUGGCGGAGGCUAUUCUCCCUCCUGAUUGUCCAUAGGCUUGGCCUUGGGCUUCCUAUUCUUGGGAGUGUGCAUUGGAAGUUCCUGCAGCACUGGUUUGAAGCCGUCGCGCUUGAUCGAGCCUCUCGUGCAGCGGCGAACCGAGGAGUCGACAAUGGGAGUGGCCUGCUUGCGAGAAACUUUCUUCCUGACAGCAGGUGAAGUAAAAGCGAACUCCCCUGAUGGUGGAAGAAAGUCUUCAUGUGUUACCUCAGUAGUAGUAGUAGGGAUGGUCUCGAUGGGCACCAAGCUUGAACCUGCAGACUCAACAUCAAAAGCAUACGACCACGAUCGCUUGGGGAUCAUGAUUGGCAGCACUGGCGGCUUCUGAAUAUGGCGAGGGACAUGCAUAGUACAUGUCGCGCCCAUAAGAGAUUCAAAAGACCUGGCCCAACAUAGCACAGGUGACAAUGGUGGACCAUAGAAAACCCUUGUUGCUCUAACCACCAGGUUUGAUUGUUGCAUCAGUGGACGAUUGUAUGGGACGAUCGCCAAGGGGUUAAACAGAGGCGCCUCCUCGGCAUGAUCUGCUUCCACAGGCUCUUCGUCGGCGACAACUUCAGCUUCUGGUGCAGCAGCGCCAUUGGGAGGGGCAGCUUCAGGAGCAGCCUCGUCAACCGCAGGUUGGACAAUAGGCAUGUCCACAACAACAUCAUCAGCAGCAGCAAGCUGAAGGUCAAGGAUGACCAAUUCAUGAACAGAAUCAGAGGAUGUUGGUUGAUCAAUAGCCAUGGAUUCCUGAUCUUGUACAGGUGCAUCAGGUUGUGGCUCUGGCUCUGCUGCUUCUGGUUCCCAACCCCAUCCUCCACCGACUGGGGCUUGUGGCUCUCGCUCUGGGGGAGGUUGUGGCACCGCGUUCCAUCCCGAAGCUGGGUAUGGUGGCAGAGCAAAUAACAGAUUGUCAUUGAUCAGUUGACCAGGAAGUGGGUGUGGGUUGCCAUUGAGGGGCAUGGGAUCUUCGUCAUUAGGCAUCUGUUCACCAAAAUUUGCGCCCAAGAUGUAAACUGGCGCAGACCAGGAGACCUUGGCCCCUCCCCAUGCAGCAUAUUCUGAGAAGGUGACACUCCUUGGCACCAUAUUAUCUUCAGGAAAAGAAGCAAAGAUAAUGGAUCGAACCAAAUACGGGUCAUCGCUGACCCAAUGAUGGAACUCUCCAAAAGUGUUAAAGGCAGCCCGAAGAUCAUUAGUAUUGCGGAAAUCUAGCGGAACUCCAAGUAGCAUCAGGCAUCCUUGGCGGAAACCUGUCUGCCCCCUAAAACCUGCACCAUCACUAUGACGCAUGAAACGAACAAAGGUGUCGUUCCCUAGUGCUUGAGGGACCAUUUGAACUGUAGCAAAGCUUUCUGUCGCAUCCCUAAGCUCGAACACACCAACCCCCUCAAUCCAUGGCUAGGUCGAGCGAACAUGAAAACCCCUAUUGAGAAGUAGGGCGGUAACUUCCUACCGUACCUGGGCCACCAACUCAGCAGGAGGGGCAGGCAUUACUUCGGCGAUGAUGAACUAUUCAUGCCUACGGUUGAUGGGGUUGGUAGGCGUGAUGAAGGUCCUUGGGAGACGAUCAGGGCCUCCGUCAAUGAUGUUGUGGCCCUGUGAAAUGAAGCGUUGGGGAUCAAGCUCGAAGUUGGCCAUUGUAGUCGAAGAAGCGGGAGGCGGCGGCGUCAAUGGCGGCGUCCCAGAGGGAGUCCGGGGAGACGGUGGGCUUGACAAGACCGGGAGGAACUGCUCGGCAGGCUUUGCAGCUUCCCCAAGAAUAGCAGAGGUUCCUGAGAUAUCUGCAACAGGGGAGGUGGUGGGGCACUUGCGUUUCCAAGUAAGACAAUUAUCUCGCAUAAAGGAAGUGCAGUCAGAUUUGGCAUGUCCCGCAUUUCCACAGGCAGGGCAAAUUAACGUGGCGGUACAGUUGGAAGCGAGGUGCCCUUGAGACAAACAAAUCAUGCAAGAAUAAAUCUCUUUAACCAUGCCAUUAAUCAAUUCAUCGAAGAGUUGGUGGGCCUCCUGCGAAGAUGGAAUAUCAGGCUGAUGACAAGAUUCUGGCCCGGCAGAAGAUGUCGUUGCCGAAGACCCAUUAAUGGUUUCGUAGAGAGGCCCACUAUCAGGGCAAUCCAACGAAAUAGAUUCAAUAUGAUUUGAAACCCCUCCUAGCGUGGUGGGAUUAGCCGAGAUUGCAUCAUCCGAGGAGGAGAUCCCAUUAAUUUCGCCACCUUCCAUUAGGGUACCGGAUGAUCCGAGACGGGAAACAUGCUGAUGAACUGAACCAAAGGUGAUGUGCGGCGAGGCGGACAUCCACCGGAGCUCUAUCGGAGAUGGAGCACUAAUAAUAACACGUUCCUGCGGAGCGAUCGAAUAACCCGCCUUGGACAGAGUAAUAAGCUCAUCUUGAGAAACAUGGCACUGAUAACCUUUGCAAACAUCAUAUUGCUGUAACGCUGCAAAAGUUAAUUUUUUGCGAGCAGAAGAUCCCAACUUAAGAGAGGAAUUAAUAGGUUUGGAAUGCAUUGCCAUCAGACCUAGGGUUGCUCUUCGUUUGGUCGGGCUAACAAUGAUCCAUUCUGCAUCACAUUGCUUCUUCCAUAACUUGAAUUCCCACCGCCAAUUAGGGCCACCAUACCCCCAAAGAUGAAAGUAACACUUAAAACUUGAGCAUUUGUACGAGCGUAAAUCCAGAAUGUAGAAGCCAACUUGCUGGCAAGAGACCUUGAAGGAGAAAACCGAGUCCGCAACUUGGGAAACCCUAAGUUCUAUGGCGGAACCUCCAAUAGCUGAUUCAAUCGCAGCAGCGACAGAUUCCUCAGAGAGGCGGAAAGCAUGGCGGCCAAAAGAGGCAACCAUUGUGAAAGAGCGAUGAUGUUUCGAUGGAUGCACCGGAAAGCCAGAGAUGCGAUAAACCUCAUCCGCGAAAGCCAAAUUAGGAGAAAAGUCCAGAUCCAAAGUGGAGCCAGCCAUGCAAGCCAUGGAGAACCACGUAAAGGUGGGGUGCUAAGGUUCACCUGAUAAGAUGAGCUGAUGACGAGGAUCAAACACCGGCUAGAGGUCCAAAUCGCCAUGGAGUCACCGAGGUGGGAGGUGGGGGAGGUGGGAGUCGCCACCAUCCGGGUUAGGUAACACUUGCCUGCAUAGUUUGCUUGUUUUUAUGAUCCCAUGGAUUUUAUUGGGGGGUAUAAGCUAUGGAUAAGUUAGAAUACAGUAACUUAUGCUAAAAUAAAAUAAGACUCAACUUAUAACAACACCUGAAAGUAUUUGAUAUGUUGCUUAUACUAACGGAUCUCACGAAGUUUUGUUGAGUUUUAUGUGAUUGAAGUUUUCAAGUUUUGGGUAUUAUCCCGAUGGACAAAGGAUUGAGAAGCAGAAAAAUCCUAAGCUUGGGGAUGCAAAAUUCAUCCUAGGGUAAUAUUCUAGGAAUACUCAAGCAUCUAAGCUUGGGGAUGCCCCGGAAGGCAUCCCCUCUUUUCGUCUCAAUCCAUCGGUAUGUCACUUGGAGCUCCAUUUGUAUUCAUCGCAUGAUAUGAGUUUUGCUUGGAUCAUCGUCUGCUUUUGUUUUCUUUUAAUUUUAGUUUGCCACAAUCAUCGUUUGCUGGACACACCUCUCUGAGAGAGUUACCACAUCAUCACGAUUUGUUUCAACACUUUAUGUGCUUCACUUAUAUCUUUUGAGCUUAGCAAUUGCUCUAGUGCUUCACUUAUAUAUUAUUGAGCAUGGUGGCGUGUAGAUUUUUAUAGAAAUAAUAUGCUCUUGUUCUUCACUUAUAUUUUUUUGAGACUUCAAUAAAUAGUGAUGGAAAUUUGCAUGGGUCAUAAGACUAGAUAAAAAAUAAUGGGUGCUCAAUGAGUGAUAAUUAAAACCAUCAUGUAGCACAUAUGGAGAAAUUAUGGGUUAAUGAUACUGAUGUGGUGAUAUGAAAAAGGUGUGAGUGCAUUAUUAUUAAUUCACAUAGGUGUUGAUAUAAAGAGAUGUUAAACUUCUAGUUCAUCUAAAAAAAUAAAAGGGCAUGGUGAUGAUGUGUGAGCACUUCUAUUCCUGGUUGAAAGCGCAACUUCUCCCUAAGGUGGUUUUGGUAAUUAAUAACAACAUAUGUGUCAUUGAACUAGUGAUCUUACCCAAGUAUAUUUCAGAAAAGUUCAAACAUGCAUUGGCUAAGGAUUAUGAGGAGAACCCCUUGAUGCAAGUAAAGGAAUAGGAUUGGCCAAGCUUCAAGCUACAAGACUCUACAUUUUAUAUUUGUGAGAAAUCACAUUUGAGUCCAUAGGAAAUCUAAUACUAUUAAAAGAGGGGUGAGCCAUCUAUGAUGAAUUACUUGCUCAAGUGCUUAGAGAUAGCCACCAAAAAUAAUCAUCCAUUCUCCUAGAAAUGUUCUCUCUCCAAAGCUUAAACAUCAAAAUUGAUACCACCAAGAUUUUCUAUUUGGACCUGCCGAUUUUCCACUAGACAAAACCUUUGCCAACACCUAGAAUCUCGGUACCACCAACAUUCCGUUCGGUGCCACCGAAAACCAGUGACCAAGUUUUUGGUAUGUAGUUUUCAAGAAUCAGAAAUUCUGAGUCUUGGAAUCUGUCUCUCCAAGAUUUGGAAACUUCCCUAGGUCACCAUAUCGGUGCCAUCGAGAUUCCUAUAUUGGUCUCACGAGAAUUCUAAAGUUGCCACAUUUUGUGCAAAUCGGUGCCACCGAGAUUCACUUCGGUUUCAUUGAGUUGGGGAAUAGUCUUGUAGCGAUUGGAUUUUGGGAGAUGCUUAUAUAUACCUAUCCACCACCUCCAUUCAAAGAUGAAGCACUCAGAACACACCAACACUUGCCAUAUCCAUUUUUGUGAGCGAGAGCCACCUACUCAUGUGUUGAGAUCAAGAUAUUCCAAUCCAUCCAUAUGAAACUUGAUCUCUAGCCUCGCAAAGUUGCUUUCCAACCAAUCAAUCUCUUCUACCCAUGCCAAAUUCGUGAGAGAGUGAUUGAGUGCUGAGGAGACUAUCUUUUGAAGCACAAGAGCAAGGAGUUCAUCAUUCUAACACAUAUAUUACCUUUUGGAGGUGGUGCCUCCUAGAUUGGUUAGGUGUCUCUUGGGAGCCUCCUACUUCGUGUUGUGGAGUUGAACCAAGAAGUUUGUAAGGGCAAGGAGAUCGCCUACUUCACAAAGAUCUACCCUGAGUGAGCUAGUCCAUCGUGGGUGUAAGCAAUGAUGGAAUAGACAAGGUUGCUUCUCCUUCGACCCUGUGUGGGUUGAGACCUCCAUGGACAUGAGUGGCCAUUACCCGCCGUGGGUUCAAGUCUCCAUCAAUGUGGACGUACGAUAGCACCACCUAUCGGAACCACGCCAAAAAUUGAUGUGUCAACCUUUGCGUUGGAUCUUCCUAUCCCUACCCUCUACUUACAUGUGCAUGUCAUUAUUUUCCGCUGAUAUACUAUUAGACUUGCAUGUGUAGGGUGUGCUUGACUUACUACAACUUGUAAAACUUGCCCACAACUAAAAUUGGGAAAAGGCUAAGUUUUUAUUUGGUCAAGUAGUCUAAUUACCCCCCCCCCCCCGCUCUAUACAUACUUCGGAUCCUAUAAGUGGUAUUAGAGCUUUGGUCUCCAUUGCAUUGGUUUCACAACCUAUGAGAGUAUGGCGUUUAGUGAGGGAAAUUAGCAUCGUAGAGCUCCAAAUUUUGAUGGUACAAACUUUGCUAGUUGGAAGCAUAAUAUGAAGAUGCGUAUUCUUGGUCAUAACCCUGUUGUUUGGCUUGUUGUUCAUGUUGGUUUGCAAGGUGAAUUCUUUGGUGAUGGAAAGGAACCAGAUCGUGAAACGACUACGAAAUAAUUGAAGAUGUUUAAAUACAACACUCAAGCAUGUGAAAUUAUGUUCAACUGCAUAUGCCCUGAAGAGUUCAACAAGAUUAGCUGUAUUGAGAACGCCAAGGAAAUUUGGGACACUUUGAUUGAUAUGCAUGAAGGUACUGAAUCUGUCACGGAAUCUAAGUUGGGUGUGCUACAAAGUCAGCUUGACAAGUUCAAGAUGAAGAAUGGUGAAUGGGUCAUUAAGAUAUACUCUAGGCUUGCUCUCAUCACAAAUGAGAUUGUCCGCUUAGGACACGAAGAUAUGACCGACAGAUUCAUCAUCACAAACAUACUUAGAUACAUGGGUGGGAAAUAGGAAACCGUGUGUACAUUGAUCCAAAUUAUACCAAACUACAAAGAUCUCAAGCCAACGAAAGUCAUUGGAAGGAUUGUCUGUAAUGUCACUCAAGGACAAAGAAAAGUUGCACAACAAGUCAAGCGGUGCUUACAAAGCUUCAAGUGAUGCUCCCACUACUUCAAAUGACAACCUUGUCACCAAUGAAGACAUAAGCCUCAUGGUCAAUAAAUUCAAAAAGUUCUACAAGAGUAGAGGCAAAGAGAGAAGCUCCAACUCAAGAUAUGAAGAGAAGCGUUCAUCUAGUUGUGACCGGAACUGCUACAAUUGUGGAAGGCCCAGACACUACUCCAAUGAGUGGUCCCCCCCCCACAGAAGAAGAGAAGAGUCACCUAGAAUACGAAUCUCAAAAGAAGAGUCACCUCGAAGAAAGAGAAGGAGUAGAGAAGAUCCUUAUGAACAAAGAUCCUUAUAAUUUCAGAUCUAUAAACCAAAAAUACCCAAAAAAAUGUUGCCAUUUAUUUACUUUUGUUUUACUUUUAGUUCUAGCAAUCUUUUAUCUAUCUCUAUGAUAUCUCAUCCUUGCAAAUAAAUGUGAAGGGAUUGACAACCCCUUUUUAGCGUUGGGUUCAAGUGUUUGAUUAUUUGUGUAGGUGCUAAGAUUGGGGCCUUGCUUGUUCCUCCUACUGGAUUGAUACCUUGGUUCUCAACAAACCGAGGGAAAUACUUAUCUACUUUGCUGCAUCAUCCUUUCCUCUUCAAGGGAAAACCAAUGCAAGCUCAAGAAGUAGCAUCAGCCUAUUUGUUUAUGGACGUGAUGCCUAUAUACACAUGAUCAUUGCCGUGAAAAUCGCAUAACUAUCCGCUUUUCUGUCAAUUGUCCAAAGGUAAUUUGUUUACCCAUCGUAUGCUAUUUUUCAUGAGAAUGACAUUAGGGAAAACUAUGGCCCCUGGGUCUAUUCACAACAUAUAUAAAAAACCUUCAAUACCUUGUUGUCAUUUAUUUGUUUUCAUUUUAUAUUUCUAUCAGCAAUUAUCUACACACCCUACUCGCUUGCAAAUAACAAGAACAAGAGGAUUGACAACCCUCUUGCCCGCGUUGGGUGCAAGUUGUUUGUUCUUUUGUGUGCAGCCGCUGAAGACGGUUGUGGUUGACAUUCCCAUUGGUUCGAUAAACCUUGGUUUCAUAACUCAGAGAAAUACUUACCCAUAUUGUGCUACGAUAACUCAUUCCUCUUCACGGAAUAUCUAACGCAGAUCACAAGUAUCAGUGGACACCACCAACGAUGAAAAGGUGUGCAAUGCCACAGGCUUGGCUUGUCGGAAUCUUGUGGACAUCCAACGCCAGUAUAGGGUCUUGGGCGGCAAGGAGAAGCAUAAGGACUCCCUGGUUGACCUCUCCAUGGAAAUCAUUGACCCCUACUAUAGAGUCAUGAAGGGUUUUUGGAAAGAAGAAGGUUGCGUAGCAUCUCGCCUAGGUUCGAGGACUAGAUGAAGAUCACAUCAAGUACGGGGCCAAGGAUACGUAUGUAAGAUAUGAGAUGUGCAGGCGGAUUGUUGACAUGAGGAAGUGCAUCUGUGUUGCGUCGAUCGGCACCCCUCGUCACAAGAAGUAUAGAUGAUUUCAUGAUCGUUACUACUUGUUUAGUAUGCAUGUACUUUUAAAUUGAGGCGUGCAAAUGUUAUGCGUAGUCAGUCUAUAAUGUAAUUGGAUGUUUAUUUUGGUUAUGCGAUAAUGUUGUUGUUUUGUAGAUAGAGAAAAUCACAUUUCUUACUAUUAAAGAAAGGAACACGUCGGUCGUGAUUUCAACAAUCACGGACAAUUGGGUGCGAGCAAGUGCUUGCCCAUGGCACACAGAGUUUAUUCUCAGGAAUCAUCUAUAUUUGUAUCGGUCAUCUAACACAACCCCGAUUACUAACCUGUUUGCCGAGUAUAACACACAUCUUGUUAGGCCGAAUCAUUUCUGGUACUUUUAAUUAUCGCAAACAGUUCGUCCGAGCGACCUAUUUGUCGGGUAUCACACACAACUUCAGACGUCGAAACAGUUGUGUUAUUUUGGCUCGUCAUAAAUAGUUCAUCCGGGUGAACCAUAUACCAACAAUCGCACACAUCUUGAUAUGUGCAACCGUUUGUGUUAUUUUUCAUCAUCGCAAAUAGUUCAUGACGGUGAACCAUAUGACGUACAUCGCACACAUCUGUAUUUGGUACCUGUUUGUCUUAGUUUUUUUCUCAUCCCAAACAUAUCGUAAAUGUCGACUGUAUGCCAUGUAUCCCACAUGCAACUUUUAUCUGAAUUGUGCUUGAUGGACCAGACAUCGCACACAGUACAUUCUAUUGGUGACGUAUAUAGCAUUAUACCGUUUGUGAUCCAUGCAUUGCACACAGUUUCGUCAAAGGGUCUCAGAUGCAUGUGUCGUCUUAGGACCAUCCUGCAGUAGUGUACUAGUUAGACUUUUAGAAGUUGUGGGUUUUAUGAUAUAUUUGUUUUGGUCAAAAUUUUAGAAUUUUCAUUCAAUGUUGGAAUUUCUUCAUAAAACCACCGCCUCACAUGAAGUUGCUAGAGCAUAGUACACCUUGCAUUGACCAAAAUUUAGUUAGUAUUAGCAAAGUGAAAGCCUGUGAUCUUAGAGCUGAAGAUCUGAUAUUUUGGAAAUCAUGAGAUGUAGUGAAUGUGAGUUAUUUAGCCAAGGUGUGUGUGGGGGGGGGGGGGUGUUGGCUUGGUCUUUCGAUGUUGGCACGCCCACCCAUCGAGAAGUUUUUCAAACAAAACUUCACUACUCUCCAAGGUGUAUCAUACAUGGAAGGCUUCUAAUAGGAGUCAUCAAAAAAUGUCCCCAAAUCAAAUAUACAAACUAUGGGAUAUAAUGUAACAUCCCAAAUUUUCAAUUCAGAAUGUUAUACAAUAGAUCAUCUUUGCAUAUCAUAUUUUAUUGCAUUCUUGGUUGAUCCUAGAAAUUCUACGCAACUCAAGGACCCGCGGAGAGAGUUGGGAAUUUCAUUAUUUUUCAUAAUUGAGUUUUCCAAAAUUUUGAAAAGAGGAUCGUUCGGUUUUAAUUAUUUUCUCUUCAAAUAUUUCUAAAUAUGAAAUAAAAUAGAAGGGAUAAAAUGACUUCCCCAAAAUAAAAGAAAUAUUGGAGGAAAAUAUUAAAAUCAAAUAAGAAUUGUAUUCGGAGUUUUAUUGCUAUUUUAUUAGAAUUAGAAUGCGUUUUUCAAAAUUGCAUUAUACUCCCAAAUGCGUUUUUCAAAAUUGCAUUAUACUCCCAAAUGCGUUUUUCACAAAUGCUUUUCCAAAAUUGCAUUAUACCCCAAAUAAAUGUUUACCUUGUCCGUUAUAUUUUUAGAGGACGGGGAAAAUUUAUUUCACGCUUUUUGGAGUCCGUUUGAUAUUUCUUUUUAUUUAUCUUCUGCGCGUCGGAAUUAUUUAAGAAAAAAAGUCAAACCGUUUAAACGGGUCGUGUCCGACCGGGACUAUCCCGUCGGCCUUUAUAAGCCCAGCCGGGGCGACCCAAACCCUAAUCCUAGCCGCGCCCAGCCGCCCCAUCCGCCCAGCCGCCUCGCCGUCGACCCCGCCCCGAGGUAGCCGGUUUUAAAAAAACUAUAUUUAUUUUUUUAGAUUGGUUUUAUUAUUAUUAUUCCCGGUUUAUUUAAAUAGCGGACGUUCGUCCGUACGUUCAUUUUAACGAACGAUGUUCAUCCGUUAGCCGCAGACAGCGAACGUUCGUUCGUUAGCCUGUUCGUCAGUUUUUCUUUUUCCAGGGAUUUUCCGCGAUUAUUUUCAAUCGCGAUUUCUGCCGUGAUCUUCGUUUUAGUUUAUGUUUUCGCUCGAUUGUUGGAAUUUGGUGAUUCAAACACCGAGAUCUUCAUCUCGAAACCCUCUUUCUGUUUAACCAGGGGAACAACAGCAACAACCCACCACCACCACCACCUAUUGAUCACUUAGCUCGUUUCUUAAGGCUAAAUCCGCCGGUGUUCUCCAGUAGCACCGAGCUGAUUGUUGCAAAUGAUUGGCUCCGCAAGAUUGGAAGAGAGCUGAACACUGCAGGAUGCACAGAUGUGGAGAGAGUGUGUUUUGCUGCACAUCAGCGAGAUGGACCCGCAGCAUCAUGGUGGGAGAAUUUCACAGUCACUUACCCCAUCAAUAGUGUCACAUGUGACCAGUUUCAGCAAGCUUUUCGCAUCGCCCAUGUUUCAGCAGGAGCUAUGGCCAUGAAGAAGCGCGAGUUUCGCAACUUGCGCCAAGGAGGACGCACAGUGGGGCCAGUAUGUGGAUGAUUUUAGUAAGUUAGCACGUUAUGCCCCGGAUGAUGUCACUACAGAUGCUGCUAAGCACGAGAAAUUCCUGGAAGGACUGAAUGAUGAGCUGAGCAUGCAGUUGAUGGUAGAAACCUUCAACAACUACCAGGAGUUGGUAGAUAGAGCUCUCAUGAUUGAAGGGAAGCAGCAGCAGAUUGACAACCGCAAGAGGAGGUAUGGACAAGGGAAGUACAACUCAGGAACUCAACAGAGGCCCCGUUUUACCCCGAACUCGGGAGGACACAUUCACCAUAACCAUGGAGGCCAUCAGUCCAAUGGAGGGAGUUCGCAUAAUCAUAAUGGCCCCAAGAAUGGGAAUGGGAAUGGAGGAAGCAACGUACAGAACCGUUCCAACCCAGCAACACCCGCCAAGAAGAAUCUAAGUCACAUUACUUGUUUCAAGUGCGGGAAGAAUGGACAUUACGCCACGGAGUGUUCUGAAACAAAGAAUGGGAAUGGCAAUGGAAGCUCUGGGAAGAAGCCCAACCCUUUCAAUAGGGGACAAGUGAACCACGUUAGCGUGGAGGAGGUUGAAGCGCAACCCGAUGCAGUAAUAGGUAAGUUUUUGGUUAAGUCAUUUACUGCAAUCGUUCUUUUCGAUACUGGUGUCGCAUUCAUACAUAUCAAGGGGAUUUGUGGAUAAAUAUAACCUGCCAACCCAAGCCCUUAGGUCACCCAUGUUAGUAACCUUGCCAGGAGCAGAGUACAUGGCUAGCCUAUGGUGUGAUCGGUUACCAUUAAGGAUUGGUAACUAUGUGUUCCCCUUAGACCUAAUAGUAUUAGAGUCACAAGGACUGGAUGUAAUAUUAGGCAUGGAUUGGUUAUCAAAGUAUGGAGGGAACAUUGACUGCGUCAGUAAGUCGAUUUUGCUCACCACCCCAGAAGGAAGAAGGAUUAAGUAUGUAUCCCGGCAUGUGCCGAAGAGAACUCAAGUAAACUCCUUAUCAGGAGUGGUACAGGAGGAAGUACCAGUGGUGAAGGAUUUCUCUCAUGUAUUCCCAGAGGAGUUGCCAGGCAUGCCACCGGAUAGAGACAUUGAGUUUUUUAUUGAGCUUUUGCCAGGCACAGGGCCAAUAUCUAAGAGACCGUAUCGGAUGCCCGCAAAGGAUUUGGAAGAAAUUAAGAAGCAGAUUAAGGAGUUACUGGAUAAAGGCUAUAUUCGCCCAAGUUCGUCACCUUGGGGCUCACAAGUGCUUCUAGUGGAGAAGAAGGAUGGAUCGUUGAGAAUGGUUGUUGAUUGUCGAGGAUUGAAUGAAGUGACAAUCAAAAACAAGUAUCCACUGCAGAUGAUCAAUGAUUUUUUUGACCAGUUGCAAGGGGCUAAAGUAUUUUCCAAGAUCGAUGUGCGAUCAGGAUACCACCAGCUGAAGAUUCGAGACCAGGAUAUACCGAAGACAGCUUUUACCAUAAGUUAUGGGCUAUAUGAGUAUACCGUUAUGUCAUUUGGUCUGACUAAUGCACCUGUCUAUUUCAUGAACAUGAUGAACAAGGUGUUUAUGGAGUUUUUGGAUAAGUUCGUUGUGGUGUUCAUUGAUGAUAUUCUGGUCUACUCAAAGAAUGAAGAGGAGCAUAAGGAGCAUUUGCGUUUGGUACUUGGGAAGCUCAGAGAACAUCAGUUAUAUGCCAAGUUCAGCAAGUGUGAGUUUUGGUUGAAGGAAGUUGGUUUCCUCGGACACGUUAUAUCUGGGGAAGGAAUAGCAGUAGACCCCACCAAAGUUGUCACAAUGACUAAUUGGGAAUCACCCACGUUAGUUGGAGAGAUCCGGAGUUUUCUUGGACUCGCAGGAUACUACCGGAGGUUCAUUGAGAAUUUCUCUAAGAUUGCAAAGCCCAUGACGGAGUUGUUGAAGAAAGGCACCAAGUUCAAAUGGACUGAGGAGUGUGAAGCCAGUUUUCAGGAGUUGAAGAAACGCUUGGUUACCGCCCAAGUGUUGAUUCCCCAGAUCAACUCAAGGAAUUAUCAAGUGUAUUGCGACGCUUCUCGUCAACGACUUGGAGCAGUGCGGAUGCAGGAUGGAAGAGUUGUUUCAUAUGCCUCACGACAGCUUGAAACCCAUGAGUUGGACUAUGCUACCCACGAUUUGGAGUUAGCAGCCAUAGUGCAUGCAUUGAUGACAUGGAGACAUUUUCUCAUCGGAAACCACUGUUAAGUGUACACGGAUCACAAGAGUUUGAAGUAUAUUUUCGCGCAGAAGGAGUUGAAUCUCAGACAGAGGAGAUGGUUGGAGCCCAUCAAGGAUUAUGAUAUGAGGUUGCACUAUCAUCCCGGAAAGGCUAAUGUAGUAGCCGAUGCGUUGAGUCGCAAGAUUCAUGUCAAUACACUCAUGACCAGAGGAUUACCCGAGGAGUUAGCAGAAGAUCUUCGCGAGCUAUGUUUGGAAAUAGUUCCGAAAGGUUAUGUAGCAGCAUUGGAAAUUCAGUCUACCCUGAUGGAUAAGAUCAGAGAGGCUCAGAAGACUGACAAAGAGAUUGCCGAGAUAAAGGAAAUGAUGAGCAAAGGAAAGGCUAAAGGAUUUCGUGGGGAUGAGCACGAUACCUUAUGGUUUGAGGAUCGCGUAUAUGUGCCUAAUGACCCCGAGAUCAGGAAGUUGAUUCUGUAGGAGGCCCAUGCUUCGCCGUAUUCGAUUCACCCAGGAAAUACCAAGAUGUAUCUAGAUUUGAAGGAUAGUUUCUGGUGGACCGGAAUGAAGAAGGAUAUUGCGGAGUAUGUAGCAGUUUGUGAUGUAUGUCAGAGAGUGAAGGCAGAGCAUCAGAAGCCAGCGGGUUUACUACAGCCAUUGUCGAUACUUGAAUGGAAGUGGGACAAGCUAGGCAUGGAUUUUAUCACGGGAUUACCCAGGACUUGUUCAGGCUACGACUCGAUUGGGUUGUAGGUGAUCGUUUGACGAAGGUAGCUCAUUUCAUUCUAGUAAAGACCACUUACAACAGUGCUAAGUUGGCAAAGAUAUACAUGACCAGGAUCGUAUGUCUGCAUGGAGUUUCGAGGACCAUUGUAUCACAUAGAGGAACUCAGUUUACCUCAAAGUUCUGGAAUCAGUUGCAUGAAACCUUGGGUACCAGGCUAGAGUUUAGUACAACCUUUCAUCCACAGACAAAUGGACAGACCGAGAGAGUCAAUCAGACUCUCGAGGACAUGUUGAGAGCUUGUGCGCUAGAUUAUGGAUCUAGUUGGGACGAAAAUUUGCUGUAUGCAGAGUUCUCUUACAACAACAGCUAUCAAACCAGUUUGAAGAUGGCCCCUUUCGAAGCCUUGUACGGAAGGAGGUGCAGGACACCGUUGUUAUGGGAUGAGGUUGGAGACCGUCAGUUGUUUGGACCAGAUUUGAUUAAAGAGUCUGAAGAGAAGGUUAAGUUGAUUCGUGGUAGACUCAAGGUAGCCCAGUCCACGCAGAAGAGCUAUGCGGAUUCAAAACGCAAGGAGACAGUUUAUGAAGUCGAAGACAGAGUCUAUCUUUGAGUGUCCCCACUUCGAGGAGUUAAGCGUUUUGGAGUUAAGGGAAAGUUAGCACCACGUUUUGUGGGACCAUACAAAGUUUUGGAGCGUAUGGGAGAAGUUGCUUACAGGUUGGAAUUGCCAGAAGGAUUGUCAGGAGUUCAUGAUGUUUUCCACGUUUCCCAGUUGAAGAAGUGCCACGCAGAGAUGGUCGAUAUUCCUCUGAGAGGUACAGUGCCACUAGAAGUGAUUCAAUUGGAUAGCGAUUUGACUUACGAGGAGAAACCACUGAAGAUUCUCAAGUUUGCCAGCCGAGUCACGCGCACCAAGGUUACCAAGUUCUGCAAAGUUCAGUGGAGCCACCAUACCGAGGAUGAAGCCACCUUGGAACGAGAGGAAUACCUACGGAAGGAUCACCCGCACCUAUUCUCUAGCCAAACCGAAUCUCGAGGGCGAGAUUCAUCUUAAGGGGGGUGGGUUCGUAACAUACCAAAUUUUCAAUUUGGAAUGUUAUACAAUAGAUCAUCUUUGCAUAUCAUAUUUUAUUGCAUUCUUAGUUGAUCCUAGAAAUUCUACGCAACUCAAGGACCCACGGAGAGAGUUGGGAAUUUCGUUAUUGUUCAAAAUUGAAUUUUCCCAAAUUUUGAAAAGAGGAUCAUUUGUUUUUAAUUAUUUUCUCUUCAAAUAUUUCUAAAUAUGAAAUAAAAGAGAAGGGAUAAAAUGGCUUCCCCAAAAUAAAAGAAAUAUUGGAGGAAAAAUAUAAAAAUCAAAUAAGAAUUUUAUUCGAAGUUUUAUUGCUAUUUUAUUUGAAUUAGAAAAAAAAAUGCGUUUUUUAAAAUUGCAUUAUAGUCCCAAAUAAAUGUUCACCUUAUCCGUUAUAUUUUUAGAGGACGGGGAAAUUUUAUUUCAGGAUUAUUGGAAUCCGUUUGAUAUUUCUUUUUAUUUAUCUUCUGUGUGUCGGAAUUAUUUAAAAAAAUCAAACCAUUUAAACGGGUCGUGUCCGACCGGGACUCUAUCCCGUUGGCAUUUCUAAGCCUAGCCGGGGCGCCCCAAACCCUAACCCUAGCCGCGCCCACCCGCGCCGCCUCGUCGCUGAACCGCCUCGCCGUCGACCCCGCCCCGAGGUAGCCGGGUUUUUUUAAUAAAAAAACCAUAGAUUUAUUUUUUUAGAUUGGAUUUAUUAUUUUUAUUCCCGAUUUAUUUAAAUAGCGGAUAUUCGUCCGUACGUUCGUUUUAACGAACGAUGUUCAUCCUUUAGCCGCAGACAGCGAACGUUCGUUCGUUAGCCUGUUCGUCAGUUUUUCUUUUUCCAGGGAUUUUCCGCGAUUAUUUUCGAUCGCGAUUUCUGCCCUGAUCUUCGUUUUAGUUUAUCUUUUCGCUCGAUUAUCGGAAUCUGUUGAUUCAAACGCCCAGAUCUUCGUCUCGAAACCCUCUUUCCGUUUAAUCAACUUGAACAAGAUUUUUGUACAGUGAAAUUUGACUCUAGUCCAGAUUAGUAAGAGAAUCUCGUUUCUUUCGCAGUUUGAGUUUCGUUGCUUCGUUUGUUUUGAUUCUUUUUGCCAACCGGAGUUCUUCAAUUGAACUUUCUGGUUAGAUCUCUUAUUUGAGUUUUACCCAUGCAUCUAGUUUGAGUGCUUAUGUGUGUUAUUGUUUGUUUACGAUAGAGUACCCGGAGUGCGAAGCGUACUACUACGAGUUUCUAGGUUUUGCGGAUCAUCAGCAAGGCAAGUAACACUUUGAUCAUACCUCUUACUAACUAGUUUUAUUGCAUUAGAUCAACCCUCAAACAUUGCAUGGUUAGGAUCUGUUUAACAUGUGAGUUUCGGGAAGUAGAUUGAGGUAGAACCUAUUGUCCUGUUUAUUAUCAAACCUUUGGGAUUUACUUCUACAUUAUGCUUAUAUUGCUAUGCUAUGCUCGUAGACGUGGAUUGGGUGAGUGUAUCCAUGACAGAUGUGAGUAUUGUUAAUUAAUGGUUCACUUAAGGUGGCUACUUAAAAUAACAUCUGGGUGGAUUGCUUGAGGCACCCUGGGGUACCCAGUGGUUGUGAGGGCACCUGGAGAAAUCCAAUGUGGUCCUAGGAUAUCCCGGAGUAACCGUGUGAUCAUCCUACGGUCCGCCACCCAGGCUCAAAGGGAUCAUAAGAUUAUUCAUUCUAGAAACUUUCGUGUGCAGCCACAAGCCAAUAUGGGCUCUGGCAUGGUUGAGUAAGUUGCGUGAAACUCUUGAAGCGGUAGACUAGCAGAUGUAGUGGGUUGUAGGUGGUACGGUCUACCCAGAGUAGAGAGUUAAUGCUUCAGAAAGACUGUGUCUCGAAUCUCCGACCAUGGAUGUAUUCGAGUCUUCUGGGAAAAGUUCGCAAACCUCUCUAGAGUGUACAAACUAAUCAUGGUUAGCCGUGUCCCCGGUUAUGGACAUCUUGAGUAUCUGGUUCUUGGAUUAUCAUGUUGAUCUCAUCACUCUAAAUUAAUUUGUUGGGUUAGUGAUGAUGCUUAAUUGUGAUUGAGUUGGAGGAACCUUCUCAAUGUUUAACAACAACCAUGAUAGUUAAAUAAAACUUAUUACUUUGUGGUAGGGUAAAGAUUGGCUUUAUGCAAAACUGUUAACUAUAGAGCUUUCCACCAGCCAUAUAUGCAUGUAGAUAUAGCAUUUAUUCUGUUCAUUACUCUAUGUGUUACAUUGUCAGCAUAUUCCAUGUGCUGACCCGUUUUGGGCUGCAACAUUUCAUGUUGCAGACUUUUCAGACGUUGAGUAAGGUGCCAUAGGUCGUUGUCUUUCACUCAGCUAUGUCGUUGGAGUUGAUGGACUCACUUUAUCUUCCAAGCCUUCCGCUGUUAUCGUUUUUAGAUGGCCUUAAGCCAUAUUAUUGUAAUAAGUUCUCUUUUGAGACAUUCGAUGUAAUGAAGUGUGUGAUUGAAACUCUGUUAUAAAUCCUCAAGUACUAUGCGUGUCAGCAUUACUGAUCCAGGGAUGACACGGAUGCAUAGAGACUAGACUGUUUGAGGUCUAGUCGCUACAUAUAAAUAGGUGGUAUAUAUGACGCAAUAUGUCGGUUUAGUAUAGUCCUACAAAUUGAUGUAUUAUUGUUAACUUGUAAGGAGACUUUUGUGUUGUUAUCACUACUAAACACACAAAGACUGUAAAUAGUAAAUUAUACCAAGAACCAAUGAUGUCCAUCGCUCCCUUGCCUCAUCCACCUAAAUUCUAAAGAAAUAGGAACGUCGAGUAUCCAUGUUAUAGUUGUCAAAUUAUAGGGGGCACUGCCUUUCUAAACCAUUACCACCUCCCUGUACACACACGUGUUUCUUUCUAUUCCGCGCAAAUAUUAAUUACCUUCCAAAUACAUCAUUAUCCUCUUCCAUUUCUAUCGAGCUUUCAGUUAGAUUGAAAUACGCCCCUCUAGCACAAUUGCCAAUUCACGGGUUUCAUGUAGUCUUAUUCCAAAUCGUGGGCAUCGCCUCCCCUCCCCCUCAUCUUCGGUGAGGACAGCGUGAUAGUCCCAAGCCCACCAUCGAAUUGUUUUUCAUUUUGUGGUCACUCCACCAAUAUUUCUUUCUACACUUCCCCCGCGAGUCUUAUCACCACUGAUGGUGCCUUCCCUUUCGAGGUGAUUGAUGACUUCAAAGUUCUAGAUCUAGGCAUCGAUGGUGUCCUCCCUCUUCAUGAACGCAAGGUUUAUUUCCGAGUGAUUGCCAGAUUCAAAGUUCUAGAUCUACGCAUCGAUGGUUUCCUCCCACUUCAUGACCAUGAGAUUUAUUUCCGGGUGAUUGCCAGAUUCAAAGUUCUAGAUCUAAGCAUUGAUGGUGUCCUCCCUUUGCAUGCCCGUGAGGGUUAUUUCCAGGUAAUUGAUGUGUUCAAAGUACUAUAUCUAAGCAUCGAUUGUGGCCUCCCUCUUCAAGACGGUGAGGAUUAUUUCCAGGUGAUUGACGGAUUAAAAGUUCUAGAUCUAAGCAUCCAUGGUGUCCUCCCUCUUCAGGAACGUGAGCACUAUUUCGAGGUGAUUGGCGGAUUACAAGUUCUAGAUCUAAGCAUUUAUGGUUCUCCCCCUCUUCAUGACCGUGGGGAUUAUUUCCAGGUGACUUUCAGAUUCAAAGUUCUAGAUCUAAGCAUCGAUUCUAUCCCCCCUCUUCAUGAUCCUGGGGGUUAUUUCCAUGUGAUUGUAGGAUUGAAAGUUCCAGAUCUAAGCAUUAAUGGUCUCCUUCAUCUUCAUGACUGCGAGGGUUAUUUCCAGGUGACUGCCGGAUUCAAAGUUCUAGAUCUAAGCAUCGAUGGUAUCCCCCCUCUUCAUGACCGUGGUGAAUAUUUUUAGGUGAUUGCCGGAUUGAAAGUACCAGAUCUAAGCAUCGAUGGUAUCCUUCAUCUUCAUGAUCACGAGGGUUAUUUCUAGGCGAUUGUCGGAUUCAAAGUUCUAGAUCUAAGCACCGAUGGUAUCCCCCUCUUCAUGAACGCGGGGAUUAUUUCCAGGUGAUUGCCCAAUUCAAAGUUCUAGAUCUAAGCAUCAUAGUUUAGAGUUUAGGAAUUUGUCAAAAUAGUUAAUAACUAGCUAAUAAUGAUGUCCUUUCUCUUCAUGACCUUGGGGGUUAUUUCCAGGUGAUUGCUAGAUUCAAAGUUCUAGAAGCACCGGUGGUGCCAUUCAUCUUCAUCAACGUGAGGGUUAUUUCCACGUGAUUGUGAGAUCCAAAGUUCUAGAAACAUCGAUCGUGUCCUUCAUCUUCAUGAACGUGAGGGUUAUUUCAGGUGAUUCAUGACUGUGAGGGUUAUUUCAAGGUGCUUGUCGGAUUCAAAGUUCUAGCAUCGUAGUUUGGAGUUUACGGAUUUGUUACAAAUAGCUAGUAAGUGUAUUCCUAAUAAUGGUGUCCUUCCUCUUCAGGACCGUGUGGAUUACUUCUAGGUGAUUGUCAAAUUCAAAGUUCUAGAUCUAAGCAUUGAUGGUGUCCUUCAUGUGCAUGACCAUGAGGGUUAUUUUCCACGUGAUUGUCGGAUUCAUAGUUCUAGAUAUAAGAAUUGAUGGUGUGCUCCCUCUUCAGGACCUUGAGGGUUAUUUCGAGGUAAGUGUUGAACGAAAAGUUCUAUAUUUUUGCAAGAAAUAUUGGUUAAAGUAUUUAUGUUAUUUUUUCUACAUCUGAAUUGAAAUCUUGUAUGUCCCAAGGUUCUAAGAAAGUGGGGCUGGGAAGGGAGGGGCGUGUGAUAGGUAUGUUGGAGGGUUUGUGGAGUAGAAUAGACUCGGCAUCGAUACUAGAGAAAUCAAGUGGUUGAUAGUGCGAUAAUGUUUUUUCAAUAGUGGAGGGUCACUCUUCGCAUGCAUAUGGGCUCUCUGGUUGGAUACCCCAUCCAGCACAACAUCCUCUUGCACCAUUGAAUCAUCUCAUCUUGGGAUCUCCUCUGUCACUAUCUUUCUCUAAGAUUUACACUCGGUGGUGUGACGACUAGUAAUACAGACAAUGAUACCCCUUAUGUAUGUAAAUUCAAGGAGAAUGUUAGUUCUUUCAUUGUUGUUUUUUUCUUUUUGAAAGAGUUGGGACGCUCAUCAUCUCCUCAAAUAGUAGUUCCCUCGACGUGUCGCAUUUUUAUUAGUCGGGGAAUCCUUUCAUUGGGCGUCGGCAUAAAGAUCUAGAUCUUUUUCUUUUUGAAAGAGUUGGGAUGCUCAUCGUUUCCUCAAAUAGUAGUUCCCUUCAAUGUGUCGCACUUUUCUAUUAGUCGGGGAAUCCUUCCAUCGGGCGUUGGCAUAAAGAUCUAGAUCUUCAAAUAACAUUGAACAGACAUGUGCCAAGUGUACCUUCUCUAUCUCCUUCAUGGCUGGUUUUUAUUCAAAGAAAUUUUAGAGGGUUUUGAGAGUAUUUGGAUCCUUUGGAAAUUUCCUGCAUUGAUCAUUUGAUUCACACGACUGAGAUCCCGAUUGCUCAUUCCUACCCUAUUUUAGAGGAAAACUUUAGUGCCCUCCCCUAGUAUGGCAAUUCGAUAGGAUUCAAAAGGCCACGAUGCUUAAUCGUGUAUUUUGUUUCUAUACCUGGACGUCUUCGGCCUGUUAGGGACGUAGAUCAAAAAUCUGGAGCCGACGAUCGUCAAGCAAACAUUCGCCCUUUUUGUCGGCCUCUAUGGCCCACCUGAGUUCCAUCGCUUCAGGAUUAACAUCCAGUGACAUAAUUAACGGGUGUGUUGGGCACACCUAGAAUUUUGAGGUAUUUUUCACCAUAUAAGAAUUCAACCAAAAUAAUCAUUUUAAACACCCCUAACGUUCUAUGCAAUAGGCCAAUCAACUACUCCCUAUGUUCAAAAUAAGUAAUUUAACUUUAUACUAAUUUUAAUAUAAAGUUUGUAUAAAGUUUGUAUAAAUUUAAAACGUUUAAUUUUAGACGGAAAGAGAGUAUGUUAGAGUGUGCACAUCCAUCAGUUUAAUCAUGGCUGUAUUUUAGAGUGUGCACAUCCAUCAGUUUAAUCGUGGUUGCACCGCUCUUUAGAACAACUUCAAUGGAUCGAUUCAAAUGGACGAUGCUUUUGUCCGUUUUUUAUCAGUUUGGGUCGGUCGCGCGUCCGGCGUCGGUCUUGUUUUAGAUUUAGAUCGACAGUGCGUCCAACGUGCCGACCCAUUUCAUGUCCGCACAUAAUUUUUAAAAAAGUCUCGCGGCCAUAGAUCAUGCGAGCGGCCAUGCCUCAUGCCGGCACCAUGUCAGUGUCGGCAUACAAUCAACACACAGUUCAUGUUGCGCACUCGCUAGCGGCCGGCACACAUGCCAGCACACAAAGAAGGGGUGGUACUUGAGUUAGAUUAUUCGACGCCCGUCUUGGGGUCUUGCCCAAUGUCUCUCAAACACUCGCAAAGAAGCUUGUCCUCGGCCGUCGUGUAUGCCUUGGUCCGCUUGCUCUUGCGCUUCGGCUGCUUCGCCAAGGCAGCUUGGUUGGCGAGCUCGUCCUCGAACAAAGGCUCCCCUUCGAUGUUGCACUCGUCCUCUUCCUCUUGCCUGUAGUCCUUCGAAAACUCGUGGUCGAAUGUGAAGCCGUUCAGGUCCAUGCCGACUUGAUCACGCAUGAAGGCCGCCUGAUCUUGAUCAAAGAUGGACGGCGUGAACGUCCCUCGGUCGUCUUGACUUUGUGUCUCGUCGAGAUCGUAGCCGGUGGGAUCGUCGUCCGGUGCACCACCAUCAAAGAUCAAGUUCUGCAUGUAGUCCUCGUCGUCGGCGGCCGGCAUUCCGUCGAACGGGUUGCGUGCGCCCGGCAACACGUCGGCUGGGAUCUGCCGCGGGCGUUUCUUCACGCCUCCAGAUGACGAGCCACCGGCCACCAGUGUGGUGUUGAGGUCGAUGGGCACGGGCGCGAGCGUGGAAGGCGCCAUCAUGCUCACUUCUGACGAGCACUCCCCGAAAAGGCGGGAGGCCUGCAGGUAGACGUAGAAGUCGGGCAUCGAGUUACAAGCCGACGCGCAGGGCGAGUCAGGCAGCACCAUCCGAGGGAACGCGGAUGAGUCGGUGCUGGCCGCGGCCACGACGGCGUUGACGAGGCCAUGUUGGUUAGGGUUUAACCCUAGCAUAUAGAGCGCAUCCCUCGUUGCCGCCGCGACGCCGACGUUUGUGACCUCCUACUGCGCGGCGACGACGACGACAGUCGUCGUGAUGGCUUCAUCCCUCGCGCCCGCCACGUGUCUGCGGCCCUUCCUCUUGACCGACUCUCAUGCCCGUUGUUCGGGCGUCAACGUCUUCUUCGGCUUGAGCGCGGCGGCGGACUUGCGCUUGCUUUUGUCGGAGGGGGCGGUCGUCAUGCCGGACCAGGCGAGGCCGGUGGCGGCGUCGAGGUCGUCAUCCAUGACGAGGGUGGGGUGGGAGCGCGCGCAGGCGGGAGGGUUUUUGAGGAACAUGAAAGGAAAUGAUGAAGGCUAUCACCGACGAGCAGGCCCGAGGGAAGGAGAAGGCGCGCGCAUGUCUCGUAUCCAUGCCGAUGCAAAUCCAGCUUAAAAAUGGACCGAAGAUGAAUCAGCAAGAGGACGUCAAAUGGACAUGCGUUGAACCGAUUUUUUAUGUCCGCACCAAUUCAAACGAACUCGAGCACACAAAAUGAAUCGACCCUUUUAAAGUUGUUGUCACAGCACUGUGCACGAGCGGCCUACCCAACCCCGCCGCUUGUGUCGGGCCGGCGCACGGAGCGUGCAAAUCCAGUUGCCGAUAGAGUCUGUCAAGUUGCAGAACAGCCUGGCAGCGCUAGUGCUACGUCACGACAGCGACAGGGACACCAGGUUUUACUGACCACAACUGGACACACAGAACAAGCACUGGCACGCUCCCCGUCCCAAUCAAAGACAAGAGUUUUUGGCAAUAAUGACAGGCCACGGGGCCACCCGAUGUGUGCAUGCACAAGAUAUUGCAGCGAGAUACUACUGGAGUACUACUGCUACAUGCCAUGCCAUCCCAUGGACGGAUGAGCCAUGAGUGCGUGCCGGAAAGAAAGANNNNNNNNNNNNNNNNNNNNNNNNNNNNNNNNNNNNNNNNNNNNNNNNNNNNNNNNNNNNNNNNNNNNNNNNNNNNNNNNNNNNNNNNNNNNNNNNNNNNGCUCCUCCUCUUUCUUCUUCUUCUCCUCCUCCUCCUCCUCCUCCUCCUCCUUCUUCUUGAUUUCUUCUUCUUCUCCUCUUCCUCCUCUUUCUUCUUCUUCUCCUCCUCUUUCUUCUUAUUCUACCAUAAUAAGCUCAAAAUGAAAAGAAAGAAGAAGAAGAGAUGAAGAAGAAGAGAAGAAGAAGAAGAAGGAGGAGGAGGAGGAGGAGGAGGAGAAGGCGAAGGACCUUCUAUCCUUCUCCUCCUCCUCCUUCUCCUCCUCCUCCUCCUUCUUCUUGAUUUCCUUUUCUUCUCCUCCUCCUCCUCCUCUUUCUUCUCCUCUUUCAUAUUAUCCUUGCUUUAAUUAACCCAACAAUGACAUAGUUAGCCCAUUUAGCUCCAAAAUACCGUAAUAAGCUCAAAAUGGCAUAAGAACCUUGGUUAGCUCAUGAAUAUUAUAUACUUAGCUUCUUUUCCUCUAAAAGGACAUAAUUGGAAUAUUUAGCUCAAAAAAGACAUAAUUAGGUAAUUUAGCUCCAACAAGAGGAGAAGAGGAGAAGAAAUAGGCAAAAUGAAAAGAAAGAANNNNNNNNNNNNNNNNNNNNNNNNNNNNNNNNNNNNNNNNNNNNNNNNNNNNNNNNNNNNNNNNNNNNNNNNNNNNNNNNNNNNNNNNNNNNNNNNNNNNGAGGUCCUCGUCGGCGUCGUCAUCGUCGUCGCCGAGGCUGUCGUCGGAUGUGUCGUCGCCGUCGUCGCGGCCGUUGCCGUUGAGCAUGAGGCGAUCCCCCCGCCUCCUGUCGGACCGAGGCGAGUCCCUCGGCCCCGCGCCGCCGGAGACGCCGCCGCCGUUGCUCCUGAGCCGCCGCCGCGGCGGAGGCGCCCCGCCGGACAUGGACACGGCGGCCCUCCUGCCUUCCCGGAUCCGCUCCAUGUCAGAUCUGAGGCAUGCGCCUCCGAUCUCCCUCCCUCCUAGUCGCCGCCGGCGUCCCGGCAGACCGCCGCCGCGCAGAUCCGCGCACCAACCGCCUCAACAAAUCCCCACGGGCAGAGCGAGAGAGCCCGCCCUCCUUCUCCUUCCCCUCGUGCUCACAAGUAUCUCUCCUCUCUCUCUCUCUCUCUCUGUAUCGGUGGUGGUGCUGCUCCUCCUAGAGAGUGCUCUCCUCUCUUCUCUCCCUCGGCUGGAAUGGCUGCUGCUUCUCUGGUGUGGCCUCCUCCCCUCCCCUUGUGGCUCGCUUUCUAGGCCUCAUCCUCUUUUUGUCGCUGCCCAUCCCCGCAUCCGACGGCCAGGAUCCGCCCGACGCAUCCGACGGCCCCGACCCCCGCGCGCCUGCCACCGUGGCCGCCCCCACCGCCUACCACCCAACACGCGAUAAAAUCUCGUGGACGCUUCCUUACGCCACAAGCAUGGCCCGAUGACCGACACGUGGCGGGGCAGCCGAGCGGGGUGAAACCCACCGGCAACGGGAGGUGGGUGGUUGAUGGAUGGCGGCACGCCCGUUUGUUCGCUUCCCUAACAAAUCUUUUUAUCCUCUUGUAAAAACUCAACACUCCACGCAAAAUAAAGCAAGAAUAAUACAAUACGAGUACAUAAAGAUGAAAUGGCGCUACGCCAUCGGCUUUGGCACGGGACCACCGCGCGCGGGGUCCGCGUGGACGGAUGGGCCGCCUGAUCUGGACAGUGCGGUGCGGUUUAACCGGGCUGACGUGGCGCCUGCGCGCACCGGUUGGUUGCUACGGGUGGGUUAAAAGGGCACGAGGAAAGUCUCCAGGCAGCAGCAGCGGCAGUGGAGGCGGGCGGGGCCCACGCGCGGGCCCGGGCAUCUCCCGUCUCAUCCGCUUUUCUUUCCUUUUUCUUUUUCUCUUUCCUAACGUUCUGCUCGUGGGCUCCGACGUGGCGGAGGGGGUGACGUCGGCGGGGCCCGCCGGCCACCAACCUUCACCGCACCACUGGCCUACUUCUACUCUGAUGAAUUAUUAGUAAGAUAUUCCUUGAAAACACCCAGUAGUUUAAUAUCAUUACCACGGAGGAGAUCCGGAAGAUGUCAUUGUAUACGCGGAUUGGCGCGGUUUUACUUACACUAACUUUGGAGCAUUGAAGGCCGGUAAAUUUAAAUUUAAAUGUUUUCGCUGUGGUGUGGUGUGGUGCGGUGCGGGGCGUCGUGUUCUGGAUCCAGACGCCACCGGCAUCGGGUGCAUAUAUGCAUGGCGACGUACUGCUGCUCGCUUUAAAUUGCAAGUUUUUUAAACGAGCCACGUGCGCCUUCUUUCCAGCAUUGUACACCCAAAUUGAAUUUUGAAAAGAAAUAAAGAGUAAUUCAAGGCAUAUUUUCAGUAGGUGGCUAUCAAUGAAAAUAUGCCUGCGAAUCACUUUUUUUUUUUAAAAAACUCAAUUUGGGUGUAUUUUUGGAAAACAAAGUUAGAGGAUCGAUUUUGUUUUUUUAUCAUGACUUUACAAAUAUGAUUUCAUGAUGAAAUUUUGAAUGCACAACAAGUAUUUCCAAAAUAUAUCAUUUCUUUAAAUUUAUUAUUUUAUUUUGAACAUUUGUGCCUAGUUAUAGAAACUCCGCGUCCGUUGUAGGCUUCUUUUUGCUUAUGUCACUGAGUGUAUGUAGAAGGUACAUGUGGUGUUUAAUUUGACGUGGUUAGCAAGGACACAAGAUUUUGAUUCAUGAAAAGGGAAAGGACAUAUGGAUAGUAAACUUUGAAUGCAAUGGACAACAACAAGCACACGCUUCCUCAAAGAAGGGCAUCAAGAACAUUUUUCCUUGGCAUCUCGAUUAACUCAAUAAAACGUGGGUGUUCCCUCCUCCUCCCCUCCCUCGCACAUCGACAAACACACACGACAUGCACAUGUGUGCCCUUUUUGUGUGUUUGUGUGCGUUGUUGCUCACCCCGCAUGCCCAUAGUUUGGGAAGACCAUGUGUCCUUGAAGCUUCGCCCGUUGGCCAACUUCACACCUAUGCUUAUUGCAUUUGUGAGAUUUGAAAUAACUGCUAUGAGUGAUUUUUGGAAAGGACGAUGGGAGAGGGUUAGAUCCGGCAAAUUUGCUGAAAUAGCACUAUGUGCCCUUCGUUAGUCGGGGACGGGAAGCGAGACUCUCGACUUCCUUUUGAGAUCAGAGGGAGCAUGCCAAAGUGAUAAUGAACGGCCAUGACCGUGCCUUCCAUUCAUGGUGAUUGGUCAAAACUUUAUAUAAUCUCCAAAGAAGGAGUUCCAAGAAAUACACAAAGAGGUGUAUUCUAGUUGUUGCCAAAUUAGCAACUGCGAAUGGCGGUCUCCGAGUAGAGAUUAUCAUAUCAAAUACAAGAUUAUUAAUUCUAAACGCUCCUCCUAAUGUGUGCAUGUACUCUCAUCGCUCUUGAAAAAGUGCACCAAUUUCUAAAUUGUGAAUUGAGAAAAAUGUGUGCGCGUGGGGGGGUGUUGUCCCCCCUAGGUGUGUGUGCAUGCCCUUAUGCAUCUUGUUUCCCACGCAUGCGUCGUCACUUAGCUCGUGUGGCCGCGUUCGGAAAGCCAAUCCACGUGCCCAUGAUGCUUCACCCAUUGGUCGCAUUAGAAGCUAUCUAUGUCGCAUGCAUGAGGUUUGGAAUAACCGCUACAUGUGAUUUGCGAAGAGAGUUAUGUUUGGAGGGAAAUACCAAAAUAGCAAUAGUGUGCCCUUCCUUGGUGGAAGAUAAGAAGCAAGACUCGUGACUUUCUUUGGAGAUCAGAGGGAGUAUAACAAAGUGAUAGUGAAUGGCCAUGACUUUGCCUUAUCAUUCAUGAUGAUUGAUCAACGAUUUAUAAAAUGUCCAAAGAGCGGUUCUGAGAAAACAUGGAGGGGUGUAUUCGGGGUGUUGAGAAUUUAGCAACUCCCAAAUGUGGUUUACAUGCANNNNNNNNNNAUUUAUCUUAUCUAACACGAUAUUAAUUAAUUCUACACACUCCUCCGGAUGAGUGCAUUUAUUCCCACCACUAUUGAAAAACACAUCAAUUUUCUCAAUUUUGAAUGGAGAAAAGCGUGUGCGUGUGGUAGGUGCUUUUGCUCAAAAUCAUUCCUAUAAGUGUGCGUGUGCAUGCGCAUGUGUAUCUCGUUUCAUGUNNNNNNNNNNNNNNNNNNNNNNNNNNNNNNNNNNNNNNNNNNNNNNNNNNNNNNNNNNNNNNNNNNNNNNNNNNNNNNNNNNNNNNNNNNNNNNNNNNNNNNNNNNNNNNNNNNNNNNNNNNNNNNNNNNNNNNNNNNNNNNNNNNNNNNNNNNNNNNNNNNNNNNNNNNNNNNNNNNNNNNNNNNNNNNNNNNNNNNNCGAGAUUUGGAGUAACCGCUACACGAAAUUAGUGGAGAGGGAUAGGUUCUGAGGGAAAAGACCAAAAUAGCAAAGUGUGGCCUUCCUUACUGGCAAAUAGAAGCAAGACUCGUGACUUCCUUCACAGGUUGGCGGGAGUAUAACAAAGUAACAAUGAAAUAACAUGUCAUGGUUUUGUCACGACGGAUGUCCUCGUGAUAGGACUAAGUCUAGGAUCCAUCACAACUAGGUGGUUGUUUGGAUGGGGUUGAUCGGGAAUGAGAGACAAGAGUUUACCCAGGUUCGNNNNNNNNNNAUGACUUCCUUCACAGGUUGGCGGGAGUAUAACAAAGUAACAAUGAAAGAACAUGUCAUGGUUUUGUCACGACGAAAAUCCUCGUGAUAGGACUAAGUCUAGGAGCUAUCACAACUAGGUGGUUGCUUGGAUGGGGUUGAUCGGGAAUGAGAGACAAGAGUUUACCCAGGUUCGGCCCCUCCGAUGGAGGUAAAAACAUGUGUCCUGCUUUUGGUUUUUAUUGAUGAUGAUCUCGAUUACAAGGGUUCGAAAUCUCUAACCUAANNNNNNNNNNCUGUGUCCUCCUUUUUGUCUUUAUUGAUGAUGAUCUCGAUUACAAGGGUUCGAAAUCUCUAACCUAACUCUCGAGGAUUUCUAACUUGUCAUUUCUACCUCAGGGGUCCCCUUUAUUUAUAGGUUGAGGCCCUAAGAUCACAAUAGAGUCUGGGUCGUACUGCAACCCGUGACUUAGUCUAAUUCCUACUCAUCUUCUCAUCCAAGUAGGGAAAGCUUCUUAUGUCUUCCGCAACGAGUCAGCCCACCAGGUGAUUGCGUAACCCGACCUUCAAGACGAGCCCCCCCUUGGGCCUCAUGUCUCAUGUAGGUCUUGUUAUUUGGUUGGAUUUGGAAGGUCGGGUCAUGCCGUGGGCGGGUUACGCCAUGGGGUAUAUCCCCAACAUUAGCCCCCAUUUUAAUUUGGAUUCAUCCAUGUUAAACUCCAACUUGAAAAAUGAAAAAGAGCCUUCAUAGAUGAAGUUAAGCUUUGAUCCUUUUACCCUUAAGCCGAUAUUUCUCCUUGCUGAUGACGUGUCCGAGUUGAUAAUAUGUCGGUUUAUUUCUUCUGUCCAACACUUAGCUUCUUUUUUAUCUCCUUCGCCACCAUAUCAUCAUAAUGACUGUUGACAUGGACGGGUCAUGAUGACGAAUCUUGUUUUUGAACAGUAGUCAAAUCUAGGCAGAUGCGAAAAUCAAGGCGACACAGCCGCCGCUAAUUGCUUUAAUCCAUUAUUUUUGCUGCGCCGCUUCGGUUUCAAACCUUCCCUUAUAAAUAGACCGUACGGGGUCAUUUCUUGAUUUUUCUCCCGUCUUAUUCCUCUCGCCAAUUUCUAAAUUGUGAAUUGAGAAAAAAUGUGUGCGCGUGGGGGGGUGUUGUCCCCCCUAGGUGUGUGUGCAUGCCCUUAUGCAUCUUGUUUCCCAUGCAUGCGUCGUCACUUAGCUCGUGUGGCCGUGUUGGGAAAGCCAAUCCACGUGUCCAUGAUGCUUCACACAUUGGCCGCAUUAGAAGCUAUCUAUGUGGCAUGCAUGAGGUUUGGAAUAACCGCUACAUGUGAUUUGCGAAGAGAGUUAUGUUUGCAGCGAAAUGCCAAAAUAGCUAUAGUGUGCCCUUCCUUGGUGGAAGAUCGGAAGCAAGACUCGUGACUUUCUUUGGAGAUCAGAGGGAGUAUAACAAAGUGAUAGUGAAUGGCCAUGACUUUGCCUUGUCAUUCAUGAUGAUUGAUCAAAGAUUUAUAAAAUGUCCAAAGAGCGGUUCUGAGAAGACAUGGAGGGGUGCAUUCGGGGUGUUGAGAAUUUAGCAACUCCCAAAUGUGGUUUACAUGCANNNNNNNNNNGUUUAUCCUAUCUAACACGGUAUUAAUUAAUUCUACACACUCCUUUGCAUGAGUGCAUUUACUCCCACCACUAUUGAAAAAACACAUCAAUUUUCUCAAUUUUGAUCGGAGAAAAGCGUGUGUGUGUGUGGUAGGUGCUUUUGCUCAAAAGUAUUCCUAUAAGUGUGCGUGUGCAUGCGCAUGUGUAUCUCGUUUCAUGUGCAUGCAUUAUCGCUUAGCCCAUGUGCCCACGCUCGAGAAGCCAAUCCACAUGCCCUUGAUCCUUCACCCAUUGUCCAUAAUAGAAGCUAUGUAUGUGGCAUGCAUGAGAUUUGGAAUAACCGCUACGCGAAAUUAGUGGAUAGGGAUAGGUUCUGAGGGAAAAGACCAAAAUAGCAAAGUGUGGCCUUCCUUACUGGCAAAUAGAAGCAAGACUCNNNNNNNNNNNNNNNNNNNNNNNNNNNNNNNNNNNNNNNNNNNNNNNNNNNNNNNNNNNNNNNNNNNNNNNNNNNNNNNNNNNNNNNNNNNNNNNNNNNNACUUUCUAGGUUACCUAUAAAACUUUCUAGGUUACCUAUAAAACUUUCCAGGUUACCUAUACUACUUUAUAAAACUUUCCAGGUUCCAUAAAAAAAUAUUUCAUGCCGGGGUGUCUCGAGAUGUCGUGUCGGGGCGUCGUGUCGGGGUUUCGGGGCAUCGUGUCGGGUGUCAGGGGUGUCGUCGAGAUGUCGUGUCGGGGCGUCGUGUCAGGGUUUCGGGGCAUCGUGACGGGUGUCAGGGGUGUCGUCGAGAUGUCGUGUCGGUGCGACAACUACUAUUGCGAGCUGUUGUAAUAUCCUCGGUGUUGAAGUCGAAUAUCACCGGUGCCUGAAGGGGGUGGUCCCAACAGUAAUGUUUCUGCACCGACCUGCAUGGGGGUGGUUGCAGCAGCAUCGUUGUUGCAGCACGUGAGCUUGAUGGCAUAGUAGCCAUGGCAGGUGCGUGACAAGCUCACCGACGUUCCCCAACGUUGUGGCUAGUGCAAGCAUAGGCGGCAACCGGAGGGCUCUACACGGUCAACUACAAACCUAACAACUAACCUAACACACAGUAGGUAAUUAACAACUAACCUAACAACUAACCUAGCUCGAGGGGUAAUACCACUAACAACUAACCUAAUUACCACUAACAACUAACAAGUAACCUAACUAACCUAAUUACCAGUACGUAACCACUAACAACUAACCUAACUAACCUAACUAACAAUAGGGAAUUAACAACUAACCUAACUAACCUAAUUAAUGAAUUAACGAAAAAAGGAAAAAGGACUCACCGAGCUCCGGCGGUGGAGGAGAGGGCGGUGGAGGGGGGCGCAGGGCGGCGGUGGGGUGUGUNNNNNNNNNNNNNNNNNNNNNNNNNNNNNNNNNNNNNNNNNNNNNNNNNNNNNNNNNNNNNNNNNNNNNNNNNNNNNNNNNNNNNNNNNNNNNNNNNNNNAAGAGAGAGAGAGGCCAGGUUAAACCUAAAUAAACAAGCAAUCCAGCACGCGACUAAUCACAUGUCACCAACAACCGGAGCGGUGCACGCAUCUGGACAAAGGCUCCGUUCGUUCGUGCGUGCGUGCGUGCAGACCCACUCCGGAAAGGAAACGGGAGGGAGAGAACACCAUUGCAUUGCAUUGCGCCAAGCGAAAGGAAAGCGAUGUCCCCCGGGCAAGGCAAAAAAUUCCAGACACUUACUUUUCAGCCUGCAGCACGUCGGGUGGCUAUCAGGCCGGACACGUGCGACGGCCCGGAGCUUUGGUGGAGGAGAGCGAUCCAUGUGAAUGAGAUCAUCAUCAUCCAGCCCCAGUGUGAUGGAUAAUAGGAGUAGAUAGAUAGAUAGAUAGAUAGGCACGAGUACGAAGAAGAUAGUGGCAGCACGCGUCCGUCCACGCAAGUUAACAAAUGGCGGAGUGGCGUGACCGGAAAGAGCGGCACUUUCGGACGGGAGAGCAUUCGGUGCGGAGUCCUCGUCACAUAGGCCAGAAUUCCUUUGUUUUCUAACCGUCUAUUUCCAUCAGUCAUUCUCCUUUCUGACCACCAGAUCAAUAUCCAUGCCGCGGCAUGUUCAUCUCUUUCUCCUUCAUCUUCUUCCUCCUCCGCCGCCGCCUCAUACCCUGCCCCAUCCGCCUGCCUCCAGCGCCGUUGCUGCCCACCACCCUAACCAUCCCUCCCAAGCCCCUCACCACCUGUGAAAAAUUGCGACGAUCCAGAGAAACCGACUGAUGCAACAAAAAAGAUCAGGUACCUGAAAUAUUACAGCAAAACCAUAAGAAGAUUGUCUAUCCAUCAUCAACCACUUGAUUGAUUCAUUCCUUCUACAAGGCUAGCUAAUUACAACGCACACCCAAAAGGCAAGUCAUGGUCAUUCUCAUGCCAUGCUAUGCAGCCUCCCAAUCAUUGAUCAAUUACUACUAAUACUACUACUUGAGAAAAUAUUUCCCUGUCUGCCCCAGUUGUUGUUUCUAAAACAUGGAAAGAAGAAAGAAAGAAAGAAAGAAAAGAGGAAAAGCAAGAGAAGCAGCAGCAGCAUCACAAAAGUUCCCCUUGUCCUGCAUUCUAAUUAAAUCUUCUUCCUUCAGUCAAGACAACAACAAAAACGAACAAAUCUAAAGAGACCAGAGCAGCAGUUGGAGGGGAGGGGAGAGAAGUUCAGAGAGAGAGACCAGCUAGCUUUUGACAUCCUUGCAUAAAACUGCUAAAAAAAAGGGGUUUCUAUGCACCUCCAGCUUUCCACCAUGGGAGGAUAACCUACUACACACAAGCAUCACUCCCAUCAGCCGUUCUAGAGUUUCACUCGAUUGCCAGCGCUCCUGCAUGGAUGGAAUGGGUGCAUCAUCAUCUUCUUCGACGACGCUCCGGCUCUCGCGGCUGCGCAGCCUCUUGUCGCGCAAUCGCUUCUUCCACGCGCCAACCUUUCCACAGAAUUAGCAGUUAGCUCGCCCAAUCAGAUUAGCAGCAUUCCCAUGCUCUGGCGUCUGGGUCCUUUACUUACCUGACAACACAACAGCUUAUGUUAGUGGAAAGAACUCAGUGAUACAUGGAACAACGUCUGCAGGGGAAAGAAGGAUAUAGGUCCAUUACCAGCAGCAGGCUUCUGAUCACUGGUAGGCUUUACUGGCAUCGGCAUUGAAAAGGUCAAUUGUGCCCCUGACAUGUGAGAGUGAGGCGAACCACUCGCAGAUUGCCCCGCUGUGGCAAGGUGCAUAAAACCACCAGCAGCUGGAUGAAGAUUGGCCUUCAUGUUACUGCCAGCUGCCUUCCCUGCAUCAGCUGGAAUCGCAGCUGUGGACAUUGACAUGGAACCAAGAGAGAGCAUAGCAGACGAACCAGAUACAGCAUUCUGCUGUUGCUGCUGCUGCGUCUUGUCAGUCGAGCGCUUUUGGUAGAGGCCAGCACCAGCUCCAGCAUUUACAUGCUGAGGCGGACCUUGUGGUGGUGCGAACGCAUUGGAGAUGAAGAAGUGGCCUUGCGAGAAUGGCUGCUGUUGCUUCAAUGAGGGUCCAUGCGACUGCUGCUUACCGCCAGAGUGAGCCAUGUUUGGCUGCUGACCAAGGAUAGAUGGCAUAGGCAUACUGCUGUAGUGAUUUGUGGAGGCUGACUUGGAUCCAGAAGUCGAAGGAGAGUUCUUGGCUGCAUGUUGUUGAGGCGAUGACAAUUGGACAACUGGCUGGCCACCCUUCGCACUUCCAGAUGCAGGUGGGCUACCACCAGUACUUUUGGAGACUGAAUUAGAUGGCGAACCAGAAGCAACAGGAGCAUUUGAAGAUCGAGAUAGGUCCCCUCCUCCUCCAGUAGAAAGAUUAGUAAGGGAGUGCCCAAUCUUCGACGAACUCAUGCUUUGUGACUGGUGAUUUGGGGUGGAGAGAGCCUGCAGAGCUUUUGCUUGUUGUUGAUGGAGACCACUGUUCUUCAUCAUAAUCAAAUUAGAAGGUGAGGAUGCAGCAGGGACAGAGGCAGCUGAAGGUGGAGCUGACACUCUCAUCGACGAUGCCUUCAAUUGAGGUGAUUGACCNNNNNNNNNNUGGAGACCAUUGUUCUUCAUCAUAAUCAAAUUAGAAGGUGAGGAUGCAACAGGGACAGAGGCAACUGAAGAUGGAGCUGACACUCUCAUCGACGAUGCCUUCAAUUGAGGUGAUUGACCAGGAACUCCGCCUUGAGAAGUGCUUGACGGAUACAUUAAAUUCUGAAAGUUCGUUGCAUUCAAACGGUCAGAGUAUCCACUUGCAUUGCUAGGUGCAGCAGACCUGGGGCGAGAGUUCAGAUGAUUUUGAAACAAUUGCUGCUGCUGCUGUUUCUGAAGGUGUAACAUAUUUUGCUGGUGCUGCUGUUGUUGCUGCUGCUGCUGAUGCUGCUGCUGCUGUUGAUGCUGCUGCUGUUGUUGCUGCUGCUGAUGCUGCUGCUGGAGUUGCUGCUGCUGCUGCUGUUGUUGCUGCUGCUGGAAUUGUUGCUGCAUCUGCUGGUGAUGGUGUUGCUGCAGCUGCAGCUGAAUUUGCUGCUGCUGGUGGUGUUGCUGCUGGGAGAUGGUUGGUGCAGAUGGGGCUGCAGCUGACGUAGCUGCUCCAGUAGAAGCACUUGAAGAUUUGCUGCUGCCUAACCCAAAGGCAUUGGAAGAUUCCGCACCAAUAAGGCUCAAAGUGCGGACUGAGGGCUCAUUAGCACUGCUACCAAGGAAAGGGUGCAUAAAAGAUUUGUUUUCUGGCUUUGAGAAGGAAAGAGAAUGUUGCUGCGAAUCACUCGGGUAUUUUGCAGAUGCAGAUUUCUUUCUCUCAUUAUCUCCAGCACUUGGCGUUGAAGACGAAUCCCCAGCCACAGAUUUAGCUUCUGCGGCAUUUUGAUGCUGGGCCUUGUGCUGUGCAGCUUGAACAGACUGGGCUGCAGCAAAAUUGAGCUGAGGGUAACCAUGCCGGCCUGCUUCUUGAUGGCUCUGGAACAGCGCAUGGUUCUGUGCCAAUGAAGAGAAGUCAAGACCACUUGGAGCAGAACCAGGAGCACCAAAGGGCAUCACAAAAGGUUGAGAUGAAGCAAGAUCAAUUCGAACCCCCUGGCCUCGACUGGUUGAUGGCUGCUGGUGGUGAUCAUUCGAUUUCUUCUCACUCUGAUUGCCAGCGGCUGGCAUCAACGCAAAAUUCGGAAGAUGCAUUGGAAUAGCAAAAUUAUGUUCAUACCCACCCUUUUGAUGGUGUGCAGACUUGUCAUCACUUGACUGGCCAUCUUGGAGAGUCUUGUCUGUAUCCUGUCGAUGAGCGAGGCCAGGCAGUAGAACAGGACGCUGGUUGCCACUCGAAUAGCUCUGGGAACUGUUGGCAGCGGCUGCCGCAGCUGCGGCAGCAGCAGCAUUAGCAUUUGGUGCAUAUCCCAGCAACCCUUGUGAUUGUUGUGGCUGAUGCUUCUGAGAGGAACCAGACAAGCUUGGCAUUGGGUUUUUCUGAUGAUUUUGUUGCUGCGUAACUUGCUGCUGUGAUGGGUGCAACAUGUGGGGAGAGUAGACAUGCCCGUUGAAAAACGGUACACCUGCGCCUUGUGGUGCCAUGCCUCGAUAUGAUGGAGGUCCUCCAGCAUGAGCAGCGGCGACCUGUAACGGGUAGCCGUUCUGUAAGAUAGCCAAGAACUGGGCAUCACCCGGCUGCAAGUUGGCAAAGCUCAAGUUCAUGGCCGAUGCACCAGGGUGUGCUGCUGAAGCAUGGGCAGUGGCAGAUGAUGAUGGCAUGGCACUGCUGGCUCCAGAAGAUUUUGUAUCACCCAUUCGAUUGGCGGCAGCAGUUGCAGCUGCUACUGCUGCAGCAUGUUGGUUGAAUGGAAAGAUGAAUGUUGGCGGUUGCUGUAAAAAACAAGGGUGCACGGGAAAUUAUAUAAGGAAAAAAUACAAAAAAGAACCACAAGAAAUACUAGCAAUGAAUAGCAUAAAUAUCCACAACAAGCAUACCAUCAAGUUUGGUGGCAUGGGAGAAGAGGACUGCUGCGCUUCAUGAGCUGGAGGUUGCUUCCUUUGGUUUGAUUCAGCAACAGUAGCACUGCUGGAUGCCCCUUUAUCCUUGGAGAGGCUCCCCUGGAAAGGAGAAGACACCAUUGAAGGAGUCUUAGUUUCUUGCAGCGGGGCUUGUGCCCGGACAGGGUAGCCCCCCUGCAUUGGGUUCGCGAGAAGGGAGGCAGCCUCUGCAGGUGGAACAACCCCCAUGUUGAAUGGCCCUCUAGGACCAAAGAAUGGUGCAGAUCUUGAUGCGGCGGCAGCUGCUGCUGCAGCCGCUGCUGGGGGCCAGAAGUUCAUCUUUGUAAGUCGCUGGUGGUAUUGGAUCUGCUGUGCAAUGUAACAAUGUGUAGCGCAGCGCUUCGGUCGUUCUGGCAGAGGAGGCAAUGCAGGAUGCUGCAAUGUAAAAAACCUUCAGACUUGGCAAAGAAAUUCACUCUAAACAUACAGAACCACACCAUAGCUCAAGUGAGAAAAACGAACCUGUAAUCCAGCCGAAGUCCCUGGCUUGAUGUCCAUAGGAUGAUGAAGGCCAGGAGCUGAUAAUCCAGGAACAGGGGCAAUGUAACUGCCAAGAUAAGAGACAAGAGGUUUCAGACCACAAAUCCUUCAGGGAGGAAGAGUGCCGUGUGAAACGUCAAACAUCAGUGAGAAAACUCACCUAAAAGGUGGGAAAUUCCCCAUCCAGCCCCCGACGGUCAUUGGCAUAGGCGGUGAAGCAGCAGGUAGAGCUGCUAGAUGAGGAAAAACCCAAAUCAACAAAGAAUCACCUUUUACAAAAUCAGUGAGAAAUGGAGAAGAAGCAAGCAAAAUUCUUACGUGAUUUCUCAUGCUUGACCUCGGACUUUGAGGGCUUGUGCUGCUGCUGCUGUUGCUGCGUCGGCGGCAAUGGCGGCUGCCUUCGCUCAGAUGGCGACUUCUCGUCGCCUUGGCUGGGCUUCUCCAAAUCCAGCUGCAGCGUGAGCUUCUUUGGAGCAAGCUCCUCCGCCGGAAUCCUCUGCGCCUUGUCGUCCUCCAGAUUGAUCUCUAGGCCUCUCCGGGACCUCUCGUCAUCUUUCUUUUCAGAAUUUCCUCUCCCAGCCUAAAAUCGGAGCAAAAGAUGAGCAGCAAAAGGAUAGAUCAGGAUCGAACACACAAUGCUCCAGGCUGAGGAGAUCAAUCUGCAGAAUUGGGGAAAUUGAAGCNNNNNNNNNNNNNNNNNNNNNNNNNNNNNNNNNNNNNNNNNNNNNNNNNNNNNNNNNNNNNNNNNNNNNNNNNNNNNNNNNNNNNNNNNNNNNNNNNNNNNNNNNNNNNNNNNNNNNNNNNNNNNNNNNNNNNNNNNNNNNNNNNNNNNNNNNAGGCAGGCACCUACCACGUCCAUCUCAGAAUCCAAUCCCUUCUUAUCCGCAUCAGGGUCGGAAGAGCCAUCUCUAUCAGGAGAUAGCUUCCCAGGAGGGGGAGCCUGGAACAAGCACAGAGGCAGAGAGAAAAAAGGUGAGAUAAAAAAAAAGGCUGAAAAGAAAACAAAAAAGGCAAUCAACAGUUGCGGCAAAAAAUUGUCGUUUUCAAUCUUUGCCCAACAAAUUCCGCAAGACCAAUUCAACCACACACGCACACACACACACACACACACACACACGAGAAGCAUAUACCCACCAUGAGAUCAAUGCAAAACUUUUCUUGACGAGCGCCAUCAGAUGCCAGCUCACUGAUAAAAAAAUAAAACAAUUCACACGAAAUUGUGAAUAUACUAAUCAGAUCGGCACAAUCCAAAGGCAAUAAUGGCUAUCACAACACCAAUAAUAAUAAAAAAAUCCAAAUGGCCCACCUCUUUGUCGCCGUGAUGGCCUCCCCAUUCCUGGCCUCAGAGCCGACCGGCGCAGCAGCAGCCUCGCCGUCGGGCUUGACUGGUGGCGCCGGCGGCUCGGCCCGGCUCUCGGGCCCGUGAUCCCGUCGAUCUGAUUCGCUGGCCCGGAGCUCUGGAUCUCUUCCUCUGUGGUCCUCCCUCUUCUCUGGCUGCUCCCGGGUAGCCUCCUGCUGCGCGCCAGCCGUGGCGGAGGCAGCGGCGGUGGUGCUGGCGCCACUUUCGGCCACAGCCGACACCGACGGCUUCGCAUCUGAUCUUGGCACCGGAAGCACUUCCUGCCUUGAGGGCGGCUCUGCCGUGUCCGGCUUUGCUGGGCUCGGCGGGCGGUUCUCGUUGUCGUACUUGACCAGCCGUGGCCGCUUCCUCUUUGGGGCUGGGAAAAGCAGUGAGGAAGUUUAUUAGACCCACAAAACCAAAAUUAGCAACAAAAAAUCGUUACAAGAUUAAAAUUGACGAGCUGCUACCUGUAGUGGUGAGAGAGGCUGAAUCUGCCGGCCGGACGCCAGAUGACGACGGAGCCGGCGAAGAGUUCCCAGACUUGGCCUCCGGCGCGUCCUUUGGCUCCGGCUUGUGAUUCAUGUUCUCCUGCUUGGGAGGGCAGGGGAACUGCCGCGUCAGGCCAAAUAGCACCUCGGCGACCUCGAUCUCCUCCUGGAUGAAGGACGGCGACUUGGAAAUCUUUGGUUGUGAUGGCUGAGGCGGCGCUGCCGAAGGAGCUGAGGCCGGCGACGGCCGCUGCUUCGGUGCAGGUCCAGAACCGCCGCCGCUGCUCCCACCGCCACCAAUCGUUUUCUGUGAGACAUCGGAGAGGGAGAGAAAUCAGUAAGUGCUAGAGUUAAGGAAUCAUGAGGGGAGAUGGAUUCUGUCGGCCUGAAAAAAACGCACCAGCUUUUUCCUAACAGGGGCGGUGGUCGAUGUGGAAGCCGGCGAGAUCGGCCGUGAAGGACGCUGGAUCUGCGAGGCUUCUACAGCGCCGGCGCCGCCGGUUCCACCGCCGGGGCCUGUCCACUCGUGCGAAGACCUCUUGGUGGAAGCUGCGGAAAACACGAGGAACAACGGUGAGAUUAGGGAAGAAGAGGAGAUAAGAAACAGGAAGAAGCGGCAACAAGGGCGGAAAAUUGCGUGCUUUGUGGUUGUGGUGCGUACCUGAGCGCGCCUUCCUGGGGACUGGAACACCGAUCAUUUCGUCGGCGGCCUUCCAUACUAUGGGGCUCUUCGGAUUGGAGCCCCCCUUCCGGUGCAUCUGCUGCUGGCCGUGGUGGUGGUGGUUGUUGUAACCGCCGCCGCCGCCGCUGCUGCUGCUGCUGUGGUGGUGGCCGGCGCCGCUCGGCUGAGGCGGGGACGGCGGAGGCGCCGUGCUGGGCGAGCGGCGCUGCACCGGCGNNNNNNNNNNNNNNNNNNNNNNNNNNNNNNNNNNNNNNNNNNNNNNNNNNNNNNNNNNNNNNNNNNNNNNNNNNNNNNNNNNNNNNNNNNNNNNNNNNNNAAGUCUCUCAGAUUUACCAUUCUGAAUAGCAAGAGAAUGAUAAGAGUAAGUCAUCAUGGUGAUCAAUCUAUUCCACACCCAAAUCAUUGCUCUGUAUAAGGUUUAGCAAAUCUUGCAUUCUAACACUUGGGCAUCCUCACAAGCAUUGCACAAUUUCUCUUGUACAUGAAUGAAGUUCGGACGAAUCCAUUGGUUCUGCAAGCUGAACGAAACAUCUAUCGUAUUUUUACCACUCUUAGGUUUUGUGCGUGCUCCUAAGAAAACGUUUGCUGACACGUCAUAGCUUAUCCCUUCAUGCUCUUGGGGCAACCUUUUUGAAAAUCUUGGGAUGCAUCCUUGGUACAUGUUGUAUUCCUUGAACUAAUUUUCCUUUCCAUUGGUUUGAUUAUCCUUAGGUAUUGUUUCAUCAUAGUAAUUCCUUCAUUUCAUCCUCAUUCUAUUCUCGAAAUUCCACUUCAAAAGUACUUGGUUACAAAUUUUGUCACCCACAUAGUUUGAUAUGGUCCAACAUUUCCUUCAAAUGUAUUCGGUGGAUUUGACUCCUCGGUAUGCAUGGUACAUUCCUAUUCCUUGGAUCCUGUGGUUUUACCGAUUACUACCACACUUAAAAUGAAAUAUACUCAUGCCUGCAUAUACCAUAUUUUCUCAUAUCCUCAUAAAUGGUCAGAGAUCUUUGUUCAUAGAGAAACAUCGCAUAUAGUUUCAACAUAGGACAUCAUGACACAAUAAAUUUUAUUGAUUCAUGAAGUUAUUACAAUCUCAGAGACUUCCAUUACAAAAUUUAACUCCAUAAACUCAUGAUAACAAGAGGGCUUCAUGCUACACUUAUUGCCAUUGUCAGAACUUAACUACUCCAUUUUAGAUUUCUUUCCCUGUGGACAGUUACUAGCAUAAUGUCAUGCUUCCUUGCAAUGAAAACGAAUGCGUUCCGACAAGUCUCGGGGCUUCUUGGUGUUUGCUGUUGCUCCUUGGGUUUCCUGCUUCCUUCUUGGGCACAUAUUGCUGUAGUGGCCCAAUUCCUUACACUUGAAACAUCUGAUAUGACUCAGGUCUUUAUGUGUCGGGAUUUGACUAUGGCUGGUGUACUUUCUCUUCUUUCCGAAAUCCUUCAUUCGGGCCAGUUCUUCUAUUUCAAGUGGAUCCAACUCUACUUUUUCUGUCGAGAAGUCUCCCAGAUAUUUAUGGCUUUCCUUCAUGCAAUCCUCUCAAAAAUGUCCUUCUUCUCCACAUGAGUAACAUGCAUUGGGAAAAAAUAUGGUUAGGCCUUGUCCAUCAGGGUCUCCAAUAUUUUCCUUCAUCACAUGUUCUUCUAAAAUCUUCUUCUUGAGCGUUUCCUUCAUUGAUUAUUUCUGUUGCUUGACAACUUGUUGUACGUUGUGGUAAACGUGACACUGGGCUGGGUAGUGAGUGGUUCCUUCACACAAGAAACAAGUCACCUGACUAGUUGGGCAUUCCUCCCCUAGGUGAUUUUCUUCACAAUGAGGGCAUCCAUCCUUGUCUUCUCCCUGGGUGUGUCCUAUUUCUCCACAGAUCUUACAUGCACAAGGUUUCUUCAUCGGGCUAUCAUAGCACUUCUGAAUGAGACGAGCUCUUAACAGAGUCUUCUUGAAUUCGUCCUAAGUUUCUGCUCCACUAAAUCCUUGUAUGUCAUGAUGCAUUUUCCACCAGAUAGCAGCACUUUGUGUAAAGUACUGAAGAGCAUGUGCCACUUCAUACUUCCUUGAAAUUAAAUUGCUCCUGAAGUGGUUCUCCAUGUUCUGAAUCCAUAUUUCAACUUCGAGCUGGGUCAUUGGUCCAGAGAUUACAAGUCCAGCUUCAUAUGUCAUCUAUUUGGUCCAAGGUUUUGGGGAUGAGAUGGGUAAGAGAGAGAGAGGGAAAGAGGGAUAUACACACAAUACAAACAAUAUUUUUGAGAAUAGGUUUUAUUUGUGGCUGUCGGAAAACACACACAAAUGACGGCUCACAAAUCAUCGUAUCUAACAUGGGUAUAUAACAGGUGUUUGGACUUCUAAUGGCCAUAUAAAUAUUGGAACACUUCAGGGUCUUCAAAUUCUUCGGUUCUUGAGAGUCUUCAAUUGGUGCAGCUUCAGUUUUUCAAAUGCAUGGUGAAAUGCUCUUUACUUUGAAGUGGGACUCAGCUAAUCCUUUAUGUGGUCCAAGGGGAAAGGGUAUUGUCUAACUAUUUGAGGUGAGAGAGAACAUUUGAUGAAAUCAGAAGAGAUGAGAAGUAAAGAAUGUUCUUGAAAAUAAAAUAUUAGAGAGAUGCUUUCCUAAGGGAUUUCCAGUUUCUAGGGUCAUGUCCUACAAUCAACAUGUUCUCUGAUACCAUAUCUAUAGCGACCCGACUCAAAACGAGUCAAGCCUCUGUGUGUUCCGUGCCAUCACUGGAUCAGUAUGCUGGAACACACAGUACAUCAAUGUAUAUAUCAAAGUGCAAUCACAUGUAAAAUAACCUAAAACUGAUAUAUACCUCAAAAUCUCAGCGGAAACAGUCAAAGGCAGUGGAGUCCCAAUAAACACCAACGACAAGUUGAGUGCAGACCGUAACCUUGAAUCAUACUCUUACUCGUCGAAUACAAUAUCUACAACAUAAGAUGUUGCAGCCGUGUAGGUCAGCAUAUCGAAUAUGCCGGCAAGUCAGAAAAGAGAGGGGUGAAAAUAUCAUCUAUACUAUAUGCAUAUACGACACAUGGGGCCGUAGUUUUAAGUUUGGCGUAAAGCAAAUUUUCCUACAACAAGAGAGGGUCAAAGCAAGAUUUACUACAUUGUUCGUUGUUAAUGAGAUGGUUCCACCAACCAAUUCUCAUACCCAAGUUAUAAAUAUUACCCACAUCAAUAUUAAAUGGUGUUGAGAAUUCCUAAUAACUUUAGUUCCUUCGACUCAAGUUGCCCAUGACCGUGGACACGGCUAAUCAAUUACGUUUGAGUACUCAGCAGAGUUUUGCACACGUUCCCCACAAGAUUUGAUCGCCUCCGUUGGAGUCCUCACACUUCAGGAUGUUUGAGAACCGGAUGAUCAAAACAUGGUCUUUCAACNNNNNNNNNNUCGGUGCCCAUCCAAUCCUACCGUUCUUGUACAUCUCGUAGUACCGCUCGUCCAAAGUCACCACGUUGUCCAACCAAGCCAGAGCCCAUAAUGACUUGUGGCUCUGCAGGUAAGACUUGGGUCUUCAAAUAUCCAUCCAUCUCUUUGAGCCUGGGUGAAGCUUUCCGAAAGAUGUCAUGGCGCUUCUGCAUGCAUCCCAAGUCCUCCGCUGGUUUUUCCCACGGAGCCCAUCUGAACCGUCCUUCACCCAGAGGUAUAUUUUGUUCUGAGGUCUUGCAAGUCUUGGAUUCUUAAGGUCUUCAUUAUUAAGUUUCUCACAACACCCAUGAUAAACACUCAACCAAACCCCGUCUACCAUGAGCAUAGCAAAAUAACGUCCCUGCCAAAGUAACAAGGGUUUAGGGGUGCCUAUCAUAACAUACUACUCAAUAACCAAAGUUUCCAAGUACCUACUUUCAUGCAAUGGGUGAAGAAGGUUGAAACUAAUGUAAUAAAACCAUAGGUAAAAAUGUGAUCAAUGUGAACUUGCCUGGUAAGGUUGAUGAAGAAGAAUAUCGCUCUCAAGAAAUAACUUGAUAGAACUAUUCAUCACUCUCCGUCGAUAUCUAUAUAAUCAAACAUAAUAUUCGUAUAAGCAAUCCUACUAUAAAUCAUCCUAGUAAUCAGUAUAACAAACAACAAUAAAAUUUGAUGCAAUAAAACCAAUAAGAAAUAUCAAAUAGAAAUCCAAAAGGAACUUCACAGAAAAACUAUGGAGUCUUCUACUACAACAAUCACUAAAUAGUUUUUGUUCUAAUUAAACUUAACAGAAAAUGGAACACUAAAAUAGUAAAAUAAUAGAAAAUAAAAAAGAAAAUUAACUAAGAUAACAGAAAGUAUUUUUCAUAAAACUGUAUUUUUUGAAAGUAUCAUCAAAUAGGACAUCAAACUAGCAACAAAAUCAAUUUGCAAGUUAUUACCGAACUAGAAUUGAUUUCAUGCUAUCAAAUAAAAUAAAAUUUUCUUGUUGUUGAAAACCUACUGUUAACUAACAGGAAACAAAAUAUAACCUUUCACAAGUAUAAACCAAAAUAAAUUAAAAACAAUUAUAGCAAAAGAAAUAGCAAUAAUCCAAGAAAGAACUAAAACAGAAUCUGUUUUACACACAAUAUUGAUUAAAAGUACUCCAAAAAUUCUGAAAUUUUACCUAGUGAUAUAUAAGAUCACUAGCGAUCAGCAGCAAAAAGAAUCAACUAAAAAUCUAUUUUUAAACUCCAGAUAUUAACAAAACAAGAUUUAAACCAAAUCUGUUUAAAUUCAGAAUUUAAAAUUUCAAACAUGGUAAAAUUUUAUAUCUACAGAAACUACACAAAAUUUGUGAUCCAACGCAAAAAUAAUCACCUCAAUUGGAGUUAUAGAUUAAAAGUUAUAAGCAAUCUAAAAUCAGGUCCAAAUCUGUUUCAGAAUUAAAAACAGAAAAAGAUUAAAAGAAAAGGUGAUGUGGCAAGCUGUGAUUGGCUGGAGAUCGUGCACGGUUUAGGCUAACUAACGGACGGUCGCAAUAUAAAGGAAACCUUUCGGUUUUAAAUUAACUAACUGGGAACCGAUCGGUUUUCUAACUAAAACCGAAAGGGUAUCCUAAUCUAAUCUAGAGCGUAUAUUAUGGAUCCAACGGUGGGAAAAAGAAAAAAAGAGAGAGAGGGAGCUUACCGUGGCAAAGAGGAGCUCCAGCGCUGGUAAUGGUGCAACUGAAGGUGAGGUGGCGAGGGGAGGCGGCUCGGGUGGUGUAGGGGGCGGCGUGGUGGUGGUUGCGGCGAAGGAGGGUCCCGACGUUCUCCUGGUAGCGUCAGGAGGGUCCGAGGGCGAAGGGAGGUGGGGCGACACGAGCUCCUAGUUUCGGCCUGAGCAGGACCUUCGGCGAGGGUGGAGGGCGGUGCUGGGGCAUGGAGACAAAGGGGUCUUGGGGAAAAUGGAGAGGGGAGGGGGUGAGGAUCUUAAAUAGGGCCUCGAGGGGCGAGGGGAAGGAAGGUACGCGGAGAUCGGGGAAAGGAAUCGACAAGGAAUCUUCGUGGAAGUUUCACGCGGCACGGAAGGAAAGGAGACGACAUGUGGAAGAAGGAAGGUAUCGGGCCGGAUCAUAUAUUCCUAACGGGCCCAGAUGCCUUUCCAAAGAAAACGAUUUGUUUCCUUUUAAUAAAAACCUGAAGGUAAAACUUAAAAAAUUAAAUAAAUAUACUUCCAAAUAUAGAAGUAUUAUAUACCAAAAUUAUCAGAAAAAUAAAUCCAAUAAGAUGGACAUUUUUCCAGGGCUAAAAUAAAAACUUCAGAAGAAAUAUUAUGUUUUCAGAAAAUUGCCUAAAUGAUUUAUUUCCUUUUACAAAGAUUUUUCAAAUGACCUCCUAAGUUUUAGGGUUCAAAUAAUUUUCAAAAUGCCCUUGGUUUGAAGGGUCAUGUUCCUCCUGUCAUAUUUUUUUAAUAUAUGUAUUCAUUUAAACAUUGAAAUAGCAAUAGGAUCAAAUACGAAAAUGAAAUCCAUAUAGGAAAUCUUUUAUUAGUUUUCAAAUCCACCUUUCAAAAUCUUUAUAGUUGAAGAAGUCAUGUUAUCUUCUCUCACUGAUUUUAAAUGGAUGAAUUUGAAUUAAAAGAAAAUGGGAAAGUCCUUUUAUUCCCUCUCAUUCAAAAGUUUUAAAAUGUUUUCAAAUUUCACUCAAGUUUCAAUCACUCAAACAAACAAACAAUCAAUCUAGUAAUUAUAUUAACAUUCCAAAAUUUGGGAUGUUACANNNNNNNNNNNNNNNNNNNNNNNNNNNNNNNNNNNNNNNNNNNNNNNNNNNNNNNNNNNNNNNNNNNNNNNNNNNNNNNNNNNNNNNNNNNNNNNNNNNNCCCUCGAACUACUAGACUCGCUCGGACGCCAGCAUCCUGGCGUACGCCGCCUUGUCCGGGGUGGCAUUAACGGCGUCGGCCGCCUCCUGGACCUGCCUCUAUAGCGACGCCAGUUCCGCCUUGGCCUCCUCUUCGCCCCGGCGGGCGGCCUGGAGGGCGGCCUCGGUGCUCUCGAGCUGAGCCCGCAGCCCCUCCGCAACCUCCUGAAUGUCACCGAGCUUGAGCUUCUUGGCUGCGGGUGUUCUGGAGAAAAGGGAAGAAGAACCACCAAGCAGAAAACGGGACAACAAGGAAAGGGAGUGCAAGAGACAAACUUACUCAUCGGCUAGAGUCUAACGGCGGCGGAUGCGCAGCGACCCCGAGGGUCCUCCGCCACUACUCCCGGGGGCUGACGAGGGCAUGGACAGAGCCACGCAUUUUCCCCGGCCGGAAUCGCCUCGUGGAGAUGCCAUGGAAGACGAAGAAAUGAAGGGGAGAAGAGGUGUUUCUCGAUGGAGCUAGGGAGGCAAAGAGGAAUCUCAUGAUCGCGGUGCCUCCCCCUUACCAGGGGCGGGGUAGAUUUAUAGGCGAACGACGACCACCAACCGUGGUGGGAGCGCGAGCGUCGCGCGCCCCUCGGGGGCCGCGAGGUGGGCCGACGGGAGCGUUGCCUCACACGUCGCUUCACCUGUCAACCGAGCGGUCACGUCUGCGAGGGCCAUUGGGUGCGGUCAGGCCGCACCGAUACCAUUCAAUGAGAACAAUGANNNNNNNNNNNNNNNNNNNNNNNNNNNNNNNNNNNNNNNNNNNNNNNNNNNNNNNNNNNNNNNNNNNNNNNNNNNNNNNNNNNNNNNNNNNNNNNNNNNNAGUUCUGCUCCCCUUGGUGACAUCAUCCAGAAUCGGGAGGCAACUGGGCAAAUCGCCAAAUGGGUGAUAGAGCUUGGGUCUCAUCACAUACAAUAUACUCCCCGCACAGCUAUCAAGUCCCAAGCACUAGUUGAUUUCGUUAACGACUGGACAGAGCUACAGGCUCCGGAAGACCGGCCUGACCUUACCUGGGGGGGGGGUGGACUAUUUACUUUGAUGGAUCCAGGUAGCUGGAAGGCUCAGGGGUUGGUGUUGUGUUAGUAUCCCCUCAAGGAGAUAGGUUCUGUUACGUUCUCCGACUCAUGUUUCCCUGCACUAAUAAUGCGGCGGAAUAUGAAGCUUUGCUUCACGGCUUGCGACUCAUAAAAGAGAUGAACCUAACACGAGUCAGGUGUUUUGGUGACUCCGAUUUGGUGGCGCAACAAGUUUCGGGUACCUGGGACUCUCGGGAUCCCAUGAUGGCGGCUUACAGACGAGCUAUGUCUGAUGUGGCGGGUCAUUUUCAUGGCUAUCAGGUGGACCAUAUUGACCGGCUCCUCAACGAGGCCGCUGACGCCCUCUCGCGACUCGGCUCCCAGAGAAAACCGGUUCCCCCUAAUGUUUUUCUGGAUAUCUUGCAUAAACCAUCCGUGGUUUUACCCUCAAAGGAGGAAUUGGCGAUACCAGAUCCCGAGUCUCAGCUCGUGGUGGCUCUCCGUGUUAGUCCGGAUUGGGUUCUCCCUUAUCUGGCUUAUCUCACUCGCGGCGAGUUACCCACCGACGAAGUUUUGUCUCG